AUCCCAGAGGUGGGUCUAAUAUUUCCGCUGCAUGUAUCCACAAUUUGUAUUACAACUUUAUAUUUAAGGGAAUCAUACCUGGCAGAAGACCCAAUGCCAAUAUUAGAAAUGCUUCCAGUGUUGAGUGUUCUCCAAAUGCGUGAGGAUACAUAUGUGGGGAAGGAGAUGGUGUGCUCCGCAACCGGUUUUCCUAAACUCACCGUUCUUAUUUUGUACAAGUUCACAAAACUUGAAAAUUGGAGGGUGGAGGAAGGAAGCAUGCCCAUCCUUUCAUACUUGAUUAUUGGAAGAUGUAACAAGUUGGAGGAGCUUCCCGAAGGCCUUGUGUUCCUCAAGUCCCUUCAUAUAGCUCAAAUGCCUCAAGAUUUCAAUGAUAGGCUUAAAAGGCAAGAUGGUGAACAACGACCCGACUUUAUGCAAAUAUGGAGUUAGCCAGAAAUUUUCUUGUUUUAUGCAAAUCCAGAAAUUUGCUCUCUACUUUUAUUCAGUUUAUGAAAUGAACAGUUUACAAGCUCCGAAAGGUAUAUCUAGUGAUUUUGUCCGCACGUUCUCGACCACUUGCAGACCGUCAAAAUCAAUACCAGGCCACAUUUAUUAUUUUCACACUAACUUUUAAGUUGUGGAGGGUCGAGAAAUCAAAAUGCAUGUAACCAGGAUAAGCCAACAAGGAUGCUGUCAACUGUUUUGUUGCAGGACCAGACUCACAACUAUUUGUCGGUGUUAACUGGCCACACUGGACCAGUCAAGUGUAUUCCAUUUCAAGGGUCUUCUGCUCACCAGUGUAGUGUUUACGAUAUGAAAGUAGACCUGCAAGCAUAAAAGCAAGCAAAUGCCAGCCUUCCUAGCAAAUAAUAACUUACAUUUUGCAAUGACUGUUUCCUAACUUUGUGAGCUCAACUGCAUAGUGACUAAGAAAAAAUCAAAGAAAUCAGUUGAUUACAGGUUCUGUUUCACUGGAGUCCAUAAUUAAGCAUAGCUGGUUGAUCUGAGGCAUUAAUCACCAUCCCCUGAAAUGCAUUUUCUUACUGCUCUGUUGGUAAUUUAUUUUAGUAGCAUUUAAUACUCGGAUUCCUGUUGAUUAUGGUUGCUACCCCUACAACUAUUGUAUAAUGUUAAUGGACAUAGAGCAUCUCCAAUGAGAUUUUUAAACAAGUUCUUAACUCUAAAUUUAUAGAGUAAGUUAAGAAUUAUUGCUCCAAUGAGCUCUAAGAAGCUCUUUAAAAAUUUAAGAGCCUACUAUCUCCUCACUUUUAAAGAGCAUGCAGUAGCUCUUAUCUUUUUAUUUGUGAAUAUAAUAUUAAUUUCCCUCCAAUCUUCUCUCUCUUUUAAUUAACUUUUCUCUCUCAUUUAUACAAAAUAAAUAUAAAAUAUGAAUAAAGAGCUACGUAUAAACAGUAGCAUUAAAGUUAUCAUGUUUUUCAAUGUAUUAAGUCACUAGGAGCCAUAAUUUAUAUUAUUGUUGAAGAAAUGAUUUAGUAGCACCAUUGGAGAUGUUCUUACUCCUUGUGAACAUAGAAUAAAUUAUUUUUUUUGUGCCAAUUCAGUUACGUAAAGAUUUGUCAGAAACAUUUUGUUACUCCACACUAUAAAUUGUCGUGGACGAAUUUUGACCCAUGACAAGUUUUCUCUUCAUAACAUUAUCACUUGGAAAGGUCCUUCAGCAAAUGACAGGAUGUCACCAAUUGCCAAAUUCAUUGCAAUUGCGAACUCUUAAAGUUUUGUUAAUUCAUGUUGGAGUGCAUAUAAGCCUGAACUGCUAUAGCUUUAAUAUACAUGAUUUCCCGACCUGAACUGCUAUGAGUGUUUCCUAGAUUUGAUGGUGAUCAGUAUGUUCAUGGACGGGGCAUCGCCGUCUCAGAGGAGAAGCGGAAGAGGAUGCGACAAUAAGAUUUAUGUGUGUAUUGUAUACUCCCUCCGUCUCAUUCAUUUGUAUACAGUUUCUUUUUCUGGACAUCCCACCAAUUGUAUACAUUCCAAAAAUAGUAAACUUUUAUAAUAUAAAACACCAUUACACCAACUAUUUUCCUCCACUAUCUCCAUUCUAUAAUAAUAUAAACACUAUUACACUCAUUACUUUCCUCCACUAUCUCAAAUCUAUUAUUAAAUAUAAAUGGUCCCACCACUAUACCUACUUUUCAUCUAACUUUACUCAUUUUUUACAUUUUUUCUUGGUCUUCGUAUCCCAACCAAAUGUAUACAAAUGGUUGGGACGAAGGGAACUAGAGCACACGUGAUAGUCAUCAAUCCAGUCAUUUUAAUUUGUUCCCCAAGCUUGGGUGGUGUGGAUGUUAAUAUAGUCUGAGAACCAUUCAUGUUUGAGCAAAGAGUUGUGUGUUAAUAUUGUCUAAGAACCAUUCGUGUUUGAGCAAAGAGUCAUUUGAGUAAAUACGAAUGAUCUCCCCUGUAGAUGUAGAAACCAUUGAAGUUAUAUAAAACUCAAGCAAAUCACAAAUGCACACACAGAUGAGACAAGCUCGUUUUAUUAAUCCGAUAAAUUGCUGCUUACAAAAUGAAAGAAACACACUCUGAUAAACUCAAGUUCAGAGUGUUGGAAAAAAAGUCCUACUUAAACAACUAGCUAAGAUGGUAAGGAUAAACAAGAACUGCUGCCUAUCGUUAAUCCACUCCUACAUGCACUCAUGAAAAACAGCUACAGCUACGGCCUAAUCUUGUGUGCACACUGAUCACAUAGCAACUUAUUUAAAAUAACUAAAUUAAAUAAAAAGCAACUGAAGUAUAUCAGAAUUUAGAUCAAACUCCAACAAGCUCCCCUAAUCUAAACUCGAUUGCAGGUUCUUCACACCCAAUAGCUCACACAUUCCCUCAAACUUAGCCCUUGACAAUGCCUUGGUCAAUACAUCAGCUCUCUGUUCAUUUGUGUUGACAUGUACUUUGAGUAUAAUUUCACCACAUUCUACACAUUCCCAUAUAAAGUGGUAGCGAAUAUCUAUGUGUUUACUCCUUCAUGAAACACUGGAUUCUUUGCCAAAUCUAUUGCCCACUUGUUAUCAAUAUACAGCACCACAGGACCAGCCUUUAUAUUCGUCAUCCGUCUGAGAAGUUUAUAAAGCCAUAUGCCUUGACACACAGCUGCAUUGUUUUUGACAUUGCCAUACCUCUAGUAGACCUCUUGUCAUCCACAUUUCCAACUAGGUCGCUGUUUGAAUAUCCUGAGAGCAAGUAGUUUCCAUCCCGUUUAGAAUAAACCAACCCAUAAUCAAGAGUUCCAUUCACAUAACGAAAAAUUCGUUUUGCUGCAGCUAGGUGCAUGACUAUGGGUCUCUCCAUGAACCUGCUUACUAUGCCAACUGAAUAAGCUAUAUCAGGUCUUGUAAAUACAAGAUGCCUGAGUCCUCCAACCAUACUUUUAAGGCUUAAUGACCUUUUAGCCCUCGAAGUAUGAAUGGAAGUUCCGAUGCGGUCUUGAAGUUUAAAAACGUACAAUUCGACCCUCAAAGUAUUUUUGUCGUACCUUUUAGCCCUUUUUAAAAAUACCGGCAUAAAUCGGGGGAUAACUUGAAAAAUAGGCAAGAGCAUAACCCAUCAGCACACCAAGAAUUCCUACUAAUUCUCAUUUUAAGCCGACCCUUGAACAUAUAUAAACCAUGUAGGCAAGUAUUCCUUAAUUAAAGAAUGAAUAAAACUUUCUCCAUCUGUUAUCUAAACUAUUGAAGCCACCAGCGAAGUUGCAACCUUGACAUGUGCCAUUGCUGCAGCAAAAGAAACCUGAUUAUAUCGCAUUCCGUAUUUUACUUUUUUCAGCUUCUCUAGUUAUUCUGUAGGCAAUCCCUUAGUUGCAAUUUCGCUAACAGUAUCCAGCAGCUGGGUAACUAUUUCUUUUGAGAUGAAUAUAACAUUCCCGACAGAUCGGUGGACACGUAGGUAAAGUAUUCCAUUCAUUAUUGUUUUUCCAUGUCAGACAUACCAAUCAUUGCCAUCUGUCAGCAAGGUGGAUGUUGUUGAGGUUAAAUUUUUCAACUUAACGUUUGCUGUUAGUUUUUUCUAAAAAAGCUAAUAGAAUGAUAUAUAACUAGGGGUGUAAAUGAGUCGGGCCGAGCCGAACUCUAGAGUGCUCGUGUAUCGUUUGUUAAAAAAUUAGCGAACUCGAACUCGAGCUCGUACUUAGAUCGAGCCAAAAAUAUUGUUUGAGGAUCGACUCAUUAAGGAAUAACUCUGUUCACGAACGGCUCGUGAACUGCUCACAAACAUGUCUCACGAGCUUUUGCUCACGAACUGCUCAUUAACUUAUGCUCACGAACAUGUCUCAUGAAUUUUUGCUCACAACCGCUCAUUAAUUUUGUUCACGAGCUUGUUUAAUAAACUUUGCUAACAAGCUAGCUUAUGCUUAUAAAUUUUUAUGAGCUUGUUUGUUAUUUAACUUAAUUAAAAUAAAUAAAUUAAAAUUCUAACAAUAUUUUAAUUUAUGCUCUAAGGAAACAUAAAUUCAUAAUAAAUCAUGUUUACGAGCUAGUUCACGAACUACGCUCACGAGCCAAAUUCACAAACCAUGUUUACGAACUCAUUAUUCGAACUUGUUCACGAACUAUCGAGUCGAACUCUACAGUGCUCAAGUUCAGCUCGUUUAUAUAACGAAACCUAAAAUUGUGCUCAGGAUCGACUCGUUUAUGAAUCGAACCGAGUUCGAACCGAGUUUUUUUCGAACCGAACACCGAGCGGUUAUCGAGCGUAUCAACUCAUUUACAGCCCUUAAUAUAACAGUAUUUUAGUGGGUUAUAUGAGUCGCCGUGGAGAUCGGGUAGCUACUUGAUAUAUUUUGCUGAGUUCGGUGGGCAAUCUGAUAUAAAACCCAAAACCAAACCAAAUUAAUACUAAAUUUGAUAUUUGAUAUAAUAUAUGAUUUUGGUUCAUAAACCCGUCCAAAUCCAUAUUAAUCAACUAAAAUUGGUCCAAAACCUGAGAGGUCUACUUACUCUCUCGACACAAUUGGUAUAUGAUGAAAAUUUGAACCUUCGGGAAUUGAAAAUAUAUGGGCAUAUACCAGAGGUGGAUCUAAUAUUUCCGCUGCAAUAUGUUGGGGAUAGUAAUGCUCAUGUAUCUAAAGUUCAUAUUACAAGAUUAUAUUUAUCGAUUUCAUACCUGGAAGAAGACCCAAUGCCAAUACAAUACUGGAAAUGCUUCCAAUGUUGGGUGUUCUCUGUUUGUUUACCGAUACAUAUAUGGGGAAGGAGAUGGUGAGCUCUGCAACCGGUUUUCCUAAACUCACCCACCUUUUUCUGGACAGCUUACCGAAUCUUGAUAAAUGGAGGGUGGAGAAAGGAAGCAUGCCCAUCCUUUCAUACUUGCGUAUUCAAAGAUGUAACAAGUUGGAGGAGCUUCCAGAAGGCCUGGUGUUCCUCAAGUCUACGGGUGUGCACGGGUCGGUUCGGCUCGGUUUCUACCUAAAACCGUUACCGAACCGUGUAUUUCGGUUCGGUUCGGUUUUAGGGUAGAAACCGUAACCGAACCGUUUCAAACGGUUUUUUUCGGUUCGGUUAACCGUGGUCGGUUUCGGUUAUAAUAUUUGUUAUUUUAUCAUAUAUUCAUAUAUAGUUUUAAUUUAAUUAAUUUUAUCGUAAAAAUAAAAUUAUGAUAGAAUAAUGUGGUUAAAUAAAUUUUUAUUUAACAGUUGAAUAAAUUCUUAAUACUUAUGACUAAUUAAAAAUUAGGUCGAACAUAUAUUUUGAUGAGAAUGUUAAAUAUAUUUAUUUACAUGUUAUAAUUUAAGGAGAUCUAUAAGCCCAUAUAUAAAUCAACAACCUCAUAAUAUUUCGUUAGUAAUAAUUAAAAAUAUAGUAUAAAACAUAUUAGAAGUCAAAGAGACGCGUAAUCCCAAAUAUCGAUCCAUUACCUAAUUUUUAAUGUUUUGAUUCGAUAGAUAAUAAUAAAAUAUUAUAACAUAUUAUAAAUUAAUGAGGUCCGUGGGUUGAAUACCAAUGGUCUCACCAAACUCGAUUGAUCGACCGACCAACUAACCAAUUGAACUUUUCAUUUUUCGGCUUUUGGCUUUAACAGUAUAAUAAUAUAUAGUAUAGUAUAAAUUUAUAAUAUCACUUUUAAUGUGAGACCGUUAGAGUAUUUAAAUAUAAUGUUAAUUAAUUUCGGUUGAAAAAUAUCACCUGUUAUUUAUUAAUAAAUAUAUAUAAUAAUAUUAUGUUUUUAUACAUAUGUCGCCUGUGUUAAUUGUAGAAAAACGAUUUUUUAGUUUGAAAAAAAUAUUUAUCUUGAACUUUAAAUCUUUAAAAUUAAAAAAAAAACAUUUUUUUCAACGGAGAAGUUGUGUUUGUUGAAUUACAUUUAGUUUCAAAUUGCAAAAAUACUUUCUUAAAAAUUUUAAAAAGAUUGUAUAUUAUCGAAAAAGAACUCUAAACAUGUGUUAUAUCCUUAAAUUCUAUACUCUCUGGCGCAGAAAAAUAAAUUAUAUUCGAAACAGAUUAUUAAUUUGAACUUAAAGUAGCAGAGAGGUGUUUCGGUGAAAACCCCCGCUUAGUGCACAAUAAAAUAAAUACACAGUGUGUGAUAUAAUAAGAAUAUAAUAUCUUAGCCAUGUCCUUCUUCACACAGUACUUACCUAAACAGUUCCUAAUGCAUCUGUGAAGUGAGGACUUACCUAAACAGUUCCUAUUAUCACGAAUGCAUCAUGAACUGAGCUAACCCUUCCCUUAAAACAUAAUGCAACGAACCUCGCAAUGUCUGUAAGCCACGAGACCUGGUCUCAACUAUUCUAAUAAGUCGUCCCCAAUCAUUCUUAUCUAAUGUCAUAUCACCCGUUCCCGAUCAUUCUUAUCUAAUGUCAUAUCAUCCGUGAGAUUCAAGGCUCUCAUGUCCAAACUUAAUUGAUCAGCCCAUGUCCGACGAGACUCACUUCUCUUUCUCUAGUCAUUCAUUAUUCUUGAGGUGAACAACAUUUAAAAAAAUUCAGAGCCGAGGUAUUCUUACACAGCAAAAUAUCGAUUUAUGAUAAUGUUGGACAGCAGAAAAUGAAAAGGAAGUAAUAUUUCACUAACCAUAUGUGAUAUCCAAUCCCAACAUUGAAAAUUGCUCACUCGAGAGAGACUGUUUUAGUAUCUCAUUAAUUAUUCUCGAAAUGGACAAGUGUUAAAGGAAUCCCGGAGCCACAAAUAUAACCACCUAACGACAGAAUAUUAAUUUAUGAUAGUACUGGACAGCAGAAAAUCAGAGGAAGUAAUUUUUCACUAGCCAAUAUGUGAUAUAUUUUCAUGCCGCCAACACAACAGAGUACAUUGUUGCCCAAAGGUUGCAACAACACACAAAACUAGGAAACUUCAAAAUCUUGACUCCUGCCCAUUGUUCAAACUUUUUCUUUGUGAUCUUUUUUUAUAAUGAAACACUUUUGUUUUUUUUCCUUUAUAGUUAAAACUACAAUAUAUACAGCGUUUAGGACUGGGAAACUGCUUUCUUCAAGACGCUGAAGGUGACAAGCAUAAGCAGUGAUAUCAUGAUCUUCUUUGAAGCAAGUAUCCGCAAGUUCACCUUCAUGCCAUGGUAACUCAUGAGCUUCAGUGUUGCUCUAAUUACUGACAUAAGCCAAGAUACAACGGACAAGAACACCACUUUCAUUGUGUCUGCAGGUCCAUUCACACUUCUUGUGCCUCCCGACACCUCGACACAGGACCAAGCAGCGCCUUGAUUAUCGGUGGUUCCACUAUGAUUGAGGCCAAGUUUCUCGUUCAACCAACAUGAUAAAGUCACAAGCAGCUUUGCAAGCCAUGCAAUCUCAUCACUGGAGACUGGUCGCAUCAACCAGUCACCCCUGUAUUUCUUACCAGUUUGCUUCUUGUUUCGUAUCAAACUGUUAGUAUUUUACAGACUCUAAGAUGUAAUGUCUGAAGAGUUUUCUAGAUCCAUUUUGAGGAUCAUACAUCUGUACUAUAAAAGAAAGAUCAUGUAAUGCAUUUCAUAAGAUGAAAUCAGUUCAAUAAAAUCUUUUUUAGUAAUCAUAUACUUUCAAUUACAACAGGUGGUAUCAAGAGCACAAGUCUAUCCAUUUCGGCACAAACAUUCUCUACACUAUGACAACAUUCAGCACUAUCUCUGCAGAGUCAUAAAAAAUAUCAAAUAGAUACUUUCUAAUAUCUUUUCGAGAAGUAAACUUUGUUUUUCAUUGAGUUUCACACAUUUUUCUUGGCUGUUAGUAUAAUCAACUAAAAGGCUAUGAAUUCUAGUAUUUUUUUAUAAUAUAUUCAGAUUUUAAGAAAUUUAUUUACUAUUUAUUUUUAAUUUUACAACUAUUUUGUUUCAUUUAUAUCAAAUAAAUAAUAAAUAAAUUUCUUAAAAUCUAAAUAUAUUAUCAUAAAUACUACUCCCUCCGUCCCUCCCAUUUCUUUACACUUUCCCUUUUGGGAUGUCCCAUCCAUUUCUUUACAUUUCAAAACUUAUCCAAAAUAGUCAAUUGGUCCCACCACUUCUUCACUUUUCUUUCCUUUUCACACUACUUUUACUCCACUAUCUUCUUUUUAUACAUUAAAAAUCAAUGGGUCCCACCACUUCACCCACUUUUCUUUCUCUUUUCCACUACUUUAUACAUAUUUCUUAACCUCCGUGCCCAACCCAAACAAUAAGAAAUGGGAGGGACGGGAGGAGUAUAAUUCAUAGCCUUUCAUUUGAUUAUACUAACAGCCAAGAAAAAUGUGUGGAACUCAAUGGAGAAUAAAGUUUACUUUUUGAACGGAUAUUAGAAGUAUCUAUUUGAUAUUUCUUAUGACUUUAAUGAUUCAAAUGAGACCAAAAAUUUCCAAGUGAUCCACCUGAUAUUUUCUAGUGCAAAAAGUGACCUAGUUGAUAAUUAACCCAAAUGAAAACUGCCUUACGAGCUUAUGACUUGUGGGAUCUUGUCGAGAAUGAGUUCCAAAAUCUGCAGAUCCUCAAGCUUCCCCACAAUCAUCCAGGUCAUCGACAAUUUCAGUGAAUGAAUCGCUCAAAAGGAACGCAGAUGCACUAGCAAAAACAACAAGCCGUUGCUGAUUAUAUUUUUCCCAGAAUCAUGAAUACUACUUCUGCAAAACAAGCUUGGGAGACAUUACAAGAUGAAUAAAUUCCAAGGCACUGCAAAAGUUUGAACAAUCAAACUUCAAAGCCUGCGAAGAGAAUUUGAGAAUAUCCGAAUGAAAGACACGAGUUAUUGGAGUUGUGAAUCAGAUGGAAGACCUUUGGCGACAACAUUUCAGAUCAAAGAGUCAUUAAAAAAUUGUUAAUUUCUCUCACAAAUAAGUAUGAUUCUAUUGUUGAAAUUAUAGGAGAAUCAAAAGACAUCUCUAUACUUUCUAUCACUGAACUUGUUGGUUCAUUACAAGUAACAAGCUCAUGAAUAACAAAUCUCUCGGCGAAUGUCGAAGGUGCUUUACAGUCACAACCUAGGAAGCAUGAGUGCAGGUGCGGGUACUGGGGUGCACAAUACGGGGAUACGGGAAUUCGGCAAAUUUAAAAAUAUGGGGAUUCGGGUGCGGGGGAUUCGGCAAUUAUUAAUAUAUUAAAAAUAUAUUUUAUACAUGUAUUUGAAGAGUUAUAUUCAUAUUUAAACUAAAUAAAUGAAUAAAUAAGUUCAAUAUCCUUAACAAUAUACAAUAUAAUUAUUUAAUAACACAAUUAUUGCAUUAUAAUGUAGUUAAGUGAUAGAGUAUUCAAUUAAUCACAGAAUUAAUCAUUAAAAAGAAUCCCUAAGAAUCACCGAAUAUCGAAGAAUCCCAAAAAUCGAGUGUGCGGUGCGGCGAGUGAGUGAAGUAUCCCUGCUUUUUAGGUCACAACACAAAAACUGGCCUCCAUCCAAAGGUUGAAAAUUUAGUAAAGGAAAAAAUGUUAGCAACAGCUUCAAGGAAGAUGCAAGGAAAUCUAAAUUCUACUGCAAAUUGUACAAGACUGUCGUAGUGCUAGUUAAUCCAAAGGCAAAACACCUUAGAUCUAGGAAGUACCGGAAGUACGGUACGCAAAUACGGGGAUUCGGGAAAAUGAGGAUACAGGUAUGGGGAUACGACAUACAUAAAAAAUAUUUGUAUUAUAUAUAUUAUAUAUUUAUUUAUAUAUAGCAAAACUAAAACUAACAUUCAAAUUAAAUCAAAGUACAUAAAAAUCAGCCACCAAGUCACCAACUAUAUACACAUAACCUCACACAUAAAUAUUAUCUAUAUUUUAACCAUAAACUCAUAAUUAAGAAAAUUAUGAGUCAAAGCAGGGAAGAACUUACCAAAGACGUAAAGAGGAUGGAAGAACUGGGAAGGGAAAUGGUUGAACAUUGUGCCGGUCUUCCGCUAGCUAUAGUCGUUUUGGGUGGAAUUCUUGUAACAAAACCGUCGUUGAUAGAGUGGGAGAAGGUAUAUCGUGAUAGUAAAUCAUCCCUCAAGGCGGGGAGAGGAUUGGAAGAAGCCUAUCAAAGGGAAAUAUUAAGUUUUUUAGUUUGGAGCUACAAUGAUUUACCCCCUCAGUUGAAGCCAUGCUUUUUAUAUUUAUCUAAGUUUGGUGAUAAUAAAUAUAUAGAAGUGGGGACUUUGUAUCAGCUGUGGAUCGCCGAAGGAAUGAUACUCUCGAGUGACAAAAGGGAAGGAGAAACAAUGAUUCAAGUGGCUGAAUCAUACAUGGGAGAACUAGUCCACAGGAGUAUGGUUCAAGUGAGAUUUAACAAUGUGAAAUCAUCACCUACAAAGUUUGAAGAUUGUUCUCUGCAUGACCUUAUGCGAGAUAUGUCUUUAAUACAAGCAAAAGCAGAAGAUUUUUUUGAAGAUAUACAUUCCAAAGUGCAAAUGAGUUUCAUCUCAAAUCUACUGCAGAUUCAAGAAACACAACUCGACUUGUGAUUAAUUUGGAUGAGGAAUAUUCUAGGAAAAAAGUUAAUUACUACUUCUCCAAGAAACGCGAUAAAAAAUGCUAUCGAUCAAUUUUACUCCUCGGUCAGUUUGGAGCGAGAAGUUUGCCACGGUCGCUCGGGUCACAUGUUGCCAAUUUUAGGUUCCUAAAAGUGUUUUCAGUGGAGAAAUAUACCAAUUUUUCUGGUGCAUUUUCCCAUAUUAAUUUUGGAAGAGCAUUAGGGGCCCUUGUUUACUUGCGAUAUCUUAGUGUAAGGGGCACUAAUUUGUUGGUUUUUCCUUCUAUACAAAAGUUGGUACUGUUACAAACUCUUAGAUUGCAUACAUGCGAUGAUAUGUAUGCUUUACCAUGGUUGUCAAGAGAUGUUCUGGUGAAGCUCGAUUGUUUGCGGCACCUGUAUUUGCCUAAAUUUAAAGUUGACGUUUUGGUAAGGAAAUCGAAAUUACGGUUUAAUGGGUUGAGCAAGUUAGAGACCCUGGAGAACUUUGACACUACUUGGUGUGAGGUUAAGGAUCUACGUGAACUAAUCAAUCUUCGGAAACUAAUGGUAACAGUGAGAGGUAGCUGUGAUAUUCUGGAAGAAAUGAUGAAAAACUUGGAUGAUAUAGCCUCCUCACCAUCUUCAUGUCUGAGCUACUUGGGUGUUGCUAUUAGUAAUUGUCAUCUCGAGCUGAACAAUGGUCUUACUAUCUUAAAACAAUUGGUAUAUGCUGAAAAUUUGAACCUUCGGGAUUUGAAAAUAUAUGGGCGUAUCCCAGAGGUGGGUCUAAUAUUUCCGCUUCAAUAUGUAUCUACAAUUGGUAUUACAAGUUUAACUUUAGCGAGUUCAUGCCUAGAAGAAGACCCGAUGCCAAUACUGGAAAUGCUUCCAAUGUUGGGUGUUCUCUGUUUGUUUAAGGAUACAUAUGUGGGGAAGGAGAUGGUGUGCUCCGCAACCUGUUUUCCUAAACUCACCUCUCUUUAUUUGCAAGAGUUCCCAAACCUUGAAAAAUGGAGGGUGGAGAAAGGAAGCAUGCCCAUGCUUUCAUACUUGCGUAUUGAAAGAUGUAACAAGUUGGAGGAGCUUCCCGAAGGCCUAGUGUUCCUCAAGUCCCUUCAAGUACUAGAUAUAUUUCAUAUGCUUCAAGAUUUUAAUGAUAGGCUUAAAAGGCAUGAUGGUGAAGAGGGACCCGACUUUCACAAAAUUUCUCAUGUCGAUAGACUCAUUAUUGACGAUCAGGAGUUAAAUUGAAUGUUCUUGCAAGCUUAUUAUUCCACAAAAUUAUUAGUUCACUUAUAAGGCUAUAAGCCAUAUUUGUCAAAAAAAACAAAAAAAAACUACUCCUUUAGAAAACGGCUCAGCGUUCUCAGGUUCAUAUUCACACCAUAUUCUCUUGUGAACUAGGGGCACAAUUUUCAUCAUUUUCUUUGUCUUACAAGCAUGCAAUCUAGUCAUUUGAAAUUGAUCACUUUAAAGACCAUCCUUGUGUCUCGUUCAUUUUCCUUGAGGUGAACAAGAGUUGAACAUAUUCGGAAGCAAUAAAUAUAACAGUCUUAUAACAGAAUAUCGAUUUAUGAUAAUGUUAGACUGCAGAAAAUGAGAGGAAGUAAUUUUUCACUGACCAAUAUGUAAUAUGUUUUCAUGCUAUUGCGGCCAACACAACAGAGUACAUUGUUUCCCACAUGUUGCAACAAAACACCAAAACUAGGAGACUUCUAACUCUUGACUCCACCCAUUGUUCAAACUUUUUCUUUGUGAUCUUUUUUUAUAAUGAAACACUUUUGUAUUUUUUUCCUUUAUAGUUAAAACUACGAUAUAUACAGCGUUUAGGACUGGGAAACUGCUUUCUUCAAGACGCUGAAGGCAACGAGCAUAAGCAGUGAUAUCAUGAUCUUCUUUGAAGCAAGAAUCCGCAAGUUCACCUUCAUGCCAUGGUCUCUCAUGAGCUUCACUGUUGCCCUAAUUACUGAAAUAAGCCAGAAUACAACGGACAAGAACACCACUUUCAUUGUGUCUGCAGGUCCAUUCACACUUCUUGUGCCUCCCGACACCUCGACAUAGGACCAAGCAGCGCCUUGAUUAUCGGUAGUUCCACUAUGAUUGAGGCCAAGUUUCUCGUUCAACCAACAUGAUAAAGUCACAAGCAGCUUUGCAAGCCAUGCAAUCUCAUCACUGGAGACUGGUCGCUUCAACCAGUCACCCCUGUAUUUCGUACCGGUUUGCUUCUUGUUGCGUAUCAUUCUAGGACUAAAUAUCUCAUCACGUGGAUGCUGAUUUUCUCUUGUCUCGGGGACUGCUUGUGUGUUCCUUGGAGUAGAGUUACCAAAUAAGCACCCCAUCUGGGCUUUGAUAGAAUCUAAACAAGCCAUAUUGUGAGCAUGAUUAUCUCCCAAGACGGUCUGCAGCUCCGACUCAGCACGCAGCACAAAGAGCUGCAAUUACAAUGUGAGUAGUGAGUGAGACUUGAGAUUUAGAAUGAUGUCAAUAUGCUUAAGACCUGCACAAGAAAUACAAGAAACAUAUACAAAAUAAGUAAACGGAAACUAUAACGAAUUGAUCCUGGGAUAAAAAUAUAUACUAAUUAUAAAAGAAAAUUUCCCCACUGUUACCCUGACUCUUCAUUUUGCCUCAAGUACACGUGUCGGACACUCAACACUUGAACAUCGGACACUCAACACUUGAACAUAGGUACAGACACUACAGAACUUAUUUUAGGCCAAAAACAUGUAAAUUUUCAGAAUACUACCGAGACACACUCGGACAGGUAACCAUGUUGGACACUUUUAGCUGACUCCAGGUAAUAUAGAUUCUUCAUAUGUAAGCUUACCAGAAGUAUCCCAUCAGUGCCCAUAAAUGAAAAGAAGCCGAAAGAAACUAUAAAAGAGGAAUAUAGCAGAUUAUUAUUAAUUAGUAGCCUUGCAUCAGUUUCCUCUAUAAUUCAACACAAGUAGCUUACGCGGAUAAAGACAUUCUUACCAGAUGCUGACGCAAGGAUUGAUGUAGAAAGAAUCCGGAUUUUGCUCCGGGAUGUACGAGAGCUUGCCUAUGAUGCUGAACAUGUUGUCGAAACUUUUGUUAUUAAAGCCUCAUCCACUAAAAAACCAUUUCAGCGGAUGAACAGAGUCAAGUUUUCAAGAAAGAUGAAAAAUAUACAGAAAAAGAUGUCCCUCCUCUUCAAUUUAUUUUCUGAUUAUAAUAUCAUACCAACUUCUGAAUCAACUUUCUCAAACAGGGCAAGUUUUCAAGAAAGAUGAAAAAUAUACAGAAAAAGAUGUCCCUCCUCUUCAAUUUAUUUUCUGAUUAUAAUAUCAUACCAACUUCUGAAUCAACUUCCUCAAACAGAGAAUCGGGAAAACUUAAGCGAUUUCACUCUUUCACUACUCCUGAACCAGAGUUAUUUGUUGGAUUUCAUGAAGACGUUGAAUGCUUGGUGCGACAUUUGGUGGAUGAAACUCAUGAUUCUUACCCACUUAUAUCUAUUUGUGGAAUGGGGGGCCUGGGAAAGACUACUCUCGCUCAAAAGAUAUACAAUCACUCUGCCAUCAAGACUCACUUUGCUGGUUUAGCAUGGGUAUCAAUUUCGCGAAAGUGGCAGACAGAUCGUGUGUUGCAGAGAAUUCUCAUAUGUCUCGUACCUGAGAACAAAGAAUCUAUCCUUAAUAUGGACAGCAACAAGCUAGUGGAGUAUAUGCUACAUAUUAAGGAACGGAAAAAAUGCUUGAUAGUCCUCGAUGACAUAUGGUCAACUGAUGCUUGGGAUGCAUUAAAAGCUGCAUUCCCAGCCGGGAAGUCCAUAAGCAAAUUAAUGCUUACAAGCCGUAAUGUUGAGGUUGCUAAGCAUGUAAAUUUGAACGGAUUCAUUCACAAGCCAGAAUGUCUAAAUCCAGAACAAAGUUGGGAGCUACUCAAGUUGAAAGCACUUCACACAGGAAAUUGUCUAGGUACAUAAUUUUACUUGCGUUAAUUAUAGUUCAUAUACUUUUUCCGCACCCUAUCUUUGGUACGACAGCCUUAAUGAGCCAUAUUUUCUGUUACUUGAGUUGGAUAAGUUUGGUUAGAGAUCUGCCCAGACAACCUUAAAUAACAUUGUUCUGUUCAAGUAACAUUUUUUUCGUGUUUGUUUGAAUUCGUUAGUCGUUUACAAACGUAUGUAUUAGAAUUGUAAACGAAUGUAACAGUUCAUUAAGUGCCCUCUUGAGGUUGAGUUAACGAACUCGAAUUCAAACCACAUAUUUUGUUUGAGAACCUUAACAAACUUUAUGGGGUUCAGUAAUUUUUGCUGGUGUUGACUCGAAGUUUAUCGGAGUUAAGUUCAUUAACCAUUUCCCUUCCCAGUUCUUCCAUCCUUUUUACAUCUCUGGUAAUGUCUGCAAAACACAAGAUACGGGAAUCAUAUGUGUGUAUAUAUAGACACACAAACGCAAGCCAAGAUAAUUUCUAAUUUAGUCAUUUGACUGGUGCAAAUAUUUAAAAGACACGUUCAAGUUAUAGCCCUAAUUGAACAUUGUGCCGGUCUUCCGCUGGCUAUAGUCAUUCUGGGUGGAAUUCUUGUAACAAAACCGUCGUUAAUAGAGUGGGAGAAGGUAUAUCGUGACAGUAAAUCAUCCCUGAAGGCGGGGAAAGGACUUGGAGAAGCCUAUCAAAGGGAAAUAUUAAGUUUUUUAGUUUGGAGCUACAAUGAUUUACCCCCUCAGCUCAAGCCAUGCUUUUUAUAUUUAUCUAAGUUUGGUGAAGAUAAAUGGAUCAAAUUAGAGACUUUGUAUCAGCUAUGGAUCGCUGAAGGAAUGAUACUCUCGAAUGACAAAAGGAAAGGAGAAACAAUGAUACAAGUGGCUGAAUCAUACAUGGGAGAACUAUUGCAUAGGAGUAUGGUUCAAGUCAGAUUUAACAAUGUGGAAUCAUCACUUACAAAGUUUAAAGAUUGUUCUCUGCACGACCUUAUGAGAGACAUGUCUUUAAUACAAGCAAAAGGCGAAGAUUUUUUUGAAGAAAUACAUUUACAAAGUGGACAUGAGUUUCAUCUCAAAUCUACUUCAGAUUAAAGGCCAGCUUACACUCGACUUGUGAUUCAUUUGGAUGAGGAAUAUUCUAGCAAAAAAGCUAAUUACUACUUCUCUAAGAAAGGCAAUGAAAAAUGCUAUCGAUCAGUGUUAUUCUUUGGCGUCUUCGGUCCGAGAAGUUUGCCACGGGCAUUGGGGUCACAUGUUGCCAAUUUUAGGUUCCUAAAAGUGUUUUCUGUGGAAAAAUACACAAAUUUUUCUGGUGCGUUUUCUCAUAUUAACUUUGGAAGAGCAUUAGGGUCCCUUGUUUACCUGCGAUAUCUUAGUGUAAGGGGCAGUAAUUUGUUGGUUUUUCCAUCUAUGCAAAAGUUGGUGUUGUUACAAACUCUUAACUUAGAUACAUUCGAGGGUAUGUAUGUUUUACCAUGGUUGUCAAGAGAUGUUCUGGUGAAACUGGAUUGUUUGCGGCAUCUGUAUUUGCCGAUAUUUAAAGUUAACGUUUUGGGAAGGAAAUCAAAUUUUCGGUUUAAUGGGUUGAGCAAGUUAGAGACCCUGGAGAACUUUGACAGUAGUUGGUGUGAUAUUAAGGAUCUACGUGACCUAAUCAAUCUUCGAAAACUAACGGUAACAGGGAGAGGAAGCUGUAAUAUUCUGGAAGAAAUGAUGAAAAACUUGGUUGAAAUAGCCUCCUCACCAUCUUUUUGUUUGAGGUACUUGGGUGUUUGUGUUCUUUAUUGUCAUCUUCGGCUGAAAAACGGUCUUACUAUCUUGAAACAAUUGGUGUGUGCUGAAAAAUUGAACCUUCGACAUUUGAGAAUACAUGGGCGUAUCCCAGAGGUGGGUCUAAUAUUUCCAGUGCGAUAUGUUGGGGAUAAUUAUGCACAUGUAUCUACAAUUCAUAUUACAAGUUUAAAUUUAUCGAGAUCAUACUUGGAAGAGGACCCGAUGCCAAUACUUGAAAUGCUUCCAAUGUUGGGUGAUCUCUUUAUGUUUACAGAUACAUUUGUGGGGAGGAAGAUGAUGUGCUCCGCAACCGGUUUUCCUAAACUCACCAAUCUUUGUUUGUACGAGUUCCCCAAUCUUGAAAAAUGGAGGGUGGAGAAAGGAAGUAUGCCUAUCCUUUCAUACUUGCUUAUUGAAAGUUGUAACAAGUUGAAGGAGCUUCCAAAAGGCCUGGUGUUCCUCAACUCCCUUCAAGUAUUAAGAAUAUACCAAAUGCCUCAAGAUUUCAAUGAUAGGCUUACAAGGAAUGAUGGUGACGAGGGACCUGACUUUCACAAAAUAUCUCAUGUCGAUCCGUAGAGUCCGUAUAGAUAAUGAUCAGGAAUACAACUGAACGUUCUUGUAAGUUCCUAAGUUGUAACGUUUUUGUUUUGGUCUUGAAGAACAGAUUGUUUGAGAAACAAAUCAGAGAUAUUAUUAUAAUAUAUAGUAAUAAUUUUUUGAUGAGAAUAAAGGAGGUGAGAUCAACCUUAUUUAAACUGAUUGCUUCCUAAGGUUAAAUGACACACAUGCAUAUGCUCGUUAGGUAUUGUGUAAUCUCUCUAUUUUUAUUAAUAAAAUACCUCUAUUUACCUGAUAAUAUCUUCACUCCAUCUACAUACAUCAAAAGUAAUUCAUUUUUUUUGUCUUAUGUUGAUUCUGGGCCUUGGAAUGGAAUAACAAACACACGCAGAUGAGUAUAAUUCAAAGUAAUCUUCUUUUGAAUGUAGUUUAUAAUUCACUUUAAUUUUUUUAGGAAAUGAGCAAUAAUAUUGAAGAUUGUCAAAUUCUGGAAGAUUCGCCAUCUGAGGAUUCAUUGUCUACCAAUUUACAAGAUACCUACACUGCUGAAUUGGAUAUAGAGGAUGGUACACGAGCAUUUUUCAUGUCUCAUGAAGAUAUGUUAUUUCAAUCACAAGAAGAAGCAUAUAAUUUUUAUAACAGCUUUGGUUUGACUAAAGGAUGUGCAAUAGGUAAAUUUUAUAUAUACAAGUCUUAUGGUGAGAAGAACUCUUGUAUCUGAUAGAGAAGGUUUCAAAAACAAAAUAAGAGGAUGAUAGUGAGGACAACAUAAAACGACGUCGAGAAACUAGAUGUGGUUGCAAAGGUUCAAUGGAAAUUAUCCUAAAGAAAUUAGGGACAUGGAAAAUGAAAAAAAAAUUAAUAAUAUCCAUUCACAUGACUUGCUCAAGAGUCCGAAUAAGAAAAGAAAAUUAAGGUCUCAGAACAAGUUUCAUUAAGAUGCAACUUAUAAGAAAUUGAUUGAUAAAUUUAGUAGUUGCGGAGUUGGGCCAACAAAAAUAUCAGGCAUUAUAAAUACUGCUAGUGGUAGUGUUACAGAUGUCAUGACACCCCAACAAUAUUCUGAAGAGUUAAGAAUUAAGAGAAGAUAUUCAGAAUCAAGAGAAAAAAUAACAUCGGCAAGGAGUGUAUAAUUAAUGUAGUGCAGAUUAUUUUUAGAGAGGAAAGCAAGAUAUUCUGAAUUUUAGUAUGCCAUUCAACUUGACGAACAUGGCUGUACGUAGAAGUAUUUUCUGGUGUUAUGCCAGAGCGAGAAAAAUUUUAUAAGAAAAUUUCUAAUGUGAUAGUAUUAAUCGGGACUAAUACAAUUUAUUGUAGGAAUGGAGUCUUCUCAAAGAAGUGAAAGUACGAAUUCGUUUUUUGAUGGUUAUGUCAAUAGCAAUACUCCUUUGUCUAUAUAUAUUGACACGUAUGAAAAAGAAAUUACUGGCCAUCGUGAUAGAAAAGAGAUAGCGGAUUGGAUUAAUUAGAACACUGGCAAUGCAUGCCUUGGCAUCUCAGUUAGCUGUAUAUUCAUCAUCUCAUCACGAAAGGGCAGCUAUUUUGAGCGGAUGCGGAUCAAGCAAUAUUAGUUUUACUGGGGGUAAUCGCAUGACUCUCCUAGCCGUUCCACAGGGAGCUAUUUUAUCACUGAAUAGCUCUAAUGACCCAUCACCAAUAGCUUUUGUUUAAGCUCUUCUACCUUUUUUUCUGAUUCAUCCCAUAUCUAUGUCAAGUUCACGUAGCAUCACUCAUGGGGCGCACUACAAUUCCUUGUUGAAAUAUUCACGAACAGGAAGUAUGUAUUAAUAGCAAUGAGUGAUGCUAUUGUUCCUCUGGCAAGUGGUAUAGAAGAGCUUUUGCGCCAUGUUUCUUCACUGAAGAGUUUUGGUGUUCAUUUAAUAAUCAAAAUUGUCAAUAAGAUUUCCUUAAUAGGGGACUCUAGGCUUACUGUGCCCUCAGAAAAAGUCGAUGGGAGUACUUCAAUGAAGAACGCACCUGGUAUGCUUGAAAGCUAAAGUUUAUAAUCUAUUAUGUCUUAUUCUUCAUUACAAUUAAUAAAUCAUCGAUCUUUCAUACGCAAGUAUGGUAAUUUAUGGGGGUUCUACUGUAUUAGACUAUUAGGUGUUGUAUUAGAUGCUGAAUUUCUUAUCUCAGUUAUUAUUUAAUAAGCAUGUAGGAUAAAUUAUUGUCGAUGAAGGUGAUGCAAAAAAGAUGUAUACCGGGUCAUUUUAUAAUUGUUUAGUAAUUUACCCUAGAAGUCCACGAGCUACUCGGUUGUUAAUUAAACUUUGUUUUUACAUGCUCAUCGUUUAGUAAUUUACCCUAGAAGUCCAUGAGCUAAUCAGUUUGUUAAUUAAACUUUGUUUUUACAUGCUCAUCGUUUAGUACUUGAUGAUUGUCAUUUAUUUGGGAAUUGAAUAAUGAAUUAAUAUUUAUAUACACAAAUAGGUUCAUAUCUAUUAAUCGGCUCUAGUUUAACUAUCAGGUUUUAUAAUUGUAAACACUACGCCAUAAAAGGCCUAUCGCAACGCGACCUUUGUAAAUGUUGCUAAAAAAUGUUACCUUAGCUACACUACUUUCACCCUUCCGCAACAUAAUAUUUUUCAUGUUAGCUUAGCCAAAAAGGGGAUGUUGCCUUUGUUAGAAAGUGUUUAAGGGUGCAACAUGGAGACAAAUAUGUUAGCUUAAGCUAUUAAAAUGUGAAAAUAAUAUUUUAACUUAAAAUUAAAGAAAAAAGUAAUUACUUGUAUUAAAAAUAAAAAUAGAAGUUAUGUAAUAAUAUAAACUAAAAAUAUAAAAAAUUAUAUAAAAUAUUAAAUAAUUUAAUAGGUGAAUGAUUUUAUUUUAAAUAAUAAAUAUAUGUUUAUUUAUUUAAAAAGUAAAAUAAAAUGUAAACAAAAAAAUAAAAUAUAAACUAAAUAUAUGUAUAUAUGUUUAUUUGAACAAGCGGGCGUGGUUCCCGGUGAAAUCAGACAAGCAGCGGGACUUUGUUUCACUAACACCCCGCCCCAUUUUUUCACUUCCUUUUCCACUCACACUCAGUCAUCUCUCAUUUUCCACACAGUCCUCUCUCGCUCUUCACCCCCACAUCUCGUCUCUCUCUCUCUCUUUUCACCCCCACAGUCGCCUCUCUCUCUUUUCACCGUGUCUCUCUCGUCGCUCUGGUCUCUCUGGUCUCUCAUCAGCACAUCUCUCUCAUCUCAGGUUUGGAUUUCAAGUUAGGGCAUGGUUUGAGGGCUCGAUGCUUUGAUACUCCUAACUAGGGGUUUCUCUCUUUAAAUCAGGGCUUCAUUUCUUUAUUUUCUUCCAUUUACAGGUCUUUCUUCUUUUAAACUACAUCUAAUCGUACUUUAUCUUUGAUUUCAGGUAUUUUCAGCGGAGGCUUUGCAUUUGGAAUUAGGUAUGGUGGCUUUGAUUUAAUUUUUUUCAUUUGUAUAUAGUGGGGGCUGUUAAUCUAACUUUAUUUUCUAUUUUCAGGGCUUCUUCGGUUGAUUUUAAGGAUUUCAUUUAAAGGAUUUAAAAUUAGGGUUUCAGUUUAAAGAUUUUGCUACAGGUAUCUCCCUCUCUGCUUCAACAUUUUUGAGUUUUUGGGUUUGUUUUUGUUGUUAUUUGUUUUUAUUAGGGAAGUUAUCUGAUUUUUGUUUUUAUUAGGGGUUUGGAAUUGCAUUUUAUGAAUCUUUGUUGUUUUCAUUUUGUGGCAUUUGUUAUUUGUUGCAUUUUGUAGUUAAUAUUUGUUACUAGUUAACAUUUGAUUUAUAUUUUGUGGUAAGUGUAUGUGUCCAGGACUUGUUAUUAAAUAUUUAUGCUUGAAAUAGGUUGUUCUGGUGACCAGUUAUGACUCUGUUUUGUGGUUUCUAUAUGUAUGCUCUGUUUAUAACUUAAAAAAUUUGACAAUUAAGAGUAGCUGGUGUUGAUUCUCUGUUGAACAUUUGUAUAUUUUUGUGCUCUGCUGCCAUACAUGUAAGAUUCCAUUGUAGAUAUUGUGAGCUAGUUGGUUAGAUGCCAUAACAUAUUAUCUUGGCUCAUAAACUCUAUGUAUACUCUAUAUAUAACUUAAGGGAAUUGCGAUAAAUUUCUAUGUAUGACUUACCUGAUUAAAAGAAUAUUGUUGUUAAUGAUUUGUAUGAUUAAUAAUAUGCAUGUGUUUGGUCUUAUAUUUGAAAGUGAAACUAUAAAUUAUGACAUAUAUGUAGAAUUAAAAGUAGAAUUGCAAAUUUUUUUGGAUAAAAUGUUGCAGUAGCCUAUUUAAAUGUUGCAAAACUUGUAUUUCAAAACUGUUGCAGUAUAGGAAAAAUAUGUUGCCAAUUUAGCUGCUGCCACCUGGCAACUUGAUGGCCCCCACGUGGGCCCCACAGUGGCCCCCACGUGGGCCCCACAAUGGCCCCCACGUGGGCCCCACUUUUUUAAAAAAAUAAAAUUACUCUAAGGUAACAUAAUUUUUUGUUGGAGUAGGAGAAUAAAAUGUUAGAUUAAACACUCUUUGCUAACAUAUCUCGGUUGUUGCUGUAGGCAAACGAUAUGUUGCCUUAGACCCCCUAAGGCAACGGCAAAAAUCCUAUCAUAAAAUAAAUGUUGCCUUAGCCCUUUUAUGGGCCUUUAGCAACAUAUUGACCCCAUUCUGCAACAAUUUUUUUAUGUUAGAUAAGGCCUUUUAUGGUGUAGUGAAACUCGAUGCGGCUAGCUUGAGUAAACUCGACGCGGCUAGAUUAGUAAAUUCGACUUGACUUACACAAGAAGUGAGCGGGAGUCGAAUAAUAUAUAUAUUCGAGAAAACAAAGGAUAAACACAUAACUUGGAUUAUCUAAUAACGCUUAACUCGACUCACACUUAUUUAUUGUGCUAGCAAUGCAAACUUGGACUCUAACUAAUAGGGUUAGUUAUCACUAGGUCACUUUUUACACCAGAUAAUAUCAAGUGAUCACUCGAAAAUUUUUGGGCUCAUUUCAAUCACUAAAGUUAUAAAAAAUAUUAAAUAUUUACCUCUAAUAUAUUUUCGAGAAGUAAACUUUAUUUUUCACUGAAUUCCAUACAUUUUUCUUGUAUGUUAGUAUAGUCAAAUGAAAGGUUAUGAAUUUCAGUAUUUAUGAUAAUAUAUUCAGAUUUUAAAAAAUUUAUUUUCUAUUUAUUUUUAAUUUUACAAUUUUUUUUGUUUAACUUAAAUCAAAUAAAUAAGUACCCCAUCCGUGCUUUUACAUAUAAUCAAGCUCUCAUGGACCACAGAUGGGUUGAUGCCAUGAAUAAAGAGCUUCAUGCUCUAGAAACAAACAAUACCUGGCAAGUAGUUUCACCUCCCCCAAAUAAAAAGGUCGUUGGUUGUAAGUGGGAUUAUAAGGUAAAAUACUUGUUAGAUGGCUCUUUAGACAAAUUCAAGGCAUGCCUCGUUGCUAAGAGAUACACAUAGAUUGAAGGGCAGGAUUAUCAUAAUACCUUAUCACCUGUAGCUAAGAUGGCUACAGUUCAGACUGUCCUGGCAUUAGCCACUGUCAAACAUUGGGACAUACACCAGUUGGAGGUCAAUAAUGCGUUCCAUCAUGGUGAAUUAUCUGAAGAAGUUUAUAUGGAACUUCCUCAAGGUCACCCUGUUCAUGGUUCUGGUCUUGUUUGCCGCUUAAUCAAGUCUAUAUAUAGUUUGAAGGAAGCAUCACAGUUAUGGUUUGAGAAACUUGCUUCAGUUUUGCUUGACCUUGGGUUCACUCAAAAUAGUUGCAUAAUACUUUUUAUUUGUCAACAAAACAGAUGUUGUUUUUAUAGUUGCCCUACUUUAUGUCGGUGACACAUAUACUUCUCACUGGUAACAGUAGUGAGUUUAUUUCUCAUGUCAAAUCUGUUUACCAUUCUACUUUCACCAUCAAAGAUUUGGGCUUAGCCAAGUACUAUCUUGGUCAUGAGAUACACAGAACUACAGAAGGUCUGUAUUUUCACCAGCACAAGUUCGUACAUGAUAUUCUUCUCGAAGCAGGUUUGGAACAUUGUAAUCCCUUGUCUUUGCCUGUUGAUCACACCAUUAAACUUUCACCCACUGAUGGUGAACUUUUAUCUGAACCCACCAUUUAUCAAAAGUUUGUGGGGAAGUUGCUUUACCUAACCGUUCAAGGCCUGACAUUACAUAUGUUGUACAUCAUUUGAGCCACUUUUUGCAAAAUCCUCGUGUACCUCAUAUGUUGGCAAUGCAAUGUGUUUUACGUUACUUAAAAGGUACACCCUACCAAGGCUUGUUCUACUCUGCAAAUACUACCCUCAAACUUCAGGCGUAUUGUGACAGUGACUGGGGGUCUACAUUGGAUUCUUCUGGUAUGCUGACAAGCAUCACUAGCAUGUGUUUUACUUUGGGAUCUUCUUUUGUUAACUGGCUUUCCACCAAGCAGAAGGUCGUUUCUCGAUCCACAGCUGUGAUUGAACUCGGGGCUGUUGUAGAUACUGCAUGUGAGGUUUCUUGGUUCAAUCUGCUGUAAGGUGAACUCCAAGUACCUCAGUCUUUGCAUGUUGUAAUUCAUAGUGAUAACCAGGCCGCAUUAGAUAUUGCUGCCAACCCGGUUUUUCAUCCUCGUUAUCUUCCUCGUGCAUCUCAGCUGGCUAAUAUUUUCACAAAAUGCUUGGGGCGAUCAGCUCAUUGGCAUGUAUUAUCUAGAUUGAAUGUUUCACAUCCACCUUCAAUCUGAGGGGGCUACUACACUGCUUAUCACCAGAACUCCACUAUCUCUUAUCAAGGCUACUUAUCAUAACCGUUUUAUAACAGAAUUCUGUAUAUAGUGCGGAUAGCUUGUAGUUGUUUCUCCAAUCUUCUCUAUAACAAACAUUUUUCUCUCUUCAAUAAUGUGAAUAUGUUAAAGUCAAUACUAGUCCCAAGUAACCCCAAAGUCUAAGAUAGAGCUACCAAUUUUUUGGUUUCUAGUUAUGUAGUCCAGCAGUAUAAUAAAGGCAACUACAAGUUUCUGGUUGUAUAGUUUAUGGUUGAACUAUUAUAUGAUUAUACAAUUCAACGGCUUAGAUUAUGUCUGGUAUAUAUAUUGUAAGGUGUAUUUGGGCCUGUUAAACAGCCAUCAAUCGGCGGAAUGCGAUAUAUGGUUACAUUUAUUGUUAAAGCAAUGUUUGCUUUAAAGAUUUAAUCGAAGGAGAGUCGACCCACAAAAUCAAGUGCUUACGUAUAGACAAUGGAGGAGAGUAUAGCUCAAAGGAGUUUAGUCAAUAUCUACGAGCUAAUAAAAUCCGUCAUCAAUUUACAUGUGCAAACACACCCCAGCAAAACGGUGUUGCAGAGAGGAAAAAUCGACAUCUUGCUGAAAUAUGUCGAAGUAUGUUACAUGCUAAUAACGUGCCUGGAAAAUAUAGGGCUGAAGCUAUAACUACGGCAUCUCUUGUCAUUAACAAGCUUCCUCAACCAAGGCUGGAUUUCGUCACGCCUUUUGAAAAAUUAUGGACAAAGAAACCUGCUGUAAGUUAUCUUCGGGUGUUUGGUUGUGUUUGCUAUGUAUUUGUUCUUGAUCAUUUACGUAGCAAGAUUGAUAGGAAAGCAGUCAGAUGUAUCUUUGUGAAAUACGACAAUCAACGAAAAGGAUGGAAGUGUUGUGAUCCAACAACCGGAAGAUGUUACACAUCACGUAAUGUGGUUUUUGAUGAAGCAUCUUCGUGGUGGACUUCAGAGAAAGAAAUAGCGCCUAUCACUGAAGAAUUUGAGAAAAAGAUGGAACAAAAGAUGAGUGAGCAUAUUGUUCAAAUUUUUCCAAGUUCAGAUGGAGAUAUACGUAAUGAUGAUGAGCCAAACGUCACAAAAAAUCCUUGUAAAUCUGGUAUGUAUUAACAACCAGAUGAAAGCUAUAAUUCUGGUGAAGAAUCAGCUCCAUAACGAAGGUCAACAACAACUCGGAGGGCAAAUGUUAGAUAUGCUAAUGCAGCAAUAAUCGAAGAAAUAGAACCUGAGACGUUCGAAGAAGCAUCACAAAAAUCAAAAUGGAUAACAUCUAUGAAAGAUGAGAUCAAUUCCCUUCAAGAGAAUCAAACUUGGGAAUUAGUGUCAAAGCCACACGAUGUGAAACCUAUAUUCUGCAAAUAGGUUAACAAAAUAAAGCGCCGUCCAGAUGGGUCGGUUGAGAGACAUAAGGCUCGACUAGUAGCUUGUGGCUUCUCUCAGCAGUACGGACUAGACUACGAUGAAACGUUUAGUCCGGUGGCAAAACUCACAACUGUAAGAGUCUUGCUUGCAUUGGCGGCUAACAAAAAUUGGAAGUUGUGGCAAAUGGAUGUGAAGAAUCCCUUUUUAAAUGGAGAGUUGGACCGAGUGAUUUACAUGAAUCAACCAAGUGGUUUCGAAAGUGUAACUCAUCCUAAUUUUGUUUGCAAACUCAGAAAAGCGCUUUACGGAUUAAAGUAGGCACCAUGUGCGUGGUACGGGAAGAUAGAUGAGUUUUUAAGCCUACGUGGUUAUGUGAUGACACAGUCAGAUUCUAGUUUAUUUGUUAAAAUAAGAGAAGGGAAGUUGGCAGUGUUGUUGGUAUACGUAGAUGAUUUAAUCAUUACAGGAGAUGACAUCAAAGAAAUUUUUCAAAUAAAGAAAAAUUUAUCAGUCCAUUUUCAGAUGAAAAAACUAGGAGAGCUCAAGCACUUCUUGAGAUUAGAGGUUGAUCAUACUGAAAAUGGGUUGUUUCUUUGUCAACAAAAGUAUGCUACAGACUUACUAAAAAGGUUUGGCAUGCUUGAAUGUAAGCCAAUAUCAACACCCAUGGAACCAAAUGCGAAAUUAUGUGCUAAUGAAGGAAAAGAUUUGCAAGAUUCAUCAAUGUAUCGACAAAUAGUAGGUAGUCUAAUCUACUUGACUAUAACCCGACCUGAUAUAUCAUAUUCAGUUGGUGUGAUAAGUCGAUACAUGCAAAAUCGAAUGAAGUCUCACUUAGAAGCUGUUCGAAGAGUACUCAGAUAUAUAAAAGGUACUGUAAGUUAUGGUCUGAUGUACAGGAAGGGUGAAGAUUGUAGUGUGCUUGGAUAUUGUGAUGCUGACUACGCAGGAGAUCAUGAUACUUGUAGGUCAACUACAGGGUAUAUGUUUAUGCUUGAAUCUAGGGCAGUUUCUUGGUGUAGUAAGAGACAACCAACAGUGUCUCUGUCAACAACAGAUGCCGAAUAUCGGGCAGCUGCAAUGGCAUCUCAAGAGAGCACAUGGCUGAUCCAACUAAUGCAAGAUUUGCAUCAGCCAGUAGACGCGGAAAUUCCACUCCUUUGUGAUAAUCAAUCAGCAAUUCGUUUGGCUGAAAAUCCAAUGUUUCAUGCAAGGACAAAAACAUGUUAAAGUACAUUAUCAUUUUCUUCGAGAAGAAGUUUUGCAAGGAGAGAUUGCAAUGAGACAUAUUGCGACACGUGAACAAGUUGCAGAUAUGUUUACCAAAAGCUUAAGUCCAGGAAAGUAUGAGAAGUUUCGCUGCCAACUGGGAGUUGUUCAGAGAAUGGGAACUAAAACAUUGAUGGAGAGUGUUAAAGUCAAUACUAGUCCCAAGUAACCCAAAAGUCUAAGUUACAGCUACCAAUUUUUUGUUUUUUAGUUAUGUAGUCCAGCAGUAUAAUAAAGGCAACUACUAGUUUCUGGUCGGAUAGUUUCUGAUUGAAUUAGUAUAUGAUUAUACAAUUCAAUGGCUUAGAUUAUGUCUGGUAUAUAUAUUGUAAGGUGUAGAUGAUUUGCUGGAACCUAUAAAUAUCCUUUGUAUCUGAGUUUAUUAAUAUAACAAGUAACAGUUUGUUUCUUAAGUCUAGAGAGAAAAGAUCAGUUCAUACUUGUUAGUGUAACUAGUGCGUUCUUAUUCUAAAGAGAGAAGAGUGAAUGCAGAGAGUGUUUUCUACAGAAUAUACCUGUGUUGUGUUAGUGUACUGAAGCUCAGUUUCAAGCUUUAAUGGCGUUUAUAACAACUUAAGAGUGAUAGAAUCUAAACAAGCCAUUUUAUGAGCAUGAUUAUCUCCCAAGACAGUCCGCAGUUGUGAUUUAGCACGCAACACAAAGAGAUGCAAUAACAAUAUGACUAGUGAGUGAGACUUGAGAUUUAGACCUGCAAUAUCACUUUAUACCCAAAGUUGAGACUCAUGUCUAACACUAAAAUUUUCUGUAAACAUAUUAAUUAUUUUGAUAUAGGGGUUAUUAGAUUUUAAUAUUGGUCCCUACUUGAUACCCAAAUAUCUUAUGAAUUACUCCCUCAAUCUCAUAUUAUGUGUCCAAUUUUGACUAUUAGAUGAUCAAUUUAACUAAACUUUGACCAUUAACUAAACAAAAUUUAUUAAUUAUUUUAAAAUUUUAAAAAUUGGAUUUUGAAGGGGAUUAGAUAUAUUUUUUAAUAAAGUAAGUUUUCAAUCUUUUGAAGUCGGAUAAUAUCUGUAAUUUGUGUUCAAAGUAUAGUCAAUUUGACUCUUCAAUAGUCAAAACAAAACACAUAAUAUGAGAUGGAGGGAGUAAAAAAAUUUAUCACCUUAGAGAAUAUUAAUUUAUAGGAUUUCACUAUAUUAGAUGUUGAAUUUCUUAUUUUAGUUAUUACUCCCGAUGUCCAAGAGAGUCGCUUUAACUCUUUACACGUAAUAUGAGAUGUAAGAAGACAUAUUUUUCAUAUUAUUUUUCAAAAAAAUUUUUUGUGAAUAAAAAUAUAGAUGUUAAAUUUUUAUUUAGAAAAUGAAACUUUGAAAAAUAAUAUAUAGAUAUAUGAUGUGUUUUUUACACCUAUGGGAUCGAUGGAAUAUUUAGUAAGCAAGUAGGGUUAAUAAUCGUCGUCGAAGGUGGUGCAAACAAUUAUGAAUGCCGAGUCAUUUUGUAUUUGUUUAGUAAUUUAUGGUAGAAGUCCACGGGCUAAGGGGUUGUUAAACUUUAAUUUUACAUGCUCAUCUUUUAGUAUACAACUAGUGAAAAAAGCCGCGCUUCACGGCGGCGUGAUAAAUUUUGAUAUGAAUCCGUAUUAUAAUAUUAUAAAUAUUAUUUUGAGUCAUCUUCCCGUUAAACAUAUCACAAAUAAAAAAUGUUAUAAUUGACGUAAAAAUUUGUUUAAGUGGUCAUCCUAUCAAACAUAAUACUAAUAAUAAAAUUAGUUCGAACCCCCUUCCGUCAAAGACAAUAUUAAUCCAUAAUUAUUAUUUAUAUGAUAAAAUUAAAUAUUAUAAUUUAGAUCGAAAUUAGUUUGAGCUUCUCUCUUAUCAAACACAAUACUAAUAACAAAACUUUAUAAUUUAAAUAUUAGUUAGAGUCUCUUUACUGUCAAACACAAUACUAAUAAAAAUUAUUCUAAUUAUAAUAAAAUUAAAGAUUAUAAUUGGAUAAAAAAUAUUUUGAACUGUGACAAAAAAAAUAUUAUAACAUAGAUAAAAAAUUAUUUUAGCCACUUUCCCGUCAAAAAUAAUACUCUUAGAAAAAAUUAUUAUUAUUUAGAUAAAAAUUAGUAUGGGCCGCCUCCCGUGCCCGUCAAAUACAAUACUAAUCGAGAAUCAUUUUACAUUAUCAUAAAAUCAAUAUAUGAUUCCUAUUUUUUAUAUCCUAUUUUUCUUUAUUUGUUAUUUUUAUUUUAUGAUUUCUAUUUAUUUGUUAAAAAUAUUAUUCGUUUAUGGUUCUUUUUUUUUUUUGCUAUUAGUUUUUUUUAUGAUUAUUAUCUUUAUAAUCUUUUAUUUCUAUUCAGAAAUUUAAGAAAAUCCGCGAUCUGAGGGGAAAUUGAAAGAGAUAAUUAAUGAAAAUGAUGAAAUUAGACGCAUGGAGGUUGUUAAUUACAUGUUCGUACCUCGCUUCGACAUCUUGAUCGAUCCGUUAUCUCUCUCGGGAUCUCUCCCUGAGGCGCCGUUGAUGAGGGGAGGAGGGGUUUAUAUGGAGAUCGGGCUUGUGUAGGUUUUAAGUGAAUAUUACUUCGUCAAUAAAACGACAUCGUCAGGUUCACUUUCUUGGGAGGGAAUUUGGUCGCCGCCGGUGCUCAAUAAAUAAAUUAAAUUAUAAAUUUUUUUAUUUGAAAUUUAAGAAAAUUAUUAGAAUAAAUCGGAAAUAUAAAUAGUAUUUAUUCUAUGAUUGUUAGUUUGAAUAAAUAUAAUCCUAUUAAUUCCUUUUGGGAUACGUAAAUAAGAAAAAAACUGAAUUAUAAAUAAAUAUUCGAUAGAGAUGAGAAGAUUGCAAUCACUACUUUUUGAAAAAAAAUUACAAAAAAAAUUAUAAAUUUAUAACUUUUGAGAAUAAGAAUCGUACUCUUUUUAAUAAUUUUUAUAUUAAUAUAUAAUUAACAAUAAGAAUUGUAUUACCCUUAUGAUUCCUGAAUUGGAAAAAGAAUUGUAUUACAUUUGGAACUCAAUAAGAAAAGAAUUGUAUGACCUUUAGAAUUCUUAAACAUGAUUUUUUGAAUUAUAACUAUAUUUUUCUCCGAAAUUUAAGAAAAAUCAGAAGACUGAAUCGAGCUAUUUUAGAGACGCCCGCAUUCUCCUUUAUAUACUUUAGAAUUCAAUACGAAAUACUAAAUAAGAAAAGAAUUGUAUCAUCUUUAGAAUUCAAUAUGAAAAGAAUUGUAUUACUUUUAGAAUUCUUGAACAUGAUUUUUUGAAUUAUAAUUAUAGUUUCUAUCCGAAAUUUAAGAAAAAUUAGAAGACUGAAUCGAGCAAUUCUAGAGACGCCUGCAUCCUCCUUUAUAUAUAUAUAUUGAUGAUCGUCAUUCAUUUGAAAAUUAUAUAAUAAAUUAAUAUUUAUAUACACAAGUAGGCUAGUAGUACUUGUAUUAAUCUGCUGGCUCCAUCAGUUCAGCUAUCAUUUUCUUAAUUGUACGUCAAAGGGGAAUAACAGUUAACAAUUAUAGAGAAUCUGAUGUGCAAAUACGCAAGUCACUUCAUCAUUAUUUAGUACUUAGUUGUACAACUAUGAGCUGAUUAGGGCUGUUCACGAACCGAGCCGAGCCGAGUUUUGACCGAGUCGAGCCGAGCUUUAAAUUUUUUCUUAUCGAACCGAGCCCACCCGAGCUUUCUUAUCGAACAAAAAAGUGUGUUCGAGCUCGAGCUCGAUAACUAACGAGCCGAACACGAGGUUGUUCACGAACAAAUACGAGCCGAGUCGAGCCGAGCCGAGUCGAGCUAGAGAAAAAUAAGGCCAAACCGCUACUUUACUCUUAAAAUAGCAAGCCAAAUAAAAUUUUUAGUAUGUUUUGAUGGUACCAUAUUAUAGUUGAUAUUCUCAUGAUCGAUUUGAUAUAUUAUAUGUUGAAUUCGGCGUUCAAUAACAUAUAUAUAUUACGAAAUUAUUAUGAAAAUAUUCUUUUUUUUCGAGCUUUAACGAGCCGAGCUCGAGCCGAACAUACUAAAAGCUCGGCUUGAGCUCGUUUUCUUAACGAACAAUUUUUUGUGUUCGAGCUCGAGCUCGUUAACUUAACGAGCCGAGCCGAACGAGCUCUUAACAAGCCGAGCUCGAGCUUGUUCGCGAACAGCUCGGUUCGUUAAACAGCUCUAGAGCUGAUCGGUUGUUGAACUUUGUUUUCACAUGCUCCUAAAUUAACAUAUAAUGAUUGUCAUUGUUUAGUAAUCUGCAGGCUUCAUGCAGCUCAACUCCUUUAUGAAGAGUUGUUUGCUUUCUGCAGAAGAGUAACAAAUUUCAAUGGCUGAAGCAAUUGUGUCUAUUGUUGUGGGAAGGCUCACUGAUUUGUUGAUUGAAAAAGCUCAUAUCCUUCAUGAAGUGAGAGAUGAAAUUGAAGUCGCCGUAGCUGGGCUCAUGCGGAUGAAAACAUUCUUACCAGAUGCUGAUUCAAGGAUCGAUGUAGAAAGAAUCCGGAUUUUGCUCCGCGAUGUACGAGAGCUUGCCUAUGAUGCUGAACAUGCUGUCGAAAGUUUUGUUAUCAAAGCCUCAUCUACUAAAAAAUCAUUUCAGUGGAUGAACAGAGGCAUGUUUUCAAGAAAGAUAAAAAAUAUACAAAAAAAGAUGUCCAUCUUCUUCGAUUUAUUUUCUGAUUAUAAUAUCAGACCAACUUCUGAAUCAUCAACUUCCUCCAACAGAGAAUCGGGAAAACUAAAGCGAUUUCACUCUUUCACUACUCCUGAACCAGAGAUAUUUGUUGGAUAUCAUAAAGACGUUGAACGCUUGGUGCGACGUUUGGUGAAUGAAGCUGAUGAUUCUUACCCACUUAUAUCUAUUUGUGGAAUGGGGGGUCUGGGAAAGACCACUCUCGCUCAAAAGAUAUACAAUCACUCUGCCAUCAAGACUCACUUUGCUGGUUUAGCAUGGGUAACAAUCUCGCAAAAGUGGCAAACAGAUCGUGUGUUGCAAAGAAUUCUCAUAUGUCUCGUCCCUGAGAACAAAGAGUCUAUCCUUAAUAUGGACACUGACAAGCUAGUGGAGUAUAUGCUACAAAUCCAGGAAAGGAAGAAAUGUUUGAUAGUUCUCGAUGAUAUAUGGUCACCUCAUGCUUGGGAUGCAUUAAAAGCUGCAUUUCCAGCCGGGAAGUCCAUGAGCAAAUUAAUGCUUACAAGCCGUAAUGCUGAGGUUGCUGAGCAUGUAAAUUUAAACGGAUUCAUUCACAAACCAAAAAUUUUAAGUCCGGAACAAAGUUGGGAGCUACUCAAGUUGAAAGCACUUCACACAGGAAACUAUCUAGGUUCAUAUACUUCUUUUGAUCAUAUACUGUUUUUUACCAUAUGUUUUGUCCGGGAACCUUAACCAACCAUAUUUUUUGUUACUUGAGUUCGAUAAGUUUGGUUAGAGAUCUGUCCAAAAAUCUUAAAGAACAUUGUUCUCUCAAACAUUUUGUUCGUGUUCGUUUGAAUUCGGCUCGUUUACAAAUCUAUGUAUAAGAAUUGUAAACGAAUCUAACGGUUCAUUAAGCGUGCUCUUGAGGUUGAGUUAGCAAACUCGAGUUCAAACCAAAUAUUUUAAACAUAUUAGUUAAACGACUAAAUUAUAAAUUAUCUUGGCUUGUCUGUGUGGGUCUAUAUAUAUACACACACAUAUGAUUCAUGUUUCUUGUGUGCUGCAGACAUUACCAGAGAUGUAAAAAGGAUGGAAGAACUGGGAAGGGAAAUGGUUGAACAUUGUGCCGGUCUUCCGCUAGCUAUAGUCAUUUUGGGUGGAAUUUUGGUAACAAAACCGUCGUUGAUAGAGUGGGAGAAGGUAUAUCGUGAUAGUAAAUCAUCCCUAAAGGCGGGGAAAGGACUGGGAGAAGCCUAUCAAAGGGGAAUAGUAAGUGUUUUAGUUUGGAGUUACAAUGAUUUACCCCCUCAGCUGAAGCCAUGCUUUAUGUAUUUAUCUAAGUUUGGUGAAGAUAAAUGGAUAGAAUCACAGACUUUGUAUCAGCUAUGGAUCGCUGAAGGAAUGGUACUCUCGAGUGACAAAAGAGAAGGAGAAACAAUGAUUCAAGUUGCCGAAUCAUACAUGGGAGAACUAGUCCACAGGAGUAUGGUUCAAGUAAGAUUUAACAACGUGGAAUCAUCUCUUACAAAGUUUGAAGAUUUUUCUCUGCACGACCUUAUGAGAGACAUGUCUUUAAUACAAGCAAAAGCAGAAGAUUUUAUUGAAGAUAUACAUUUCCAAAGUGGAAAUGAGCUUCAUCUCAAAUCUACUGCAGAUUCAAGGUCAGCUUCCACUCGACUUGUGAUUCAUUUGGAUGAGGAAUAUUCUAGCAAAAAAGCUAAUUACUACUUUUCUAAGAAAGGCAAUGAAAAAUGCUAUCGAUCAAUGUUAUUCUUUGGUGACUUUGGUCCGAGAAGUCUGCCACGGGCAUUAAUGGGGUCACAAGUUGCCAAUUUUAGGUUCCUAAAAGUGCUUUCUGUGGAGAAUUAUACCAAUUUUUCUGGUGUGUUUUAUCAUAUUAAUUUUGGAAGAGCAUUAGGGUCCCUUGUUUACUUGCGAUAUCUUAGUGUAAGAGGCAGUAAUUUGUUGGUUCUUCCAUCCGUACAAAGGUUGGUGCUGUUACAAACUCUUAAAUUAAAUACCCAUGAGGGUAUAUAUGUUUUACCAUGGUUGUCAAGAGAUGUUCUGGUGAAGCUGGAUUGUUUGCGGCAUCUGUUUUUGCCUAAAUUUAAAGUUGACGUUUUGAGAAGGAAAUCGAAAUUUCGGUUGAAUGGGUUGUGCAAGUUAGAGACACUGGAGAACUUUGACACAGCUUGGUGCGAGGUUAAUGAUCUACGUGAACUAAUCAAUCUUCGGAAACUAAGGCUAACAGUGGCAGGUAGCUGUGAUAUUCUGGAAGAAGUGAUGAAAAACUUGGGUGAUAUAGCCUCCUCACCAUCUUCAUGUUUGAGGUACUUGGGUGUUUGUAUUGCUUAUUGUGAUAUCGAGCUGAACAAUGGUCUUACUAUCUUGAAACAAUUGGUAUAUGGUGAAAAUUUGAAUCUUAGAGAAUUGAAAAUAUAUGGUCGUAUCCAAGAGGUGGGUCUAAUAUUUCCGCUGCAUGUAUCUACAUCAAUUUGUAUUACAAGAUUAGAUUUAUCGAGAUCAAACCUGGAAGAAGACCCAAUGCCAAUACUGGAAAUGCUGCCAAUGUUGGGUUUUCUCUAUAUGUUUACGAAUACAUUUAUGGGGAAGGAGAUGGUGUGCUCCGCAACCGGUUUUCCUAAACUGACCGAUCUUUAUUUGGACAGCUUCCCUAACCUUGAAAAAUGGAGGGUGGAGAAAGGAAGCAUGCCCAUUCUUUCAUGGUUGCUUAUUCAAAGAUGUAACAAUUUGGAGGAACUUCCACAAGGCCUGGUGUUCAUCAAGUCCCUUCAACUGCUACAAAUAAUCAAAAUGCCUCAAGAUUUCAAUGAUAGGCUUAUAAGAGAUGAUGGUGAAGAGGGACCCGAUUUUCACAAAAUUUCUCAUGUCCGUAGACUCAAUAUCGACGGUCAGGAAUACAAUUGAAUGUUCUUGUGUAAGUUUGUUAGUCAUAGAACUUUUUGUUUUGGUCCGGGAGAACAUAUUGCUUCAUAAGCAAAUGACCAAAAAAGUCUUGUCCAUAUUUUAAAAAGUUAAUAAAACUUUUAACUUUUUCAUUUUAAAUCAGUAAUUUAAUAUGAUUGAUUUAUUUUUAUCAAAAUUAAUACUUUAACUAUUGUUAAAUAAUUAAUAUAUGAAUUCAAGUGAAAUUAUAUUUUAUUUAGUAAUCAAUUUUAUAAACUAGUAUGCUAAUCUAAUUAUAACAGAGAAUCGGGAAAGCUAAAGCGAUUUCCUAAAAGUUGCCAAUUUUAGUUUCCUAAAAGUGUUUUCUGUGGAGAAUUACAGAAAUUUUUCUGGUGCGUUUUCUCUUAUUAAUUUUGGAAGAGCAUUAGGGGCCCUUGUUUACUUGCGAUAUCUCAGUGUAAGAGAGACUAAUUUGUUGGUUUUUCCAUUUCUAAGAAAGUUGGUGCUGCUGCAAACUCUUAAAUUGGAUAUUUUCAACGUGAACUAUGUUUUACCAUGGCUGUCAAGAGAUGUUCUGGUGAAGCUGGAUUGUUUGAGGCAUCUGUAUCUGCCUAAAUUUAAAGUUUACGUUUUGGGAUGGAAAUCGAAAUUUCGGUUUUAUGGGUUGAGCAAGUUAGAGACCCUGGAGAACUUUGAGACUACUUGGUGUGAGGCUAAGGAUCUACGUGAACUAAUCAAUCUAAGGAAACUAACGCUAACAGUGAGAGAUAGCUUUGAUAUUCUGGAAGUAGUGAUGAAAAACUUGGCUGAUCUGGCCUCCUCGCCAUCUUCAUGUCUGAGGUACUUGGGUGUCACUAUUAUUAAUUGUGGAAUCAUGCUGAACAAUGGUCUUACUAUCUUAAAACAAUUGGUACAUGCUGAAAAUUUGAACCUUCGGGAUUUGAAAAUAUAUGGGCGUAUCCCAGAGUUGGGUCUAAUAUUUCCGCUUCAAUAUGUAUCUACAAUUGGUAUUACAAGUUUAACUUUAGCGAGUUCAUGCCUGGAAGAAGACCCAAUGCCAAUACUGGAAAUGCUUCCAAUGUUGGGUGUUCUCCACAUGUUUGGGAGGAAUCCAUAUGUGGGGAAGGAGAUGGUGUGCUCCGCAACCGGUUUUCCUAAACUCACCGUUCUUUAUUUCGUCGGCUUGCCUAACCUUGAAAAAUGGAGGGUGGAGAAAGGAAGCAUGCCCAUGCUUUCAUAUUUGUGUAUUGGAAAAUGUAAGAAAUUGGAGGAGCUUCCACAAGGUCUGAUGUUCCUCAGUUCUCUUGUAGGAAUAUUCCUACAACAAAUGCCUCAAGAUUUCAAUUAUAGGAUCACAAGAGAGGAUGGCGGGGAAGGACCCGACUUUCACAAAAUUUCUCACGUCCCUAGAGUUAGUAUCAACAAUCAAAAUUAUGAUUCUAUGUUUUCCGUAUUCAUGUAAGGUUUUUUCGAUAUUAUGAAAAUCAGUUUUUUGUUUCCCAUACUUGUUAAGUUAUAAUUUACUUUUUAUUAAAACUAGCUUAUAACCCGUGCAGCGGUUAUAAUAUUUGUUAUUUUAUCAUAUAUAGUUUUAAUUUAAUUAAUUUUAUUGUAAAAAUAAAAUUAUGAUAGAAUAAUGUGGUUAAAUAAAUUUUUAUUUAACAGCUGAUAAAUUCUUAAUACGCUAGCGGUUAUAAUAUUUGUUAUUUUAUCAUAUAUAGUUUUAAUUUAAUUAAUUUUAUCGUAAAAAUAAAAUUAUGAUAGAAUAAUGUGGUUAAAUAAAUUAUUAUUUAACAGCUGAAUAAAUUCUUAAUACUUAAGUCCGUCAAAUGACUAAUUAAAAAUUAGGUCAAACAUAUAUUUUGAUGAGAAUGUUAAAUAUAUUUAUUUACAUGUUAUAAUUUAAGGAGAUCUAUAAACCCAUAUAUAAAUCAACCAAUCAACCUCAUAAUAUUUCGUUAGUAAUAAUUAAUAAUAUAGUAUAAAACAUAUUAUAAGUCAAAGAGACGCGUAAUCCCAAAUAUCGAUCCAUUACCUAAUUUUUAAUGUUUUGAUUCGAUAGAUAAUAAAAAAAUAUUAUAACAUAUUAUAAAUUAAUGAGGUCUGUGGGUUGAAUACCAACAGUCUCACCAAACUCGAUUGAUCGACCGACCAACUAACCAAUUGAACUUUUUAUUUUUCGGCUUUCGACUUUAACAGUAUAAUAAUAUAUAGUAUAGUAUAAAUUUAUAAUAUCACUUUUAAUGUGAGACCGUUAGAAUAUUUAAAAAUAAUGUUAAUUAAUUUCGGUUGAAAAAUAUCACCUGUUAUUUAUUAAUAAAUAUAUAUAAUAAUAUUAUGUUUUUAUACAUAUGUCGCUUGUGUUAAUUGUAGAAAAACGAUUUUUUAGUUAGAAAAAAAUAUUUAUCCUGAACUCUAAAUCUUUAAAAUUAAAAAAAAAACAUUUUUUUCAACGGAGAAGUUGUGUUUAGUUUCAAAUUGCAAAAAUACUUUCUUAAAAAUUUUAAAAAGAUUGUAUAUUAUCGAAAAAGAACUCUAAACAUGUGUUAUAUCCUUAAAUUCUAUACUCUCUGGCGCAGAAAAAUAAAUUAUAUUCGAAACAGAUUAUUAAUUUCAACUUAAAGUAGAGAGGUGUUUCGGUGAAGACCCCCGCUUAGUGCACAAUAAAAUAAAUAUACAGUUUGUGAUAUAAUAAGAAUAUAAUAUCUUAGCCAUGUCCUUCUUCACACAGGACUUACCUAAAUAGUUCCUAAUGCAUCUGUGAACUGAGGACUUACCUAAACAGUUCCUAUUAUCACGAAUGCAUCCAUGAACUGAGCUAAUCCUUCAAAACAUAAUGCAACGAACCUCGUAAUCUCUGUAAGCAACGAGACCUAGUCUCAAUUAUUCUAAUAAGUCGUCCCCAAUCAUUCUUAUCUAAUGUCAUAUCACCCGUCCCCAAUCAUUCUUAUCUAAUAUUAUAUCACCCGUGAGAUUCAAAGCUCUCAUGUCCAAACUUAAUUGAUUAGCCCAUGUCCGACGAGGCUGACUUCUCUUUCUCUAGUCAUUCAUUAUUCUUGAGGUGAACAACAGUUAAAAAAAUUCAGAGCCGAGGUAUUCUUACACAGCAAAAUAUCGAUUUAUGAUAAUGUUGGACAGCAGAAAAUGAAAAGGAAGUAAUAUUUCACUAACCAUAUGUGAUAUCCAAUCCCAACAUUGAAAAUUGCUCACUCGAGAGAGACUAUUUUAGUAUCUCAUUCAUUAUUCUCGAAAUGGACAAGUGUUAAAGGAAUCCCGGAGCCACAAAUAUAACAGCAUAACGACAGAAUAUUAAUUUAUGAUAGUACUGGACAGCAGAAAAUCGGAGGAAGUAAUUUUUCACUAGCCAAUAUGUGAUAUAUUUUCAUGCUGCCAACACAACAGAGUACAUUGUUGCCCUCAGGUUGCAACAAAACACAAAACUAGGACACUUCUAACCCUCGACUCCACCCAUUGUUCAAACUUUUUCUUUGUAAUAUUUCUCUUUAUAAUAGAACACUUCUGGUUUUUCUUUUCUUUAUAGUUAAACUACAAUAUAUACAGCGGUUAGGACUGGGAAACUGCUUUCUUCAAGACGCUGAAGGCAACGAGCAUAAGCAGUGAUAUCAUAAUCUUCUUUGAAGCAAGAAUCCGCAAGUUCACCUUCAUGCCAUGGUCUCUCAUGAGCUUCACUGUUGCCCUAAUUACUGAAAUAAGCCAGAAUACAACGGACAAGAACACCACUUUCAUUGUGUCUGCAGGUCCGUUCACACUUCUUGUGCCUCCCGACACCUCGAUGUAGGACUGUUUUUACCAAAAUUUGCGGGUUAAAAGCCAAGCCUAUUUAAUUUCUAUAACAAUGGAGUAUGUGUUUUUAUGUAUGAAUAUUUAGUAGAUCGUAUAGAUAAAUAUCGAAAAGAAAAUCAAAGGCAAGAACACAAACAAUUUUGGUGACGCGGAAAACCCCUUGUAAAAGGUUAAAAACCGCGGGUGGGAAUGUCCCAGCCAAAUAUCCACUAUAAUGAUGUAACAUCAGCUUACAAGUAUGAGAAAUACAUGAUACAAGUACAUAAAUACACAGACGUCGGCUUCAGAAGUAGUUCAUGUCCGUCAGCAAUAUGCACCCGUUGGCAGCAGGUUAACCUUGACGUUGCACCCGUCGGCAGAAUGAUUUCGGGGAGAUGAAGAUGUAGAGCUCCCUUGAUAGAAGAUGAAGAAGCUUAGCUAUCAUAUGUUAAUGUAUGUAUAUGUACGUGUACUGAUUUGUAUGAUCUUAAGCUUGGUUGAUGCUUUAUGAGUGAUAUGGGGUAGAAGAUGAAGUUGUGGGCAUGUAGAAGUGUGUAGAUGAUAUGUAUCAGUUAUGUACCUCUCUUUUUCAUGAGUAUUUAUACCCCCUCAACACUUAUGCACGUUCCUAGGUUGUUUCUCCACGUUCUCCACUUACUCCUAUAGUUUAGGGAUAAAGAAUAACCUCCUCCUAACUCUUAGGAUCGUUACAAGACUUAUUCUUCAUGCUGUUACGUUCAUGUCGAGUACCUUCACGUCAUGUCGAGUAUCUUCACGUCAUGUCUUAGCCAAGACGUCGAGCAUCAGCUUUGUGUGUAGCUUAAAUAUAUCUUUGGAGAAUGAUUAAUUAGCUUGUAAUUUGAUGAUAUAAUCACUCCCCUAACUCCCAUCAAGAUGUGGCUAUAUUGUAGGAUUAUGAUAAGGUAGUUAUUAUCCUUAUCUCCUAUUUUCCCUCCAUGUGCAUGUUGAGUUUCCUAAAUUAGUGUCACUUAUCCAUUCUCCAAUUUGAAUAAUCUCCUAAAAAGGUGGGUAGUUGAGACUUAGUCUCUUGCCCUAUCAGCCUGCACACGUCGUGUCGUCGGUACUUCAUGUCGUGUCAGUACACUUCCCGUCAUGGCCUGACGCCUGUAAAAUCUGGGUACAAACAAUAGCCCCUAAUUUUAUUGGGUGGAGGCAUGCAGCCAAUGAAAUUACUUCUUGUACACUCCGUUUUCCUCAAACCAUGGCAAAUAAGAACACCGAUGCUAUGUUAAAAUACUAACGAUUGCAACAUGUGAUCAUGUCAUGUCGAUUUGUCUUGUUCGCUAUUGUCUUGUAUCGAGUCUCUAUCUCGUUUUGUCGUUAUAAUGUUAUCUCGAGUUGUCAUCGUUGUCUAAAUGAUGAAAACAUCGACGAGUAGCUGCUUUGUUGUCGUCAGUUUCACGUUCUAAGAUGAGAACGCUUUGUAUUCGCUAUAUCGUAGUUACCUGUAGGCUUGGACACAAUUACAAUCAGUCCCGAAGUAUUAACAUGUCAAGUCGUGACGUCGCUUUGCGUCAUAUUCGUAAAGCCCCUUGUAGAUGUCUUCUGACAUGUGUAAGAUGUCGUAUAUAAUCUUAUCAUUGUUAGCUGCAUAUUCUCAGGUGUCCGUGACUUGAAAUUGGUUCAUGUGACCCCUUAAUUGGGAGUGAUUAUGACGUAAUGGAUAGGAGUACCAACACGUGAAGUGUUUUGUAGUAUGUCUUCCGUUCGUAAUAUAUAACUUGUAGACAUGAUGUGUAUCUCGUCAUCAUGACGUGAUAUGUAGAAAUCGUGCCACGUCAGACGUCAAUGCAAUCUGUCAUGACUCGUGUAAGUGAUGACAUGUAGAAAUGUGUAUUGUGAUUUAUGUGUCCGACCAAGGGUCGUGACUUGCGUGAUUUUGUGGAGUUUUCAUCGACAUGUAUGUUAAAUACGUCAAUGUAUUUUAACUUGUAAUAUCCGUAAUUGUAGUCGUUAAAUUUAUUUUUUAUAACGUUGGUGCACGUAGUAUAUGUAUUCGACAAAUAUAUAUAUAUUCAAUGAAUAUAUAAUUUUCAGACGUUGAUGCAUGUAGUAUAUGUAUUCGACAAAUAUUUAAUUUUCAAACGUUGAUGUAUUCGACAAAUAUGUUUAUUUUCAAACGUCGAUGCAUGCAUUCGUAGGCUAGUUAAAAGGCCUUUCCCUCUUGAAACUUAGCUCGUAAUUGUAAUUGUGAUUAUGUAAUGUUUAAAUACAUAAUAUUGAAAUGCGUCAUUAUUCGUGGCGUCGUAAGUUAUUUGUGUAAUGUGUAGUGUUGUCGUCACCAUCAUUCGAUAAUGAUCAACCGUAGUAGGAUAGGUGAUCAGCCCUCCUUGUCUAUUAAUAUGUAUCUAAAAUAUACUCAUGCAAUAUCAUGUCACAAUAAAUAUCAUGAUGAAGACGUCAACUUUAAGCAGUUAAACAUGGACAAUUUAGAAUAACUUGCAUAACGUAUUUCAACACACAUAUCUAUCAGGUAGAGUAGCAAGUCAUGUAAGAAACAAGCACAUGUGUCAUUAUGAUUAGAUCAUCAAUUAUUCAAGCAAACAUUCAUUGGAAGCAUGAAAUAUCAUUUAAAUAGCAUAAGCCCAAGUAAAGAUCGUAAUCAACUUAUUAUCAUAUUGCUAAAGACUAAGAGAAUAAAGAGGAUGAGUUCACUUACAUGUGAUAAAGUUCCAAAAGUAACAUGUUCGAGCCCCUGGGGACUUGUAGUUCGUAAUGUCUUGUUGAAUCAGGUUGAAGUCGUCGGACACUUCCAAAGGCGUCAAUGAUUCAUGUCCCGUCAUGAUGUUGAUUGUCAUGUCAGUUUACGGAUAUGUGCAUAAGUUGAUGAGGUUGUACCCCUUUCUGGGUAUAUGUCUUGUACCUCGUUCGCCUUGUCAUCAAGCUGACCUUAAUUAAGUUUUUUGGACUUGUCGAUAGUCCAUUUUUGAUUCUUUCUUCUAGUUUAUCUUUCGUGGUCAUGUCAUGUCUUUUUACUUCACAUCAUGUUGAACCAGUGAUGUCGAUACCCUUGUGGCGAUUUUAGGACAAGUCCCAAUCAUCUCCUGUUGAGAUAGUAGAUUUGGACUGAAAUCAGCCACAAAAUUAGCAAAAUAUGUGACUCGAUCGUUGUUUGUGACUCAUAGGUGAUAAUGUAUUCGACAUGAUCUGUCAUGUUUCUAAAGUUCAUGUCUAGCUGUCACGUCGAUCAUCAUGUCAAGACUUCAUGUCCAACUGUCACGUUGUUAUUUUUACACUGUCACCAUGUUUGCUAGUCAUUCUGGACACUCGACUUCAUGUAUGAUGUCCCUUUUGAUUUAGUUGUUUGCUUUUCGUGUGAUUAUCAUAAUGCUGUUUGAUUUCCAUUUGACAUGUAUGCGGUUUGAGUUGUCAUCAUUUAACUUGUGUAUGUUCAUGUCGAGGCUGCUACCCAUCGUCUCGUCGUGAUCCCAAGCGAAGGUGUUCAUUCUUUCUGUCAAAAAAUCAAUUAUGUCGGUCUCUCUCUUUGGUGUCACGUCAUGUCCUCUUGUGGUGUUGUUUUUUGUCGUUUAGAUGUCAUCCAUGUCUUGUUGGUCGUGUUGUGUCACGUGUGAUUUACUAGUUCCCGUCAGACGUGAUGAGAUUAGUGUAACUUGUUCAUGUCAAUCUAGUCGUACAUGUCAUGGUCGUUUGUGGUCACUUCAAUUCAACCAACCCGUCGGACAGCCCCAUGUUUGUAACCAGAAAUCUUCUCGCCAUGUCAACCAAAGUGAUGUGAUAUAGAAAAUCAGUGUAUCCAUGACGCCUAUCUCUUGUAGCCCCUUUUGAACCGAUUAAUAUGCGCGUCGACGUGAACUCCAUUGCCAUAGAAAUCAUGUAAGUGCUUCGCUAGUUUCCCACAGACGGCGCCAAUUGUUUUUACCAAAAUUUGCGGGUUAAAAGCCAAGCCUAUUUAAUUUCUAUAACAAUGGAGUAUGUGUUUUUAUGUAUGAAUAUUUAGUAGAUCGUAUAGAUAAAUAUCGAAAAGAAAAUCAAAGGCAAGAACACAAACAAUUUUGGUGACGCGGAAAACCCCUUGUAAAAGGUUAAAAACCGCGGGUGGGAAUGUCCCAGCCAAAUAUCCACUAUAAUGAUGUAACAUCAGCUUACAAGUAUGAGAAAUACAUGAUACAAGUACAUAAAUACGCAGACGUCGGCUUCAGAAGUAGUUCAUGUCCGUCAGCAAUAUGCACCCGUCGGCAGCAGGUUAACCUUGACGUUGCACCCGUCGGCAGAAUGAUUUCGGGGAGAUGAAGAUGUAGAGCUCCCUUGAUAGAAGAUGAAGAAGCUUAGCUAUCAUAUGUUAAUGUAUGUAUAUGUACGUGUACUGAUUUGUAUGAUCUUAAGCUUGGUUGAUGCUUUAUGAGUGAUAUGGGGUAGAAGAUGAAGUUGUGGGCAUGUAGAAGUGUGUAGAUGAUAUGUAUCAGUUAUGUACCUCUCUUUUUCAUGAGUAUUUAUACCCCCUCAACACUUAUGCACGUUCCUAGGUUGUUUCUCCACGUUCUCCACUUACUCCUAUAGUUUAGGGAUAAAGAAUAACCUCCUCCUAACUCUUAGGAUCGUUACAAGACUUAUUCUUCAUGCUGUUACGUUCAUGUCGAGUACCUUCACGUCAUGUCGAGUAUCUUCACGUCAUGUCUUAGCCAAGACGUCGAGCAUCAGCUUUGUGUGUAGCUUAAAUAUAUCUUUGGAGAAUGAUUAAUUAGCUUGUAAUUUGAUGAUAUAAUCACUCCCCUAACUCCCAUCAAGAUGUGGCUAUAUUGUAGGAUUAUGAUAAGGUAGUUAUUAUCCUUAUCUCCUAUUUUCCCUCCAUGUGCAUGUUGAGUUUCCUAAAUUAGUGUCACUUAUCCAUUCUCCAAUUUGAAUAAUCUCCUAAAAAGGUGGGUAGUUGAGACUUAGUCUCUUGCCCUAUCAGCCUGCACACGUCGUGUCGUCGGUACUUCAUGUCGUGUCAGUACACUUCCCGUCAUGUCCUGACGCCUGUAAAAUCUGGGUACAAACAAGGACCAAGCAGCGCCUUGAUUAUCGGUAGUUCCACUAUGAUUGAGGCCAAGUUUCUCGUUCAACCAACAUGAUAAAGUCACAAGCAGCUUUGCAAGCCAUGCAAUCUCAUCAUUGGAGACUGGUCGCUUCAACCAGUCACCCCUGUAUUUUGUACCAGUUUGCUUCUUGUUUCACAACAUUCUAGGACUAAAUAUCUCAUCACGUGGAUGCUGAUUUUCUCUUGUCUCAGGGACAGCAUGCGUGUUCCUUGAAGUAGAGUUACCAAAUAAGCAACCCAUCUGGGCUUUGAUAGAAUCUAAACAAGCCAUAUUGUGAGCAUGAUUAUCUCCCAAGACAGUCUGCAGCUCCGACUCAGCACGCAACACAAAGAGCUGCAAUAACAAUAUAACUAGUGAGUGAGACUUGAAAUUAGAAUGACACAAAUCCAUUCCUAGAAUUUAUAUAGUUCAUACAUAUAUAUUUAAGUACACUAUAUGCUAAAACUGUUGGAAUAAUCUUAAAUUUAAUUAUUAUUAAUAUUUGUUUAGUUAUAUAUUUUGAGGAUUAGUUUUAGAUUGAAGUAGUUGGAUGUUUGUUGUAGAGGUACAAGAAUUAAUACAAAUCAGUUUUAUAUUCUACACUUGGCAUUGGAGCCAGGUUCCGCCGCCAGGCGGUGGUGAAGCCGCCGCUAGUGGUGAAGGCGCAUAGUGAGUGUUUGACGAGAUAGUUUCAGGUAGGCGUUGCAGAAGGAUUGUGGCAAAGCUGCAUCUGCAUGUGUAGUAUGGGAUGCAUGUAUAGUAUGAGGCUGCCAAGAAAGACGAGGCGAUGCCUACUGAAGGCGGAAAAUAAGAUAGAGUGGAAGAAGGUCAUGCAGAACGAGAUGGAUCUUGCGUUUUUUAUCACGGAGUUGAGGGAGAACCUCUCCUUCAAAAUUAUGGGUGAUUAUAUGUACCUGGAGAGAAUUUUAGAAUUAUGGGUGAUUAUGUGUAUCUGGAGAAAAGUGCUCCAGUGAAUUUGGCGUUGAUGAGAAGUGCAUCAACAAAUUGGUGUUGAUGAGAAGUGCAUCGACAAAUCGGUGGUAGUGAGAAGUGCAUCACAUAUAGAGGUGGCAAUCGUUUUGUUUCGUAUACUUUCGUGUUUCGUGUACUCAAAGGUGAACCCGUAUCCGCCCGUUAUCAAUUUCGUGUACCAAAUUUGAAACCCGUAUCCGAUCCGAAACGUUUCGUGUAUUUUUCAUGUACUUUUCGUGUACAUUAUAUAUAAAAUUUUUAAUAUAUUUUUAAUCAAAAAAUAGCUUUAAUAUAUAUUUUUCUAUAUAAUUUACUAAAUAUGAAUGAUAUAUUUAUGCUCGCAUACAAUUAUCUACAAAUUUGUUAAUGUAUCUAUAAUAUGUAUCUACAUAUACAUAUACAUAUAUAUUUAUUUAACACAGUUAUAUAUAUAUAUAUAAUAUAUUAUACCAUAUAUAUAAUGAAAUCUAUGUAUAAAUAUUUCGUGUACUUUCGUGUACCCAAAAUGAAAACCCAUAUCCGACACGAAAUCUAUCGUGUAAUUUCGUGUUCGUGUACUUUCGUGUUUCGUGUAUCAAAAAUCAAAACUCAUAUCCAUUUUUUUCGUGUCGUUUCAUUUCGUGUUAGCGUGUUACGUGUCAAAUUGCCAGGCCUAAUCACAUAUGAAGAGAAGUGCUUCAUAAACUCUCUUAAGUAAAUUUAAGAUUAUGGGGUGAUUGUUGGAAUAAUCUUAGAGGGGUGUAUUGGAUUGAGAUUUUAAAGCCUUUUUUUGCAUUCAUGAAAUCCGAGGGUAUUGGAUUGGGAUUGUUUGAAAUCAAUUAAAAUCUUGAGGUAUUCAAUUGGUAUUUUAAAUUAUACUACAAAAUCCGGUGGUAUUCAAUUGGGAAUUAAAAUUAUGCUUUAAAAUCCGAUGGUAUUCAAUUGGGAUUGUUUAAAAUCCAUUAAAAUCUGAGGGCAUUCAAAUGUUGAUGGAUUUUUUUGCAUUUCAUAAAAUGAUGGAUUUUGUGGCAUUCUUCAGUGUAUUUUAAGUUUUUUGAAAUCCCACCAAAAUCAAUGGGAUUUUGAAGCAUAUUUGUGCUUAAAUCCUAUAAACUCUGCGACAUAUUAUCAAAAAUCCGCACAAAAUCAAAAUCCAUUAAAAUCCAUAAACUAAAAACAAUCCAUUAAAAUCCCAAUCGAAUACAUCCCUAUUAAUUUACUUAUUAUUAUUAUUUGUUUAGUUAUAUAUUUUGAGUAUUAGUUAGAUUGAAGUAGUUGGAAGUUUGUUGGAGUCCUAGAGAAUUUGUAAGAGGUAUUGAGUCUAUUUGAGUCUAUCAUGUUUUAGGAGAUUUAUUAGAAGUAGUAGAGUAUUUAUGAAAUCUCUUUUUUAGAGGUACAAGAAUUAAUACAAAUCAAUUUUAUAUUCUUACAAAAAGAAGAGAGGUGGAAAUAAACCUAUAGCAGCCGUUGUCCGCCAUCAUCACCAUCACUAAAUAACUGCAAAUCUUUGUUCCAAUUCUCAUGCAAGAAAGAGCCAUCAGCGUCAUUUUCACACAAUCCAUCCUCCCAGUCCUUGUAAAGCAAAAAAGAACAAGGGAUUUACAUAUAAACCUCUGAAAAAGAGUUGAAGAAUGCGCACGCGCACACACACAAAAGAGAUGUUGAACACUUUUAGCCGAGUCCAUGUAAUAUAGAUUCCCCAUACGUAAGCUUACCAGAUGUAUCCCCAUGAGCAACCAUAAAUUAAAAGAAGCUCAAAGAAAAUAAUUAGCUUUUUGUUGUGGUUCAUUCAGAUGUAUCCAUCAAGCAUUUUCCAGGACCACUGAAGCAAUCUAUGCAAAACCAUGGUUGAACAUCACUAACUACACAAGUAGCCUUCCUCUUGUGUUCUGCUUAUCCAGGUAAAAAAGAAAAGACUACAUGUCUUUUUUUGCUAGCAUGUCUUAAAAUGUACUAUUAUAUAAUUUUCUUAGUUUUUUAAUAAUUUCACCCAUCUAUAAAAGUAUAAACAGAGGACAAGAACAUAUAUCACACCUUUUGUGCUUCUUUACACCUCAACAGAGAACCAAGCAGGGCCUUGAUUAUCGGUGGUUCCACUACGAUUCAGGCCAAGUUUCUCAUGAUAAAGUCAAGGAGCUUUGCUGCUUUGCAAGCCAUUCCAUCUCCUUAGCGGAGACCGGCCACUAUUGUCCGGGCAUGUGUGGGUGAACUUAAUUUGAAAUAUAAUCAUUUAUUUUGACAACAAUUUCACAUUCACAUACUAUUAAAUAAUAUUAAGUGUUUAGAGGACAUUUAGCAGAAAAUACACAUUUACAUACUUUCUCUUCCAGAUAUAAGUAAUUUAUUUCAAAAUACAAAAUAAGUUAAACGCCCAAGAUGUUUGAAUCAGUGAAUUACGCAAAUAUUUAAGAAUGAGAAAUCAUGGAGUAUGUUAUAAUACUCAAGUGCUUGUUACAUUCAACAUUUUACGGGAAAAAAGUAAAUUAAAUAUUUGCAAGAGAAUUAAUAGCAAAAAACGGAGCAAAUGUGUUCCAAAUUUUAAUUUUAAUAAAGCAAGUAAUGCUAUUGUAUUAGUUCUGGAAACAAAACGUAAUUUUCUCAUGAUGCAGACGCAGCAAACCGAUGAUUCCAAGUGUCUGUUAGCAGAAGGGGAGAGUGAAGAAGAAUAGAGAGUAUAAAGUCAUUUGGUUUGCUAUGAGGAGGUCAUUCAGGAAGCGGAACCAAGAGCGGUGAUGUUUGCAGAAACACAAGAGAAAGACUUCAAAUGGCAUCUUGAAAAGGAAUGAGAGCAGGCAAUUGCAGCAAACACAGCAACGACAACAAAAGUAAUCAAGGAAGAUGAGUAGGAUAGUCUUGUGAAACUGAGCUCCUGAAUUUCUGUUCUGCUUAGGAUUUUCGACAUAAUAAAGGUAUGAAUAGUAAUUACAAAAUUGAAAUAAUUGAACCAUAAUAUCAAACACAGAAGGGAAAAAAAUGGUUUUAAUAUGAACACUAAUCGGCUCAAUCAAUUUGAUUACUAAAUUGACUAAGUGCUGCUUUAAACGGGUGCCCAAGACAAUAGUGAUGAAAAAGAUUAAAGUCAAUAAUUAGUGACGAAAAAGAUAUAAAGAACUUGCUUGGCCAGUACUUAAAGUCCUGGACAUUAUAAUCAUGUGGUGUAAUCACAUGGUUUAAUGAAUUAUUGUUGAAUUUGCAACCAAAGAAUCAUGAAAAUGGUUAAAGACUGUCUCAGAGUCAUAUACAGUGGCUCCAUUAUAGUUUAAUUAAUAUACUUUGGCAAAGGGCAAUACUGGACAGCAAUAGAGAAUAUAAAGUGAUCACUCCUCACUUCCCUAUUCUUUGACUGACCUCCAAAUUACACUUUGUUAUACAAAUUUGUCCACUAAUUUCACAAUGAUCGUAUCAGGAACGAGUUCAAGUAUAUCAGAAGUAUAUUCUAGGUCUAAGCAAAAAUGUUUUAACACAAGUUUGUUCAAUUAACAGUCAUAAGCUGUAAGAUCAAUAAUAGGCUGAAUGCAAAUGCUAUUUAACAAAAACGUUACCAACAUCGCAUUGCAACAACAAAUAACACCGAUAAAAGACCGAAAACAAAUACAAUCCACCAAAAUAAGACCAGCUUCGCAUUGCAAGGUCAUGGAAUUUGAACUUAAGAUUCUAUAUGUUAUGUUUUAAGUCUGAACUCAAGUUUUGCCUAUAUCAGAUCAUAUUCCAAACUCAACUAAUGUGGGAGACUUGUGUAAUGAGUGCAACUGACCUUUUGCAACAAACAAGCACAUCAGUUCAAACUCUCCGACUAGCGUUUUCUUUUUAAAAUAAAAAGAAAACAGCAAUAGUUAUAAUCUCUCCAUUAAAGAUGACAAGUUCUGCAACUUUCGAAAUUAUUUAAUAACAUCACAUAGAAAAUCUACUCACUUCCCUAUUCUUCGACCGACUUCCCCAUGUGCCACAGAACCCAUAGCACAAGUACCGGAUCAUAUUAUUUUUAGCUUGUCCAGAUUUGGGUCCGGGAUCGUUUUAUUCGGAUCUAAACCGAUCCCGGGUAUUUGGGAUUCGGAUCUGAACCGGAUAUGAUCCAAUAUCGUAUUUUCUAUUUUUUAACCGGGUAGUUUAUGAUCCAUCGAAUAUGAGCCGGAUAUGAUCCACUUACACUAAGUAUCAUUAUUAUUUCAGUUGUUCAAAUAACUAUCAUUAGUCUAAGUAAACAUAAUAUUAUAAAGUAUAAUAAUUUUAAAUUAAAGCUUAUGGUUAUAUAUUGAUAUAUAUCAUUUAUUAAAUAUAUAUGAAGAUAAUAAGUAUGAUCACAUUAAAUAAAUCAUAUUUUAUGAAGAUAUAAACUUAAAUAAGAUAUUAAAAUUUUAUAAAAUGAUAACUAUUUACUUGCAAAUAUGAUGGUGUUAAAAUAUAAUAUGUAUAUGAGUUUGAAUCGAAUAUGAACCGCGGAUCAUAUUCGGUUAUUCGGGUAGGAUAAUAUUAUGAAAAGUUAUAUGAGCCCGAAUCUGAGCGGGUAUAGGUGUGCUCGUAUCCGGGAUCAUAUAUUAUACGGGCUUAAUUUUUCCGCCAGAUUUGGAUCGUUUUCAAAACGAAUAUGAGACAUGUAUCAUAUUUUCGAGCCGGAUAUGAGCCGAGACACCGGAUAGUCCGUAUCGAUUUACAGCCCUAGCAACAUCAUAAACAAAUGCAACUGUACAGUAACAUGGAGAAUCCAAUGUGCUGAAGACACCAAUACAUUUGAGCCUUAUCAAAUUUAUUACUCCCUCAUCCCAUUUUUAACUGUACUUUAUAUAGACUUGUUUGGUUUCUGCUGAAAAAAAAGUUGAACGAAUUAAUAUGGCUGAAGCAAUUGUGUCGAUUGUUAUGGGAAGGCUCGCUGAUUUAUUGAUUGAAAAACCUCAAAUCCUUAAUGAAGUGAGCGAUGAAAUUCAACUAGCUGUGACCGAGCUCAUGCGGAUAAAGACAUUCUUACCAGAUGCUGAUUCAAGGAUGGAUGUAGAAAGAAUCCGGAUUUUGCUCCGGGAUGUACGAGAGCUUGCCUAUGAUGCUGAACAUGCUGUCGAAACUUUUGUUAUUAAAGCCUCAUCGACUAAAAAACCAUUUCAGUGGAUGAACAGAGGCAAGUUUUCAAGGAAGAUGAAAGAUAUACAAAAAAAGAUGUCCAUCUUCUUCGAUUUGUUUUCUGAUUAUAAUAUCAGACCAACUUCUGAAUCAUCAACUUCCUCCAACAGAGAAUCGGGAAAACUAAAGCGAUUUCACUCUUUCACUACUCCUGAACCAGAGAUAUUUGUUGGAUUUCAUGACGACGUUGAAUGCUUGGUGCGACAUUUGGUGAAUGAAUCUGAUGAUUCUUACCCACUUAUAUCUAUUUGUGGAAUGGGGGGUCUGGGAAAGACCACUCUAGCUCAAAAGAUAUACAAUCACUCCGCCAUCAAGACUCACUUUGCUGGUUUAGCAUGGGUAUCAAUCUCGCGAAAGUGGCAAACAGAUCGGGUGUUGCAGAGAAUUCUUAUAUGUCUCGUCCCUGAGAACAAAAACUCUAUCCUUAAUAUGGAGACUGACAAGCUAGUGGAGUAUAUGCUACAAAUCCAGGAAAGGAAAAAAUGCUUGAUAGUCCUCGAUGACAUAUGGUCAACACAUGAUUGGAAUGCAUUAAAAGCUGCAUUUCCAGCCGGGAAGUCCAUAAGCAGAUUAAUGCUUACAAGCCGUAAUGCUGAGGUUGCUGACUAUGUGAAUUUAAACGGAUACAUUCACAAGCCAAAAUGUCUAAGUCCAGAACAAAGUUGGGAGCUACUCAAGUUAAAAGCACUUCACACAGGAAAUUGUCUAGGUACAUAAUUUUGGUUGUGUUAAUUAUAUUUCAUAUGCUUUUUCUUUACCAUAUCUUUUGUUUGACAACCUUAACUAACUGUAUUUUUUGUUACCUAAGUUCCAUAAAUUUGGGAAGAAAUCUGUCCAGCAACCUAAAAGAACAUUGUUCUGUUCCAUAACAUAUCGUUCAUGUUCGUUUACAAACCUAUGUAUUAGAAUUGUAAACGAAUCUAACAGUUCAUUAAGUGCCCUCUUGAGGUUUGAGUUAACGAACUUGAGUUCGAACCACAUAUUUUGUUUAAUAACCUUAACAAACAUUAUGGGGUUCAGUAAUUUUAGCUCGUGUUAACUUCAAGUUUAUCCGAGUUAAGUUCGUCGAUGGCUCUAACUUGAAUGUGUCUUUUAAACAUUUGCACUAGUUAAAGAAUUAGAAAUUAUCUUGGCUUGUGUGUAUACACACAGACACACAUAUGAAUCCCGUUUGUUGUGUGUUGCAGACAUUACCAGAGAUGUAAAGAGGAUGGAAGAACUGGGAAGGGAAAUGGUUGAACAUUGUGCCGGUCUUCCGCUAGCUAUAGUCGUCUUGGGUGGAAUUCUUGUAACAAAACCAUCGUUGAUAGAGUGGGAGAAGGUAUAUCGUGAUAGUAAAUCAUCCCUGAAGGCGGGGAAAGGACUGGGAGAAGCCUAUCAAAGGGAAAUAUUAAGUUUUUUAAUAUGGAGCUACAAUGAUUUACCGCCUCAGCUGAAGCCAUGCUUUCUAUAUUUAUCUAAGUUUAGUGAAGAUGAAUCGAUAGACAUAGAGACUUUGUAUCAGCUAUGGAUCGCAGAAGGAAUGAUACUCUCGAGUGACAAAAGGGAAGGAGAAACAAUGAUACAAGUGGCUGAAUCAUACAUGGGAGAACUAGUCCACAGGAAUAUGGUUCAAGUGAGAUUUAACGAUGUAGAAUCAUCGCUUACAAAGUUUGAAUCUUGUUCUCUGCACGAUCUUAUGAGAGACAUGUCUUUAAUACAAGCAAAAGCAGAAGAUUUUUUUGAAGUAAUACAUUUCCAAAGUGGAAAUGAGUUUCAUCUCAAAUCUACUACAGAGUCAAGGUCAGCUUCCACUCGAGUUGUGAUUCGUUUGGAUGAGGAAUAUUCUAGCAAAGAAGCUAAUUACUACUUUACCAAGAAACGCAAUCAAAAAUGCUAUCGAUCAAUUUUACUCCUCUGUGAGUUUGGGGCGAGAAGUCUGCCACGGGCCCUGGGGUUACAUUUUGCCAAUUUUAGGUUCCUAAAAGUCUUUUCUGUGGAGAAUUAUACCAAUUUUUCUGGUGCAUUUUCUCAUUUUAAUGUUGGAAGAGCAUUAGGGUCCCUUGUUUACUUGCGAUAUCUUAGUGUAAGGGGCAGUAAUUUGUCGGUUUUUCCAUCUCUACAAAAGUUGGUGCUAUUACAAACUCUAAAAUUGGAUAUAUCCGACAAGAUAUAUGUUUUACCAUGGCUGUCAAGAGAUGUUCUGGUGAAGAUGGAUUGUUUGCGGCAUCUGUAUUUGCCGAAAUUUAAAGUUGACGUUUUGGGAAGGAAAUCGAAAUUACGGUUUAAUGGGUUGAGCAAGUUAGAGACCCUGGAGAACUUUGACACUAGUUGGUGUGAGGUUAAGGAUCUACGUGAGCUAAUCAAUCUUCGGAAACUAACGGUAACAGUGAGGGGUAGCUGUGAUAUUCUGGAAGAAAUGAUGAAAAACUUGGAUGAUGUAGCCUCCUCAGCAUCUUCAUGUCUGAGGUUCUUGGGUGUCACUAUUGUUUAUUGUGAUAUUGAGCUGAACAAUGAUCUUACGAUCUUAAAACAAUUGGUAUAUGCCGAAAAUUUGAACCUUCGGGAAUUGAAAAUAUAUGGGUGUAUCCCAGAGGUGGGUCUAAUAUUUCCGCUGCAUGUAUCCACAAUUUGUAUUACAACUUUAAAUUUAGGGGAAUCAUACCUGGAAGAAGACCCAAUGCCAAUAUUAGAAAUGCUUCCAGUGUUGAGUGUUCUCCGAAUGUAUAGGGAUACAUAUGUGGGGAAGGAGAUGGUGUGCUCCGCAACCGGUUUUCCUAAACUCACCGUUCUUAUUUUGCACGAGUUCACAAACCUUGAAAAAUGGAGGGUGGAGGAAGGAAGCAUGCCCAUCCUUUCAUACUUGAUUAUUGCAAGUUGUAACAAGUUGGAGGAGUUUCCCGGAGGCCUUGUGUUCCUCAAGUCCCUUCAAAUAAGUCAAAUGCCUCAAGAUUUCAAUGAUAGGCUUAAAAGGCAAGAUGGUGAAGAAGGACCCGACUUUCACAAAAUUUCUCAUGUCGGUAGACUCAUUAUUGAUGAUCAGGGCUACAUUUGAAUGUUCUUGUAAGUUAGGUAUAAAGUAUUGUUUUGGUCGUGAAGAACAUAUUGCUUGAGAACUUAUUUGAUCAUUUGCUUCUCAUUAAUAUUAUAUGAUCAAUUUAUUUUCCAUUAAAAUUAAUACUUUUACUGUUGAAAAUAAUUUUAAUUAAUAAGCAAAAAUUUAAAACAUAAAUUACAAAAUUAUACUUUAUAAAAAUAUUAAAGGGUUUGCCGAUUCACGUCCCCAACAUAUAUUAUUCAGGACGAUGGAGAGCGUAAUAAUUAAAUAAGUUCAAUAACCGGAUUUUGGACUAUAUAUUUUAGUAUCUUAAUGUUCGGUUAUUUUAUGAUGGUUAUUAAUAUGAGUAAAGAUUUGUAUAAAUUUAUAUUUAAAAAUUUAUGCAACAUGAAGUUAAAUAAAUUAUUUUAAUAAAUAAAUAUAGAUCAUCAUCAUCAUCAUGAUUAUUUUUUAUAUUUUUGGAACAAUUAUAAUAGUAGGAUUCUUAAACAAUUAUUUAAAAAUUAAACAUUUUAUGUUGAACUCUUAUCCUUUAAAAUAAAAAAAAAAUCACUACUUUUUUCAACGAAAAAAAUGUAUGUGUUGAAUUACAUUUGGUUGCAAACUCAAUCUUUUUUCUUAAGAAUUUUACAAAGAAAGUAAAUCACCUAAAAGGACUUUAAACAUAUGACAAAAAAGACUCUAAACAUGUGUUUAGAGUUUUAUUCAGAACAAACUAUUAGUUUCCAAUUACGAUCAUCAGUGAUCAGACUACUUAAAAGAACUACUCUUUUCAGACUAUUGCAAUUACGAUCAUCAUACUACUGAAAGAACUGCUACUUUAGAAAAAGGCUCAGCAUCCUCAGGUUCAUGUUCACACCAUAUUCUUUUGUGAACUAGGGGCACAAUUUUCAUCAUUUUCUUUGUCUUACAAGCCAUGCAAUCUAGUCAUUUGAAAUUGAUCACUUUAAAGACCAUCCUUGUGUCUCGUUCAUUUUUCUUGAGGUGAACAAGAGUUAAACAAAUUCGGAAGCGAUAAAUAUAACAGUCUUCUAACAGAAAAUCGAUUUAUGAUAAUUUUAGACUGCAGAAAAAGAGAGGAAAUAAUAUUUCACUGACCAAUAUGUAAUAUGUUUUCAUGCGAUUGCGGCCAACACAACAGAGCACAUUGUUUCCCACAUGUUGCAACAAAACACCAAAACUAGGAGACUUCUAACUCUUGACUCCACCCAUUGUUCAAACUUUUUCUUUGUGAUCUUCUCUUUUUUAUAAUAAAACACUUUUGGUUUUUUUUUUUUCUUUAUGGUUAAACUACAAUAUAUACAGCGUUUAGGACUGGGAAACUGCUUUCUUCAAGACGCUGAAGGCAACGAGCAUAAGCAGUGAUAUCAUAAUCUUCUUUGAAGCAAGAAUCCGCAAGUUCACCUUCAUGCCAUGGUCUCUCAUGAGCUUCACCGUUGCCCUAAUUACUGAAAUAAGCCAGAAUACAACGGACAAGAACACCAAUUUCAUUGUGUCUGCAGGUCCAUUCACAGUUCUUGUGCCUCCCGACACCUCGACAUAGGACCAAGCAGCGCCUUGAUUAUCGGUGGUUCCACUAUGAUUGAGGCCAAGUUUCUUGUUCAACCAACAUGAUAAAGUCACAAGCAGCUUUGCAAGCCAUGCAAUCUCAUCAUUGGAGACUGGUCGCUUCAACCAGUCACCCCUGUAUUUCAUACCGGUUUGCUUCUUGUUGCGUAUCACUCUAGGACUAAAUAUCUCAUCACGUGGAUGCUGAUUUUCUCUCGUCUCGGGGACUGCUUGUGUGUUCCUUGGAGUAGAGUUACCAAAUAAGCACCCCAUCUGGGCUUUGAUAGAAUCUAAACAAGCCAUAUUCUGAGCAUGAUUAUCUCCCAAGACAGUCUGCAGCUCCGACUCAGCACGCAACACAAAGAGCUGCAAUAACAAUGUGACUAGUGAGUGAGACUUGACAUUUAGAAUGACACCAUUUCAGUUCCUAGAAUUUAUAUGGUUCAUACAGAUAUAUUUAAGUACACUAUAUGCUAAAAGAAGAGAGGGGGAAAUAAACCUGUAGCAGCUGUUGUCUGCCAUCAUCACCAUCACUAAAUAACUGCAAAUCCUUGUUCCAAUUCUCGUGCAAGAAAGAGCCAUCAGCAUCAUUUUCACACAAUCCAUCCUCCCAGUCCUUGUAACGCAAAAAAGAACAAGGGAUUUACAUAUAAACAUCUGAAAAAGAGUUGAAGAAUGCGCUCGCGCACACAAAAGAGAUGCAGUUAGGUCUUCAUACCUGCAGUUGUUCUCUGAUUGAUGGAACAAAUCUGUACAAGUUGUUGUGUAUGGGUUUGGAUGACCCAGAAGGCUUAGAAUGGAAGACAGUGUCCACAUUGUUUAUAAGAUUCAUCAGCUCACUGGACGAUGUCAAUAUGCUUAAGACCUGCACAAGAAAUACAAGAAACAUAUACAAAAUAAGUAAACGGAAACUAUAACGAAUUGAUCCUGGGAUAAAAAUAUAUACUAAUUAUAAAAGAAAAUUUCCCCACUGUUACCCUGACUCUUCAUUUUGCCUCAAGUACCGGUGUCGGACACUCAACACUUGAACAUCGGACACUCAACACUUGAACAUAGGUACAGACACUACAGAACUUAUUUUAGGCCAAAAACAUGUAAAUUUUCAGAAUACUACCGAGACACACUCGGACAGGUAACCAUGUUGGACACUUUUAGCUGACUCCAGGUAAUAUAGAUUCUUCAUAUGUAAGCUUACCAGAAGUAUCCCAUCAGCGCCCAUAAAUGAAAAGAAGCCGAAAGAAACUAUAAAAGAGGAAUAUAGCAGAUUAUUAUUAAUUAGUAGCCUUGCAUAAGUUUCCUCUAUAAUUCAACACAAGUAGCUUUCUGUUGUCGUUCAUUCAGAUGUAUCCAUCGAGCAUUUGCCAGGACUGCUGAAGCAAUUUAGGCUUUUAUCUAUAGUCUAUGCAUGCAAAACUAUGGUUGACCGUCACUAACUACAGACCAAUUUAAUUUAUUUUUUAUUUAUCCUCUUAUGUUCUGCUUAUCCAGGUAAAAAAAAAAAAUUGAUUUGGUCAAAAAUAUACACAACACAACUAUAUAUGGAGAAACUUGUGAGCAAAUCCUAAAAAAUGCAUAACCAAGGAACUAUAGAACAAAUAGUUGAUCAACACAAAGCAUUGCCAGGAACUAGAAUAUCCACUUGAAGAAGACUGUACUUCCUUUUUAGUACCAUUGCUCGACACCUCAGCAUUUACAUCUAGACCAGAAAAAUCUUCAAAGCUAAUGUUCCAAGGUUCUAUAUAAUUAAUCCCAAGCCAAAACACCUGAGAUCUGGGAAGUACUGGACGCAAAUACGGGGAGUCCGGAAAAUGAGUAUUUGGCAUGGGAAUACCAAAAAUAUAAAAAAUAUUUAAAUUAUACUCCAUUUCACACUCUUAUUUCUUAGCACUCACACACAUUUUAAAGGUGCGUAUCCUUUAUUCUAUACAUCCACCACAAUAUGCAGUUAACCAAUAAGAAAAUAAAUGGAUCUGGAUAUGGAUUUGACUAAAUUCGAUACAAAUCCGACCCGCUGACAAGCCUGCUUGGAAACACAUCAAAUUAUUUAUAUUCUAAUCAUAAACUCAUAAAAGGAGAAAAACAAAAAAAAAAUAUGAUUUAAAAAGGUCAGAGUCAAAGCAGUGGACUGUAUACAGACAUAUGUGCAACACAUAUAUACAGAUCUGGACCAGAGAAGAGAUAACAAAACAAGCAGCAGAUUGAACUCAGAGAAGAGAUAACAGUCGGAAAGCGAAGUCACAAGGAGAGCUAACUGGGUAUGUAUCUUUGUAAUAUAAGCUCUGUUUUUUGUUUUAAUGAAUUAUUGCAGAAGAUUGAUGACUUAUUGUUGAACUUUGCAACCAAAGAACCAUGAAAAUGAUUCAAGACUGUCUCAGAGUCAUAUAGAAUAGUUUAAUUAAUAUACAGCAAAGGGGAAUAGUGAUCAGCAAUAUAGAAUCUAAUGUGCUCAUGACACCAAUACAUUUUUACUACUUUAUUACUCUCUCGAUCCCAUUUUUAACUACUUGUUUGGUUCCUGGAGAAGAAUAGGUUAAACAAAUUUAUAUGGCUGAAGCAAUUGUGUCGAUUGUUGUGGGAAGGCUCGCUGAUUUGUUGGUUGAAAAACCCCAAACCCUCUAUGAAGUGAGAGAUGAAAUUCAACUAGCGAUCACCGAGCUCACGCGGAUAAAGACAUUCUUACCAGAUGCUGACGCAAGGAUUGAUGUAGAAAGAAUCCGGAUUUUGCUCCGGGAUGUACGAGAGCUUGCCUAUGAUGUCGAAACUUUUGUUAUUAAAGCCUCAUCCACUAAAAAACCAUUUCAGCGGAUGAACAGAGUCAAGUUUUCAAGAAAGAUGAAAAAUAUACAGAAAAAGAUGUCCCUCCUCUUCAAUUUAUUUUCUGAUUAUAAUAUCAUACCAACUUCUGAAUCAACUUCCUCAAACAGAGAAUCGGGAAAACUUAAGCGAUUUCACUCUUUCACUACUCCUGAACCAGAGUUAUUUGUUGGAUUUCAUGAAGACGUUGAAUGCUUGGUGCGACAUUUGGUGGAUGAAACUCAUGAUUCUUACCCACUUAUAUCUAUUUGUGGAAUGGGGGGCCUGGGAAAGACUACUCUCGCUCAAAAGAUAUACAAUCACUCUGCCAUCAAGACUCACUUUGCUGGUUUAGCAUGGGUAUCAAUUUCGCGAAAGUGGCAGACAGAUCGUGUGUUGCAGAGAAUUCUCAUAUGUCUCGUACCUGAGAACAAAGAAUCUAUCCUUAAUAUGGACAGCGACAAGCUAGUGGAGUAUAUGCUACAUAUUAAGGAACGGAAAAAAUGCUUGAUAGUCCUCGAUGACAUAUGGUCAACUGAUGUUUGGGAUGCAUUAAAAGCUGCAUUCCCAGCCGGGAAGUCCAUAAGCAAAUUAAUGCUUACAAGCCGUAAUGUUGAGGUUGCUAAGCAUGUAAAUUUGAACGGAUUCAUUCACAAGCCAGAAUGUCUAAAUCCAGAACAAAGUUGGGAGCUACUCAAGUUGAAAGCACUUCACACAGGAAAUUGUCUAGGUACAUAAUUUUACUUGCGUUAAUUAUGGUUCAUAUACUUUUUCCGCACCAUAUCUUUGGUACGACGGCCUUAAUGAGCCAUAUUUUCUGUUACUUGAGUUGGAUAAGUUUGGUUAGAGAUCUGCCCAGACAACCUUAAAUAACAUUGUUCUGUUCAAGUAACAUUUUUUUCGUGUUUGUUUGAAUUCGUUAGUCGUUUACAAACGUAUGUAUUAGAAUUGUAAAUGAAUGUAACAGUUCAUUAAGUGCCCUCUUGAGGUUGAGUUAACGAACUCGAAUUCAAACCACAUAUUUUGUUUGAGAACCUUAACAAACUUUAUGGGGUUCAGUAAUUUUUGCUGGUGCUGACUCGAAGUUUAUCCGAGUUAAGUUCAUUUAGGGCUACAACUUGAACGUGUCUUUUAAAUAUUUGCACAAGUCAAAUGACUAAAUUAGAAAUUAUCUUGGCUUGCGUUUGUGUGUCUAUAUAUACACACAUAUGAUUCCCGUUUCUUGUGUGUUGCAGACAUUUACNUUUGGGAUGCAUUAAAAGCUGCAUUCCCAGCCGGGAAGUCCAUAAGCAAAUUAAUGCUUACAAGCCGUAAUGUUGAGGUUGCUAAGCAUGUAAAUUUGAACGGAUUCAUUCACAAGCCAGAAUGUCUAAAUCCAGAACAAAGUUGGGAGCUACUCAAGUUGAAAGCACUUCACACAGGAAAUUGUCUAGGUACAUAAUUUUACUUGCGUUAAUUAUGGUUCAUAUACUUUUUCCGCACCAUAUCUUUGGUACGACGGCCUUAAUGAGCCAUAUUUUCUGUUACUUGAGUUGGAUAAGUUUGGUUAGAGAUCUGCCCAGACAACCUUAAAUAACAUUGUUCUGUUCAAGUAACAUUUUUUUCGUGUUUGUUUGAAUUCGUUAGUCGUUUACAAACGUAUGUAUUAGAAUUGUAAAUGAAUGUAACAGUUCAUUAAGUGCCCUCUUGAGGUUGAGUUAACGAACUCGAAUUCAAACCACAUAUUUUGUUUGAGAACCUUAACAAACUUUAUGGGGUUCAGUAAUUUUUGCUGGUGCUGACUCGAAGUUUAUCCGAGUUAAGUUCAUUUAGGGCUACAACUUGAACGUGUCUUUUAAAUAUUUGCACAAGUCAAAUGACUAAAUUAGAAAUUAUCUUGGCUUGCGUUUGUGUGUCUAUAUAUACACACAUAUGAUUCCCGUUUCUUGUGUGUUGCAGACAUUUACAAAGUGGACAUGAGUUUCAUCUCAAAUCUACUUCAGAUUCAAGGCCAGCUUACACUCGACUCGUGAUUCAUUUGGAUGAGGAAUAUUCUAGCAAAAAAGCUAAUUACUACUUCUCUAAGAAAGGCAAUGAAAAAUGCUAUCGAUCAGUGUUAUUCUUUGGUGUCUUCGGUCCGAGAAGUUUGCCACGGGCAUUGGGGUCACAUGUUGCCAAUUUUAGGUUCCUAAAAGUGUUUUCUGUAGAAAAAUACACAAAUUUUUCUGGUACGUUUUCUCAUAUUAACUUUGGAAGAGCAUUAGGGUCCCUUGUUUACCUGCGAUAUCUUAGUGUAAGGGGCAGUAAUUUGUUGGUUUUUCCAUCUAUGCAAAAGUUGGUGUUGUUACAAACUCUUAACUUAGAUACAUUCGAGGGUAUGUAUGUUUUACCAUGGCUGUCAAGAGAUGUUCUGGUGAAACUGGAUUGUUUGCGGCAUCUGUAUUUGCCGAUAUUUAAAGUUAACGUUUUGGGAAGGAAAUCAAAAUUUCGGUUUAAUGGGUUGAGCAAGUUAGAGACCCUGGAGAACUUUGACAGUAGUUGGUGUGAGAUUAAGGAUCUACGUGAACUAAUCAAUCUUCGAAAACUAACGGUAACAGUGAGAGGUAGCUGUAAUAUUCUGGAAGAAAUGAUGAAAAACUUGGUUGAAAUAGCCUCCUCACCAUCUUUUCGUUUGAGGUACUUGGGUGUUUGUAUUCUUAAUUGUCAUCUUCGGCUGAAAAACGGUCUUACUAUCUUGAAACAAUUGGUGUGUGCUGAAAAAUUGAACCUUCGACAUUUGAGAAUACAUGGGCGUAUCCCAGAGGUGGGUCUAAUAUUUCCAGUGCGAUAUGUUGGGGAUAAUUAUGCACAUGUAUCUACAAUUCAUAUUACAAGUUUAAAUUUAUCGAGAUCAUACUUGGAAGAGGACCCGAUGCCAAUACUUGAAAUGCUUCCAAUGUUGGGUGAUCUCUUUAUGUUUACAGAUACAUUUGUGGGGAGGAAGAUGAUGUGCUCCGCAACCGGUUUUCCUAAACUCACCAAUCUUUGUUUGUACGAGUUCCCCAAUCUUGAAAAAUGGAGGGUGGAGAAAGGAAGUAUGCCUAUCCUUUCAUACUUGCUUAUUGAAAGUUGUAACAAGUUGAAGGAGCUUCCAAAAGGCCUGGUGUUCCUCAACUCCCUUCAAGUAUUAAGAAUAUACCAAAUGCCUCAAGAUUUCAAUGAUAGGCUUACAAGGAAUGAUGGUGACGAGGGACCUGACUUUCACAAAAUAUCUCAUGUCCGUAGAGUCCGUAUAGAUAAUGAUCAGGAAUACAACUGAACGUUCUUGUAAGUUCCUAAGUUGUAACGUUUUUGUUUUGGUCUUGAAGAACAGAUUGUUUGAGAAACAAAUCAGAGAUAUUAUUAUAAUAUAUAGUAAUAAUUUUUUGAUGAGAAAAAAGGAGGUGAGAUCAACCUUAUUUAAACUGAUUGCUUCCUAAGGUUAAAUGACACACAUGCAUAUGUUCGUUAGGUAUCGUGUAAUCUCUCUAUUUUUAUUAAAAAAUACCUCUAUUUACCUGAUAAUAUCUUCACUCCAUCUACAUACAUCAAAAGUAAUUCAUUUUUUUUGUCUUAUGUUGAUUCUGGGCCUUGGAAUGGAAUAGCAAACACACGCAGAUGAGUAUAAUUCAAAGUAAUCUUCUUGUGAAUGUAGUUUAUAAUUCACUUUAAUUUUUUUAGGAAAUGAGUAAUAAUAUUGAAGAUUGUCAAAUUCUGGAAGAUUCGCCAUCUGAGGAUUCAUUGUCUACCAAUUUACAGGAUACCUACACUGCUGAAUUGGAUAUAGAGGAUGGUACACGAGCAUUUUUCAUGUCUCAUGAAGAUAUGUUAUUUCAAUCACAAGAAGAAGCAUAUAAUUUUUAUAACAGCUUUGGUUUGACUAAAGGAUGUGCAAUAGGUAAAUUUUAUAUAUACAAGUCUUAUGGUGAGAAGAACUCUUGUAUCUGAUAGAGAAGGUUUCAAAAACAAAAUAAGAGGAUGAUAGUGAGGACAACAUAAAACGACGUCGAGAAACUAGAUGUGGUUGCAAAGGUUCAAUGGAAAUUAUCCUAAAGAAAUUAGGGACAUGGAAAAUGAAAAAAAAAUUAAUAAUAUCCAUUCACAUGACUUGCUCAAGAGUCCGAAUAAGAAAAGAAAAUUAAGGUCUCAGAACAAGUUUCAUUAAGAUGCAACUUAUAAGAAAUUGAUUGAUAAAUUUAGUAGUUGCGGAGUUGGGCCAACAAAAAUAUCAGGCAUUAUAAAUACUGCUAGUGGUAGUGUUACAGAUGUCAUGACACCCCAACAAUAUUCUGAAGAGUUAAGAAUUAAGAGAAGAUAUUCAGAAUCAAGAGAAAAAAUAACAUCGGCAAGGAGUGUAUAAUUAAUGUAGUGCGGAUUAUUUUUAGAGAGGAAAGCAAGAUAUUCUGAAUUUUAGUAUGCCAUUCAACUUGACGAACAUGGCUGUAGAAGUAUUUUCUGGUGUUAUGCCAGAGCGAGAAAAAUUUUAUAAGAAAAUUUCUGAUGUGAUAGUAUUAAUCGGGACUAAUACAAUUUAUUGUAGGAAUGGAGUCUUCUCAAAGAAGUGAAAGUACGAAUUCGUUUUUUGAUGGUUAUGUCAAUAGCAAUACUCCUUUGUCUAUAUAUAUUGACCCGUAUGAAAAAGAAAUUACUGGCCAUCGUGAUAGAAAAGAGAUAGCAGAAUUGGAUAUCAAUGACAACUAACCCUGAUUUGACAAAUAUGCAUAGCUUGGAAGCUCAUGCUGGAAAAGUUUAUUCUCGAAAUAUAUUCAAAUUAUUUUAGAACGAAUUUAUGCAGAUUUUGCAUUGCCAGCAUAACAAAAAAGUAGCUGCAGGUGUCUAGAUGGUGUAAGAUGUAACUUUCAACGAUCAUAAUAGGCCACACAUCUGUUAAGGUUUGCAAGUGUUCGUGCUAAAUUUGAGACAUGGGGUAUUGUAUGCAAACACAUAUUGUAUAUAAUGAAAUAAAAAUUAAGAUUAAAGAUCAUACCUGUUGAAUAUAUUUUGUCAAGAUGGACCUUAAAAGGCAUACAAUUAGUUCAACGGUCAGUGUGAACAAUGAUGGUGCACCUGGUUUGAAUAUAGAUUGUAACACGCGUAGGUAACAUCUCUUGAAUCUUUGACAUUGUGAGGUGAUUUUAACAAACUUCAUGGAAAGAUAAUUACUCGUAGAGAUCUCUAUGAAGUAAUGGAAAGGGAAAUAAAGAUGUGGUGGAAAGACAUUGACAUGAUUGAAAGUAAAUAAGUGCCACCACCGCCAGUGUCCGUAAAUGUAGAUGAUUUUUCAGAGGCAAAUAUAUAUAGCGGAUAAAAGUCCUUAAGAGAUCAUGUUAAAGUUCAUCAUCAGCGAUCCUACCAGAUGCAAGACGAAACGUAGACCGCGUAAUUCAUCCAAAAUCCCUACCGGAAUGUAGCAAUUUCAAGAUUUGAAGUAGAAAAGAGUUUGUGGAAAUUGUGGUCGGAAUGGGCACUACAAGAGUACAUGUAAAAGUAGUAAAUAAUGAAUUUUUUUAAAAAUACUAUGUUGCCUUGUUUUUAAACUCAGCAGUUCUUCUCAACUUUUAUUUGGUUUCAGAUUUUUAUUAAAAUUAAGUUCAAAAAAAAUUCCAACUAAUUUAGUCUAUAUUAAUUUUAUGAAAUUCCUGUCAAUUUUUACCAGUAUGUUAGCCAAUAUAUUCCUGGUUAUAAGUGGCAGCGGUGCUUAUAGUCCAGGCACAUUUAUUGUUGCACGAUUCCUGAAUGCUAAUAUGGAGUUAGCCAGAAAUUUUCUUGUUUUAUGCAAAUCCAGAAAUUUGCUCUCUACUUUUAUUCAGUUUAUGAAAUGGACAGUUUAUAAGCUCCGAAAGGUAUAUCUAGUGAUUUUGUCCGCAAGUUCUCGACCACUUGCAGACCGUCAAUAUCAAUACCAGGCCACAUUUAUUAUUUUCACACUAACUUUUAAGUUGUGGAGGGUCGAGAAAUCAAAAUGCAUGUAAUCAGGAUAAGCCAACAAGGAUGCUGUCAACUGUUUUGUUGCAGGACCAGACUCACAACUAUUUGUCGGUGUUAACUGGCCACACUGGACCAGUCAAGUGUAUUCCAUUUCAAGGGUCUUCUGCUCACCAGUGUAGUGUUUAUGAUAUGAAAGUAGACCUGCAAGCAUAAAAGCAAGCAAAUGCCAGCCUUCCUAGCAAAUAAUAACUUACAUGUUUGCAAUGAGUGUUUCCUAACUUUGUGACUGCAUAGUGACUAAGAAAAAAUCAAAGAAAUCAGUUGAUUACAGGUUCUGUUUCACUGGAGUCCAUAAUUAAGCAUAGCUGGGUAAUCUGAGGCAUUAAUCACCAUCCCCUGAAAUGCAUUUUCUUACUGCUCUGUUGGUAAUUUUUAUUUUAGUAGCAUUGAAUACUCGGAUUCCUGAUGAUUAUGUUUGCUAAUCCUACUACUAUUGUAUAAUGUUAAUGGACCUAGAGCAUCUGCAAUGAGAUUUUUAAACAAGUUCUUAACUCUAAAUUUAUAGAGUAAGUUAAGAAUUAUUGCUCCAAUGAGCUCCAAGAAGCUCUUUAAAAAUUUAAGAGCCUACUAUCUCCUCACUUUUAAAGAGCAUCCAGUAGCUCUUAUCUUUUUAUUUGUGAAUAUAAUAUUAAUUUCCCUCCAAUCUUCUCUCUCUUUUAAUUAAGUUUUCUCUCUCAUUUAUACAAAAUAAAUAUAAAAUAUGAAUAAAGAGCUACGUAUAAACAGUAGCAUUAAAGUAAUCAUGUUUUUCAAUGUAUUAAGUCACUAGGGGCCAUAAUUUAUAUUAUUGUUUAAGAAAUGAUUUAGUAGCACCAUUGGAGAUGUUCUUACUCCUUGUGAACAUAGAAUAAAUUAUUUUUUUUGUGCCAAUUCAGUUACGUAAAGAUUUGUCAGAAACAUUUUGUUACUCCACACUAUAAAUUGUCGUGGACGAAUUUUGACCCAUGACAAGUUUUCUCUUCAUAACAUUAUCACUUGGAAAGGUCCUUCAGCAAAUGACAGGAUGUCACCAAUUGCCAAAUUCAUUGCAAUUGCGAACUAUUAAAUUUUUGUUAAUUCAUGUUGGAGUGCAUGAACUGCUAUAGCUUUAAUAUACAUGAUUUCCCGACCUGAACUGCUAUGAGUGUUUCCUAGAUUUGAUGGUGAUCAAUAUGUUCAUGGACGGGGCAUCGCCAUCUCAGAGGAGAAGCGGAAGAGGAUGCGACAAGAAGAUUUAUGUGUGUAUUGUAUACUCCCUCCGUCUCAUUCAUUUGUAUACAGUUUCUUUUUUUUGACGUCCCACCAAUUGUAUAUAUUCCAAAAAUAGUAAACUUUUAUAAUAUAAAACACCAUUACACCAACUAUUUUCCUCCACUAUCUCCAUUCUAUAACAAUAUAAACACUAUUACACACAUUACUUUCCUCCACUAUCUCAAAUCUAUUAUUAAAUAUAAAUGGGUCCCACCACUAUACCUACUUUUCAUCUAACUUUACUAUUUUUUACAUUUUUUCUUGGUCUUCGUAUCCCAACCAAAUGUAUACAAAUGGUUGGGACGGAGGGAACUAGAGCACACGUGAUAGUCAUCAAUCCAGUCAUUUUAAUUUGUUCCCAAAGCUUGGGUGGUGUGGAUGUUAAUAUCGUCUGAGAACCAUUCAUGUUUGAGCAAAGAGUUGCGUGUUAAUAUCGUCUGAGAACCAUUCGUGUUUGAGCAAAGAGUCAUUUGAGUAAAUAUGAAAGAUCUCCCCUGUAGAUGUAGAAACCAUUGAAGUUAUAUAAAACUCAAGCAAAUCACAAAUGCACACACAGGUGAGACAAGCUCGUUUUAUUAAUCCGAUAAAUUGCUGCUUACAAAAUGAAAGAAACACACUCUGAUAAACUCAAGUUCAGAGUGUUGGAAAAAAAGUCCUACUUAAACAACUAGCUAAGAUGGUAAGGAUAAACAAGAACUGCUGCCUAUGGUUAAUCCACUCCUACAUGCACUCAUGAAAAACAGCUACUGCUAUGGCCUAAUCUUGUGUGCACACUGAUCACAUAGCAACUUAUUUAAAUUAACUAAAUUAAAUAAAAGCAACUGAAGUAUAUCAGAAUUUAGAUCAAACUCCAACAAGCUCCCCUAAUCUAAACUCGAUUGCAGGUUCUUCACACCCAAUAGCUCACACAUUCCCUCAAACUUAGCCCUUGACAAUGCCUUGGUCAAUACAUCAGCUCUCUGUUCAUUUGUGUUGACAUGUACUUUGAGUAUAAUUUCACCACAUUCUACACAUUCCCAUAUAAAGUGGUAGCGAAUAUCUAUGUGUUUACUCCUUCAUGAAACACUGGAUUCUUUGCCAAAUCUAUUGCCCACUUGUUAUCAAUAUACAGCACCACAGGACCAGCCUUUAUAUUCGUCAUCCGUCUGAGAAGUUUAUAAAGCCAUAUGCCUUGACACGCAGCUGCGUUGUUUUUGACAUUGCCAUACCUCUAGUAGACCUCUUGUCAUCCACAUUUCCAACUAGGUCGCUGUUUGAAUAUCCUGAGAGCAAGUAGUUUCCAUCCCGUUUAGAAUAAACCAACCCAUAAUCAAGAGUUCCAUUCACAUAACGUAAAAUUCGUUUUGCUGCAGCUAGGUGCAUGACUAUGGGUCUCUCCAUGAACCUGCUUACAAUGCCAACUGAAUAAGCUAUAUCAGGUCUUGUAAAUACAAGAUACCUGAGUCCUCCAACCAUACUUUUAAGGCUUAAUGACCUUUUAGCCCUCGAAGUAUGAAUGGAAGUUCCGAUGCGGUCUUGAAGUUUAAAAACGUACCUUUCGACCCUCAAAGUAUUUUUGUCGUACCUUUUAGCCCUUUUUAAAAAUACCGGCAUAAAUCAGGGGAUAACUUGAAAAAUAGGCAAGAGCAUAACCCAUCAGCACACCAAGAAUUCCUACUAAUUCUCAUUUUAAGCCGACCCUUGAACAUAUAUAAACCAUGUAGGCAAGUAUUCCUUAAUUAAAGAAUGAAUAAAACUUUCUCCAUCUGUUAUCUAAACUAUUGAAGCCACCAGCGAAGUUGCAACCUUGACAUGUGCCAUUGCUGCAGCAAAAGAAACCUGAUUAUAUCGCAUUCCGUAUUUUACUUUUUUCAGCUUCUCUAGUUAUUCUGUAGGCAAUCCCUUAGUUGCAAUUUCGCUAACAGUAUCCAGCAGCUGGGUAACUAUUUCUUUUGAGAUAAAUAUAACAUUCCCGACAGAUCGGUGGACACGUAGGUAAAGUAUUCCAUUCAUUAUUGUUUUUCCAUGUCAGACAUACCAAUCAUUGCCAUCUGUCAGCAAGGUGGAUGUUGUUGAGGUUAAAUUUUUCAACUUAACGUUUGCUGUUAGAUUUUUCUAAAAAAGUUAAUAGAAUGAUAUAUAAUAUAACAGUAUUUUAGUGGGUUAUAUGAGUCGCCGUGGAGAUCGGGUAGCUACUUGAUAUAUUUUGCUGAGUUCGAUGGGCAAUCUGAUAUAAAACCCAAAACCAAACCAAAUUAAUACUAAAUUUGAUAUUUGAUAUAAUAUAUGAUUUUGGUUCAUAAACCCGUCCAAAUCCAUAUUAAUCAACUAAAAUUGGUCCAAAACAUGAGAGGUCUACUUACUCUCUUGACACAAUUGGUAUAUGAUGAAAAUUUGAACCUUCGGGAAUUGAAAAUAUAUGGGCAUAUCACAGAGGUGGAUCUAAUAUUUCCGCUGCAAUAUGUUGGGGAUAGUAAUGCUCAUGUAUCUAAAGUUCGUAUUACAAGAUUACAUUUAUCGAUUUCAUACCUGGAAGAAGACCCAAUGCCAAUACAAUACUGGAAAUGCUUCCAAUGUUGGGUGUUCUCUGUUUGUUUACCGAUACAUAUAUGGGGAAGGAGAUGGUGUGCUCUGCAACCGGUUUUCCUAAACUCACCCACCUUUUUCUGGACAGCUUACCGAAUCUUGAAAAAUGGAGGGUGGAGAAAGGAAGCAUGCCCAUCCUUUCAUACUUGCGUAUUCAAAGAUGUAACAAGUUGGAGGAGCUUCCAGAAGGCCUGGUGUUCCUCAAGUCUAGGGGUGUGCACGGGUCGGUUCGGCUCGGUUUCUACCUAAAACCGUUACCGAACCGUGUAUUUCGGUUCGGUUCGGUUUUUGGGUAGAAACCGUAACCGAACUGUUUCAAACGGUUUUUUUCGGUUCGGUUAACCGUGGUCGGUUGCGGUUUUUUUCCGGUUUUUAUAUGAUUAGAAACUACUAUACAAAUUUAAUACUUUUAUUAAUUUUAGAAAAAUAUUUAUAUACUUAUUAUAUCAAUUUUUCUUACUAGAAUAUAUAAUUAAUAUAUUGUAGCACAUAUAUAUAUAUAUAUAUAUAGGGAUAUGAUCAAAUAAAAACUUUUUUAAGUUACAAACUUACAAACUUUUUUUUAUUCUCCCAUCGUGUUAAUCCUUAGUUAUAUAAAGUAUCUAUGUUGAAAAUUCUUCAAAAAAAAUCACAAUUUUUAAAAAUAACGCAUAAAUAAAUCGCGUUUUCAACACAUUUAUAACUGGGGUUCAACAUCGGGUGUUGAACACUAAUUAUCAUUGUGUUGAAUAUAUCUAAAAAGAUGUUUAAACUAUACCUCUGGGGUUUGGGUAGGGUCUAGAAACAUAAAUAUUAGUUAUAUAACAUGUUUACCUUAGUUCUUACAUUUAAAAAUUGGUUUACGUACUUCUCCACCACUAUUUUAAUCGAUGUUCAACAAAAUAUGUUAAAAAAAUGUUGAACUCAAGUUAUAUAUGUGUUGAACAAAAAAAGUUUGUAAGUUUGUAAGUUUGUACCAGAACCCUCCCCUAUAUAUAUAUAUAUAUAUAUAUAUAUAUAGAGGAAAGUUAUUUGGAGUACCAUAAUUUAUUGGAGUCUUGGAGUCCACAUCCAGGCCAUCCAUUCUUUUUUGAUCCAAAGGCUGCUAUUAAGACUCAUUUCUUUUAUAAAAAUAUAUAAUUUAAUAUAGCAUUUAUACAUACAGGCGUGCUAUUUCAGAUAACUGCAACUACUUAAAUCAAGCAGUUACAACAAAUUGAGAGUUUUCAGGAGUACAACACGCAAACAUGUCCUGCAACAUCUGUAUCUUACACUUCGCCCACUGAUUAGUAACUUCGUUAAUAUCUUUCUUUGUUUUCACAUUUCUUUGUUUAAACUUUUCUACGAAAUGCUUAUAAUAUCACUCUGUAUGAUGUUUUAACUUGUACAGUAUCAUACAAAGGAUGAUCUUACUAUUCUGUGUAAUUAAGGAGCAUACGAUUUACGAAGGGACACAUGUAUACUCAGCUAUAAUAUUGUAGUAGAGCUUUCCAUUCCUUUUACACUACACCAAUUUUAACUUCAUAAGGAUUUGGAACUAAUUAAUGUUGGGUUGCUUAUAACAUACCAAAAAUCUAAAGCAGGAUUUUACAAAACUUCAUCAAAAAGAAAAUUGCAAACAUAUUUUCACUAAUUAGCUUCAAUGCAAUAACCUCAUUCACAUUGUCACCAACCCAAAAGUUCCGAAAUAAAAACAACCAUUCAAACCGGUCCCAACAUAUAACGUAUCAAAUGUUCUAAAAAACCCAAUUAAGUAGUAGUGAUAACAAGACUGUUUACAUAAAUCUGCUACAUUUCACACAACUUCUUCCUGCUCAACCGCACCAUCUUAUUCAGCACAAAGUACUUUUUUUUGUUCUCCGACCAUGUGAGCAUACGACUUGCAUAUAAAAAUAAACUUUUUCUGGAUGUAUCCCUCAUACGUCCUAAUCUUCUUCACCUUGUCUACCUUGGUUGGUGUCCCUCGAACUACCACAUGACCCCUGCUAGCACUACUUUGAACACCGCGUCUGCGUGUCUGGUACCACAAUAAAUAAAUUAGAAUAUUAUCAGGACUGCUGCACAAAUGCCAUAUACAAAAUUAAUAUUCUUACAUUUAGCACAUUAAUAUUACCUUUGUAAUUUUUUUCACUACAGAACCUACCCUCGAUCGGUCAGGUGUUCUAUCGGGUACAAUUUCUCCCUUAUCACUGGUGCCCUGCAGAUUACAAUUAACAACACAACUACAGUAUAAAUAAACUACAUAAGGCGUCAACAAAAGUACAUUACAAACAACAUAACUAACAACUCGCAAACAACAUUUCGCAUAUGCACAACUAUGGCAACAAGAAGAAAGUUUCUAUGGAAACAAAUAUAUAUUACAAUAGUGUGACAAAUAUAGGUGUAAAGUUUUAUUGAAUUGUGAGGUCCAUGGGGAUUGUUCUUUUAGUGUGAGCUGUGUUUUUUUUAUUUAGGUGAUGUGAAUAUGCAGUACUAUGGCAACUUGCUCUUGUAAAGAGAAGUCGCAAGCUGUAACAUUUUCACCAUACUGGGUUUUUUUUAAUUAUUAAUUAUGUUUUUCUUACAUUUUUGCUGCUUGCAGAAUAUCUUCUUUUUGCUGAUGUAAUAUGUCAAAAAAAUAAUUGCCAACAGGUAAGCAUAAUGUUUGUGACUCUGGACAAAGUUGCUCCGGCAGAUCCCAAAUAUGCUAAUAUAUUCAUUCUAGAGAAGUACACUGCAUUUCAGAAUAGUACUGUUAUCUGCUUCAGUUUUAUGUUUAUAUUCUUUUGUUUCAUAGUUUUCUGGGCAGUUGCCUUUAUAAUUUACAGUAUAGUAUAAUUCAAAUAAAUUCACUUUAAUAUGCUGACAAGAUCUAAUUGAAUGUAGUCUAUAUGAUCUAGCUAAUGUGGUGCCAACUUUAGCGAAAUUUUAUCACCAAGCAAGUGAAUCUUAUGAACAAGACAUAUCAGUGUGAUCAUAUAAUAUUUAAGAAAUCUUGUUCUGCAUCGUUCUUCCUUAAAAGAAUCUACCUAAGUUGCAUGUGAUAUAAAUGGUUGUAUUCUGCACUUCUUUUGAUUGAGGACUUAAUGUACACGAUUACACCAGAAGAGGUUAGUCUCUGGACUUCCUUUUGAGCACAAAAAUUAUUGGCGUGAUAUCCAUAUACGUGGUACUUCUCAUUUUACUUGUAAUGUCAUUGUAUAUAUAUCAACAUACCCGUUGUAAAUUCAUCUCAUUAGUGCGACGCACGCUCUAUAGGACUGAAAACACUAGUAAGGCUAUAAAAAUAAAUACAAUUACAGUUUAUGCUUCACUCCUAAUAUAACACAUUUGAAACAUGUAUCUUUGAACACCUACAUGCAACUUCCUAGGGGAAACACGACAAAGGCUCUAAAACUGCAUAGUUUAAUGUUUUCAUUCUGUAGGCAAUCCCCAUGAAUACACACAUAAAUACACAUAUAUAUUGCAGUACAGAAUUACAAAAUUUCAAACCUCAAUAAUGCAGAACAAAAAAACUAUUAGUUCUCUCCAUUAUUGACAUUACCUCUGAAAUUUUAGAUGCCGUGGAGCCUACUCUCGGCUUGUCAUUCUUAGAAACUGCAGCAACAUCCCGUCCAUCACUUUUGGCCUGCAAGUUGUAUACGUCGCCACAUACAAAUAACAACAAAAUCAAUGUCCUCCAUUGUUGACCAUAAUACAUUCAUAGGUCACAUUCGGGGAAAGUGAUAACUAUCGUGUGCUGCAACAUAACUUACCCCGCUUCGUACAUGUUUCGUACUAGAACCCGUGCGAACCCCAUAUCCAGCAGAGAAUAUUUGCAGAACAAACACAAUGGUUCCAUUGAUUAUUUAACAUACAAAAAAACCCAUUCCCCCCCUACGAAACCAAAAAAAACCUAUUGCAUUACAAGCACUUCCCAAAUAGCAUAGGACAUUUUAAAAGACUCAAAAAAGUUUAAUAUCAUAGCAGUGUCAAGUGCAGAACAAAGAAAGACUUUCACUCAGCAGCUUCGCAACAUAAGGGACAUAUGCAGGACACGUAUUCAGCAAUUAGAAAGCCUCAUCUUCAAAGUCCCAAAUUCAGUCAAUGUCUUUGCAACAUCAAAUGCAAAACAAACAGAUGGUUCCAUUGAUUAUGUAGCACAAAAAAUAAACCCAUUUGGCCCCUACUAAACAAAAAUAAAACUUUUGCAGUACAAGCACUCCCCAAUUAGCAUAGGACAUUUUUAAAGACCCAAAAAAGUUUAAUAUAAUAUCAAUUUCAAGUGCAGAACAAACAAAGAGUUUCAUUAUUUACACAGCAAAAAAAUAAUUUUCAAAGAGGCACAACGAGAACUGAAGAUAAUAUGCAGGAGUACCCAUCGACCAAAGCCACCGUAAAAAUCAAAUACCGUCAACCCACUCACCAAUUAUGCGACAUACAAUUCAAUUAAAGCACAUAGAAAUAAAUUGUUGGUCGUGCCUAAGAUCAUCGUUGCAUACAACUGCAGCCUCGCCUCAAAAGAUUUAUUGAGAUUGAAGAGUCCCGCACCGCUGGAGAGUGUGGGGAAUACCUGAACUCAUAAUGCAACAGCCUAGAAUCGUCCUGCAGACAACUACUGAGCCGGUGAAUUAAGUCUGUAGAGUCCCGCACCUAGGGUUGAUCACAGCGAAAUUCAAACCCUGUUGAUAAUGGACGUAGUUUGGAGCGGAAAAUGCGGGAUAUGGCUAUAAUUUGGAGUUUAAAAUUGAUUAAAACUGAUCCUGCAGCAUUUUAAUUCAUUAAAUCUCAACCAUAGGAUCUUCUUAAAAUUUAACGGUAGAUCUUAGGGACUCCAAUUUCUCAAUUAAUAUAGUACCCCAUAGAUCUCAACUCUAUAUAUAUAUAUAUAUAUAUAUAUAUAAUAUGUUAUAUAUAAUAAUAUAUAAUAAAUGUUAUAAUUUUAUUAUAUAUUAUAUAAACGGUUCGGUUUUUCGGUUCGGUUUUAGGGGUAAAACCGUAACCGUUACCAAACCGUUAUAUCAGUUCGGUUACGGUUUUUGUCGGUUACAGUUUUUUUCGGUUUGGUUUUUCGGCUCGAUUUCGGUUUUUCGGUUUUUUUCGCUCACCCCCUGCUCAAGUCCCUUCAAGUAUUAAGAAUACACCAAAUGCCUCAAGAUUUCAAUUAUAGGAUUAAAAGGGAUGAUGGUGAAGAGGGACUCGACUUUCACAAAAUUUCUCAUGUCCAUAGACUCAUUAUCGACGAUCAGGAAUACAAUCGAAUGUUCCCUCUUUUUUUUCUGCUAAAUCAGAUGUUUGUAAGUAAUAAUUAGAGGUAAGAUUAUUAUGUGUGACUUACCUGCAAUCUGUUAUAUUAUUAUUGUGUUUUUACAACUUUUUGAUGCCUGUACUUUCUUUUUCUGUUGUUUCCGUGCAGCAUUUCAAGCUCUUGCUUGCUUCGACAGAUCCUGAACAUCAAAACUGCAUUUAAUUGGAAAACUGGUAGAAUUGGGUCAUCUAAACUCCUGUUUCCUAUUACUAGCAGUCUAGCACAGGGGUGUGGAAGCAAAAAAGAGGGUUUGGGUCUGUAUGCAUGUGUCAUGUUAAAUGAGAAAACCCAGGAGGGAGGACUGAGCUUUUUUCCUCCGGAUUUACAAACUGAAACUGAUAGAUCACAGAUUCACAAUACCGGGUAGGAUCCACCCUUUAUUUUGAAUUGCAUGGUAUCGAUUCUCAAAAUGUUAUGACAUCCCUGAUAUCUCCAUUUGCGGAUGGAAGAUGAUCUCUCACUUAUUGAACUGUGUAUUAAGCAGUACAAAGUUCCUCCUGAGCGCAGAAUUUUGUUGUUAACCAGAAUUAGAUAUGCCCAUUCCUUGCGGUCAUCUAGAAUAUGCAAGUUGUUAACCUGAUAUCUCCAUUUGCGGAUGGAAGAUGAUCUCUCACUUCUUGCCUUUGGUAUGCAAGAACUAGUGUCACUCUUGCUAAUGAGCCUGAAUACACAAAUGAAUUAAUCAGGAUUGUGAAAUCCGAAGAUACAAUCUCUACGAAUAUUAGAACACUGGCAAUGCAUGCCUUGGCAUCUCAGUUAGCUGUAUAUUCAUCAUCUCAUGAAAGGGCAGCUAUUUUGAGCAGAUCAAGCAUUAGUUUUACUGGGGGUAAUCGCAUGACUCUCCUAGCCAUUCCACAGGGAGCUAUUUUAUCACUGAAUAGCUCUAAUGACCCAUCAUCAAUUGCUUUUUGUUGAAGCUCUACUACAUUUUUUUCUGAUUCAUCUCACAUCUAUGUCAAGUUCACAUAGCGUUACUCGUGGGGCAGCACUACACAAUUCCUUGUUGAAAUAGGGGACUCUAAGCUUAAGUGUGCCCUCAGAAAAAGUCGUUAGGAGUACUUCAAUGGAGAAUGCACCUGGUAUGCUUGAAAGCUAAAGUUUAUAAUCUAUUAUGUCUUAUUCUUUAUUACAAUUAAUAAAUCAUCUAUUCUCUAUGCUGAAUUUCUUAUUUCAGUUAAUAUUUAAUAUGCAAGUAGGAUGAAUUAUUGUUGAUGGAAGGUGAUGCAAAAAUGAUGUAUGCCGGGUCCUUUUAUAAUUGUUUAGUAAUUUACCGUAGAAGUCCACGAGCUAAUGAGUUGUUAAACUUUGUUUUUACAUGCUCAUCGUUUAGUAUACAAUGAUUGUCAUUUAUUUGGGAAUUGAAUAGUGAAUUAAUAUUUAUAUUCCCAAAUGGGUUAAUAGUUCUAUUACUCUGCUGGCUGCCUGGCUCCAGUUCAAGUAUCAGUUUUUCUAAUGUAAACUCGACCCGGCUAGCUUGAGUAAACUAGACUUGACUUACAAAUCAAUAUUUGUUCUGAUAAUUCUCGACGUGAGCGAGGGCCGAACAAUAUGUUCGAAGAAACAGAGAAUAAACACAUCACUUGGAUUAUCUAAUGACGCUUAACUCGACUCAGACUUAUUUAUUGUGCUAGCAAUGCAAACUCGGACUCUAACGAAUACUAACUCGGGUUACAGCAAGGGCCCUGGAUGAAAGCAUCAGGGUUGCUCUCGCCUAAUUAAUAUGCUUUGGCAAAGGGGAAUAUAAUUAUAGAGAAUCUGAUGUGCAGAAGAAACAAGUAUAAGCUGCUUGAUUUCUUCUAUUACUGAUUAUUUAAUACGCAAGUAGAGUUAAUAGUUGUUGAUGAAGGUGAUGUUAAAAUUGAUGUUUUGCUUAUAUAUGCUGAGUCAUUUCAUCAUUAUUUAGUAAUUAGUUGUGAAAUUAUGAGCUGAUCUGUUGUUCAGCUUUGUUUUACAUGAUCUCAGUUUAGUAAUAUAAUGAUUGUAUUUGUUUACUAAUUUGCCAGCUUCAUGCAGUUCAACUCCUUUAUAUAGAGUUGUUUGGUUUGUGGCGAAGAAUAACAAAUUAAUAUGGCUGAAGCAAUUGUGUCGAUUGUUGUGGGAAGGCUCACUGAUUUGUUAACUGAAAAACCUCAAAUCCUUCAUGAAGUGAGAGAUGAAAUUGAAGCCGCUGUAGCUGGGUUCAUGCAGAUGAAAUUUUUUUUACCAGAUGCUGAUUCAAGGAUCGAUGUAGAAAGAAUCGGCAUCUUGCUCCGGGAUGUACGAGAGCUUGCCUAUGAUGCUGAACAUGCUGUCAAAAGUUUUGUUAUUAAAGCCUCAUCCACUAAAAAACCAUUUCAGUGGAUGAACAGAGGCAAGUUUUCAAGGAAGAUGAAAUAUAUACAAAAAAAGAUGUCCAUCUUCUUCGAUUUAUUUUCUGAUUAUAAUAUCAGACCAACUUCUGAAUCAUCAACUUCCUCCAACAGAGAAUCGGGAAAACUAAAGCGAUUUCACUCUUUCACUACUCCUGAACCAGAGAUAUUUGUUGGAUUUCAUGAAGACGUCGAACAUUUGGUGCAACAUUUGGUGAAUGAAGCUGAUGAUUCUUACCCACUUAUAUCUAUUUGUGGAAUGGGGGGUCUGGGAAAGACCACUCUAGCUCAAAAGAUAUACAAUCACUCCGCCAUCAAGACUCACUUUGCCGGUUUAGCAUGGGUAUCAAUCUCGCGAAAGUGGCAAACAGAUCGGGUGUUGCAGAGAAUUCUUAUAUGUCUCGUCCCUGAGAACAAAAACUCUAUCCUUAAUAUGGAGACUGACAAGCUAGUGGAGUAUUUGCUACAAAUCUAGGAAAGGAAAAAAUGCUUGAUAGUCCUCGAUGACAUAUGGUCAACACAUGAUUGGAAUGCAUUAAAAGCUGCAUUUCCAGCCGGGAAGUCCAUAAGCAAAUUAAUGCUUACAAGCCGUAAUGCUGAAGUUGCUGAGCAUGUAAAUUUGAACGGAUUCAUUCACCAGCCAGAAUGUCUAAGUCCAGAACAAAGUUGGGAGCUACUCAAGUUGAAAGCACUUCACACUGGGAAUUGUCUAGGUACAUAAUUUUACUUAUGGUUCAUAUACUUCUUUUUAUAAUGUGUUUUGUCCGACAACCUUAUAAACAAUAGAACCAUAUUUUUUGUUAAUUGAGUUCGAUAAGUGUGGUUAUAGAUCUGUCUGACAACCUUAAGGAACACUGUUUGAAUUCGUUAGUUUGUUUACAAACCUAUGUAAUAGAAUUGUAAACGAAUCUAAUUAGGUGCCCUCUUGAGGUUAAUUUAACGAACUCAAGUUUGAACCACAUAUUUUGUUUAAGAACCUUAACGAAAUUUAUGGGGUUCAGUAAUUUUUGGUCGUGUUGGCUCAAAGUUUAUCCGAGUUAAGUUCGUUUAGGGCUCUAACUUGAAAGUGUCUUUUAAACAUUUGCAUUAGUUGAACGACUAAAUUGAAUAUUAUCUUGGCUUGUGUGUGUGUGUGUCUAUAUAUAUACACACAUAUGAUUCCCGUUUCUUGUGUGUUGCAGACAUUACCAGAGAUGUAAAAAGGAUGGAAGAACUGGGAAGGGAAAUGGUUGAACAUUGUGCCGGUCUUCUACUAGCUAUAGUCGUUUUGGGUGGAGUUCUUGUAACAAAACCGUCGUUGAUAGAGUGGGAGAAAGUUUAUCGUGAUAGUAAAUCAUCCCUGAAGGCAGGGAAAGGACUGGGAGAAGCCUAUCAAAGAGAAAUAUUAAGUUUUUUAGUUUGGAGCUACAAUGAUUUACCCCCUCAACUGAAGCCAUGCUUUUUAUAUUUAUCAAAGUUUGGUGAAGAUAAAUGGAUAAAACUGGAGACUUUGUAUCAACUAUGGAUCGCUGAGGGAAUGAUACUCUCGAGUGACAAAAGAGAAGGAGAAACAAUGAUACAAGUGGCUGAAUCAUACAUGGGAGAACUAGUCCACAGGAGUAUGGUUCAAGUGAGAUUUAACAAUGUGGAAUCAUCACUUACAAAGUUUAAAGAUUGUUCUCUGCACGACCUCAUGAGAGACAUGUCGUUAAUACAAGCAAAAGCAGAAGAUUUUUUUGAAGAAAUACAUUUCCAAAGCGGAAAUCAGUUUCAUCUCAAAUCUACUGCAGAUUCAAGGUCAGCUUGCACUCGACUUGUGAUUCGUUUGGAUGAGGAAUAUUCUAGCAAAAAAGCUAAUGACUACUUUUCUAAGAAAGGCAAUGAAAAAUGCUAUCGAUCAGUGUUACUCUUUGGUGACUCUGCUCCCACAAGUUUGCCACGGGCAUUGGGGUCACAUGUAUCCAAUUUUAGGUUCCUAAAAGUGUUUUCUGUGGAGAAUUACAGAAAUUUUUCUGGUGCAUUUUCUCAUAUUAAUUUUGGAAGAGGAUUAGGGGACCUUGUUUACUUGCGAUAUCUUAGUGUAAGAGAGACUAAUUUGUUGGUUUUUCCAUCUCUAAAAAAGUUGGUGCUGCUGCAAACUCUUAAAUUGGAUAUUAACAACGUGAACUAUGUUUUACCAUGGCUGUCAAGAGAUGUUCUGGUGAAGCUGGAUUGUUUGAGGCAUUUGUAUCUGCCUAAAUAUAAAGUUUACGUUUUGGGAUGGAAAUCGAAAUUUCGGUUCAAUGGGUUGAGCAAGUUAGAGACUCUAGAGAACUUUAACACUACUUGGUGUGAGGCUAAGGAUCUACAUGAACUAAUCAAUCUUCGUAAGCUAACGCUAACGGUGAGAGAUAGCUUUGAUAUUCUGGAAAUAGUGAUGAAAAACUUGGGUGAUAUAGCCUCCUCACCAUCUUCAUGUCUGAGGUACUUGGGUGUCAGUAUUAUUAAUUGUGGAAUCAUGCUGAACAAUGGUCUUACUAUCUUAAAACAAUUGGUACAUGCUGACAAUCGGAACCUUCGGGACUUGAAAAUAUAUGAGCGUAUCGCAGAGUUGGGUCUAAUAUUUCUGCGUCAAUAUGUAUCUACAAUUGGUAUUACAAGUUUAACUUUAGCGAGUUCAUGCCUAGAAGAAGAUCCAAUGCCAAUACUGGAAAUGCUUCCAAUGUUGGGUGCUCUCCACAUGUUUGGGAGGAAUCCAUAUGUGGGGAAGGAGAUGGUGUGCUCCGCAACCGGUUUUCCUAAGCUCACCAUUCUUUAUUUCUACGGCUUCCCGAACCUUGAAAAAUGGAGGGUGGAGAAAGGAAGCAUGCCCAUGCUUUCAUAUUUGUGUAUUGGAAAAUGUAAGAAAUUGGAGGAGCUUCCACAAGGUAUGAUGUUCCUCAAUUCCCUUGUAGGAAUAUUCCUACAACAAAUGCCUCAAGAUUUCAAUUAUAGGAUCACAAGAGAGGAUGGUGGAGAAGGACCCGACUUUCACAAAAUUUCUCACGUCCCUAGAGUUAGUAUCAACAAUCAAAAUUAUGAUUCUAUGUUUUCCGUAUUCAUGUAAGGUUUUUUCGAUAUUAUGAAAAUCAGUUUUUUGUUUUCCAUACUUUAAGUUGUUAAGUUAUAAUUUACUUUCUAUUAAAACUAGCUUAUAACCUGUGCAACGCACUAGCGGUUAUAAUAUUUGUUAUUUUAUCAUAUAUAGUUUUAAUUUAAUUAAUUUUAUCGUAAAAAUAAAAUUAUGAUAGAAUAAUGUGGUUAAAUAAAUUAUUAUUUAACAGCUGAAUAAAUUCUUAAUACUUAAGUCCGUCAAAUGACUAAUUAAAAAUUAGGUCAAACAUAUAUUUUGAUGAGAAUGUUAAAUAUAUUUAUUUACAUGUUAUAAUUUAAGGAGAUCUAUAAACCCAUAUAUAAAUCAACCAAUCAACCUCAUAAUAUUUCGUUAGUAAUAAUUAAUAAUAUAGUAUAAAACAUAUUAUAAGUCAAAGAGACGCGUAAUCCCAAAUAUCGAUCCAUUACCUAAUUUUUAAUGUUUUGAUUCGAUAGAUAAUAAAAAAAUAUUAUAACAUAUUAUAAAUUAAUGAGGUCCGUGGGUUGAAUACCAACGGUCUCACCAAACUCGAUUGAUCGACCGACCAACUAACCAAUUGAACUUUUCAUUUUUCGGUUUUCGGCUUUAACAGUAUAAUAAUAUAUAGUAUAGUAUAAAUUUAUAAUAUCAUUUUUAAUGUGAGACCGUUAGAAUAUUUAAAAAUAAUGUUAAUUAAUUUCGGUUGAAAAAUAUCACCUGUUAUUUAUUAAUAAAUAUAUAUAAUAAUAUUAUGUUUUUAUACAUAUGUCGCCUGUGUUAAUUGUAGAAAAAUGAUUUUUUAGUUAGAAAAAAAUAUUUAUCCUGAACUCUAAAUCUUUAAAAUUAAAAAAAAACAUUUUUUUCAACGGAGAAGUUGUGUUUGUUGAAUUACAUUUAGUUUCAAAUUGCAAAAAUACUUUCUUAAAAAUUUUAAAAAGAUUGUAUAUUAUCGAAAAAGAACUCUAAACAUGUGUUAUAUCCUUAAAUUCUAUACUCUCUGACGCAGAAAAAUAAAUUAUAUUCGAAACAGAUUAUUAAUUUAAACUUAUAGUAGAGAGGUGUUUCGGUGAAGACCCCCGCUUAGUGCACAAUAAAAUAAAUAGAUAUAAUAAGAAUAUAAUAUCUUAGCCAUGUCCUUCUUCACACAGGACUUACCUAAAUAGUUCCUAAUGCAUCUGUGAACUGAGGACUUACCUAAACAGUUCCUAUUAUCACGAAUGCAUCCAUGAACUGAGCUAAUAAUCCUUCAAAACAUAAUGCAACGAACCUCGUAAUCUCUGUAAGCCACGAGACCUAGUCUCAACUAUUCUAAUAAGUCGUCCCCAAUCAUUCUUAUCUAAUGUCAUAUCACCCGUCCCCAAUCAUUCUUAUCUAAUGUCAUAUCACCCGUGAGAUUUAAAGCUCUCAUGUCCAAACUUAAUUGAUUAGCCCAUGUCCGACGAGGCUGACUUCUCUUUCUCUAGUCAUUCAUUAUUCUUGAGGUGAACAACAGUUAAAAAAAUUCAGAGCCGAGGUAUUCUUACACAGCAAAAUAUCGAUUUAUGAUAAUGUUGGACAGCAGAAAAUGAAAAGGAAGUAAUAUUUCACUAACCAUAUGUGAUAUCCAAUCCCAACAUUGAAAAUUGCUCACUCGAGAGAGACUAUAUUAGUAUCUCAUUCAUUAUUCUCGAAAUGGACAAGUGUUGAAGGAAUCCCGGAGCCACAAAUAUAACAACCUAACGACAGAAUAUUAAUUUAUGAUAGUACUGGACAGCAGAAAAUCAGAGAAAGUAAUUUUUCACUAGCCAAUAUGUGAUAUAUUUUCAUGCUGCCAACACAACAGAGUACAUUGUUGCCCUCAGGUUGCAACAAAACACAAAACUAGGACACUUUUAACUCUCGACUCCGCCCUUUGUUCAAACUUUUUCUUUGUGAUCUUUCUUUUCUUUAUAGUUAAACUACAAUAUAUACAGCGUUUAGGACUGGGAAACUGCUCUCUUCAAGACGCUGAAGGCAACGAGCAUAAGCAGUGAUAUCAUAAUCUUCUUUGAAGCAAGAAUCCGCAAGUUCACCUUCAUGCCAUGGUCUCUCAUGAGCUUCACUGUUGCCCUAAUUACUGAAAUAAGCCAGAAUACAACGGACAAGAACACCACUUUCAUUGUGUCUGCAGGUCCAUUCACACUUCUUGUGCCUCCCGACACCUCGACAUAGGACCAAGCAGCGCCUUGAUUAUCGGUAGUUCCACUCUGAUUGAGGCCAAGUUUCUCGUUCAACCAACAUGAUAAAGUCACAAGCAGCUUUGCAAGCCAUGCAAUCUCAUCAUUGGAGACUGGUCGCUUCAACCAGUCACCCCUGUAUUUCGUACCGGUUUGCUUCUUGUUGCGUAUCAUUCUAGGACUAAAUAUCUCAUCACGUGGAUGCUGAUUUUCUCUUGUCUCGGGGACUGCUUGUGUGUUCCUUGGAGUAGAGUUACCAAAUAAGCACCCCAUCUGGGCUUUGAUAGAAUCUAAACAAGCCAUAUUGUGAGCAUGAUUAUCUCCCAUGACAGUCUGCAGCUCCGACUCAGCACGCAACACAAAGAGCUGCAAUAACAAUAUGACUAGUGAGUGAGACUUGAGAUUUAGAAUGACACAAUUCCAUUCCUAGAAUUUAUAUAGUUCAUACAUAUAUAUUUAAGUACACUAUAUGCUAAAAGUGUUGGAAUAACCUUAAAUUUAAUUAUUUUUAAUAGAGUUAAUUGCAGAGUGUGUACCUCUAGUUUGAGGCUUGUGCACUUGGUGUACCUCAGUUUUGGUGUCUAGCAAUGUGUGUACCUCAGCUUUGAAGAUGCUUGCACAGUGUGUACUUUCGUGAGUUUGCAGCUUAACGGCGUUAGAUUGGAGGGACAGCGGGAUAAUUUGACAAAGAAAAAGGGAGGGGCAACGGCUAUAUGUUUGUAUGUGUUAUAUGCACUCUACUAUAUGGUCUGUAGUCGGGCUAGCUUAUGGACCUUGUGUUGAACAAAAGAAUGGAGUGCGUCGCGAGAAUGUUGAUGAUUAUGCUACUUCAGGACAAGAAUUGUUAAAGAGAAAACCGGCUCAAAUAACUGAUGAAGGCAAUAUUGUUAAAGAGCCAUGAAGAACCAAAGCACUCUCACCGGCUUGAUGUACUGUAUAGUUUGUGGCCUGAUACAUGUUGCAAAGGUUCUUAGCACUUUCACUUCUUGAUGCAUUAUAUUUCUUGUAUUCACCCAUGGAUAAAUGCAUAAUCAAGACACUGAAAAAUUAUGUGCCAUCACAGAAUAUUAGAUCAUAAUAGUAAUGAUAAGCAUGGUUUAUCCCUUAAGCAAAAUUAAGACAGUAAGCCGUUUUGUCAACUCGAAAAAAAGAUCUAGAAUAUAAAAUAGUAUUUUCUUUCCAGUACCUCUGUACUUGCAAUGCUGUAUAUUUGUAAAUAAUAUGGUAUUUAACUGUAUUACAGAAGUGGUAUAAGAAUAAACAGACAUAAAGCAUUCUCUCUUGUUCACUACUUGUCCAUAGAUAUUUAAAACAUUUUAAUCCCCUUGUAUAGUAAACAGAAUUGUAGCAAGUUCUAACUGAUCCAUUCUUGCUGUCAUACUCCCUUUAUCAGAAUAUUCUUCCCCAUUUGCGCCACGAGUAAGAGUAUUACAUAGAUUCAGCUGAUCAGACAAUGCUGCUGUAAAUUCAGAUGAAUCCUCAAUGUUUUCUAGUUCAUUAUCCUUUCCUGAAGGUUAAUUCACUUGUAACAACUCUUCUUCUGAAGAAGCAGAACCUUUCUUAUCGUCGGGUCUAAAGCCAUUCCAUUGUUCAACACAAGGACCGUAAGCCCAACUGCAAACAAGAUAGUAGAAGAGGUUUACUGAACUCGUGAUUGCAAGAAGCCAGUAGUAACUCUCAAAAUGUCCCUUGUUGAUAUUACUUGAAGUCCAGCUCUCUUUUCCUCCUUUACUUGAAACAUUGUUUCCGGUACUCAAUAUAGCACUAGCUAACAAGUUUGCAAAUGCCAUCCCUAGCCCGAACAUGGCUGAUGCAAUGCUGGACAUGCUGUUAGGGAAUUCUGAAUAGUAAAAUUCUGUUUGAGCUAUUGAGUUGAAAGCCUCGCCUAAUCCACUUAAAACAUGUUGUGGUACUAACCAAUAUGCAGACAUGUUAACCACACCGCUUGGAUUUUCUCUAAAACCUUGUUCGAUUGCUUUGGUUCGUCUUAUAUGUUCCACAAUGGCUGAGACAACCAUAGCCAAGAAUACUAUUAUCAUGUAAAAUAAUUGAAUAUAAGAGCAGUAUCAGUCGAAGUUGCUUAUGUAGAUACUUUAAUGACCAAAGUCGAUCACUAAAAAAAAUCUUUUGAUACCUUAUCAGUGGGCACAAGUCGUUCUGAAUCUUUGAGAGUAUGUGUAAUAGUAGAAUCUGGAGAAGGAAGUGUCAUUCUUCUGUUCUUGUAAACAACUGCAAUCACUUGCAUGAAGCUACUAAACAAGUUUGUUUUGACUUUUGGUUUGAUAUAUAAAGAAGUUGCAAUCAAGAAAAGAGCAGUUGAAAGGAACAUGAGAAGGGCUGGAACUCCAAAACCCACUUUCCAGUACCCCAGAUGAUCUUGAAUGUAGACAAUGCAAGUGAAAGCAAGCACGACUGCAACAGCUGCGGAAGCGUAUUACCAUCCGAAGAACCGUUCUAGCAUCCUUUUAUUCAUGGGAUUGUCCUUGUCAUCUAUUUGGUCAGCCCCAAAUGCUAGUGAACAAGGCCUAACACCACCUGCUCCAAUUGACAUAAGAACAAAGGACGAGAGCAAAACCAAGUACUGCAUUGUAGAAGUAUAUUCAAAGGUCUGGUGUUGCAACACAUAAAUGAGAUUCUAGGUUAUAAAUGAGGAGACAAAGAAUGUCUUCUUGUGCCGCCAAAGAUGAGUAGUAAACAAGAAGCCUCCAUUGGAAAUGUGUGUGUUGCCCUUUGUGAAGUAACGGUGUUAAUUCUCAGCUGACGGAAGUACACACAUUGCAAGCAUCUUUAAACUAUAGGUACACAGUUUGCUAGAUAUGAAAGGAAGGGUACACAAAGUGCACAAGCCUCAAACUAGAGGUACACACUAUGCAAUUUACUCUUAUUAAUAUUUGUUUAGUUAUAUAUUUUGAGGAUUAGUUUUAGAUUGAAGUAGUUGGAUGUUUGUUGUAGAGGUACAAGAAUUAAUACAAAUCAAUUUUAUAUUCUACACUUGGCAUUGGAGCCAGGUUACGCCGCCAGGCGGUGGUGAAGCCGCCGCUAGUGGUGAAGGCACAUAGUGAGUGUUUGACGAGAUAGUUUCAGGUAGGCGUUGCAGAAGGAUUGUGGCAAAGCUGCAUGUGUAGUAUGGGAUGCAUGUAUAGUAUGAGGCUGCCAAGAAAGACGAGGCGAUGCCUACUGAAGGUGGAAAAUGAGAUAGAGUGGAAGAAGGUCAUGCAGAACGAGAUGGAUCUUGCGUUUUUUAUGACGGAGUUGAACGAGAACCUCUCCUUCAAAAUUAUGGGUGAUUAUGUGUACCUGGAGAGAAUUUUAGAAUUAUGGGUGAUUAUGUGUACCUGGAGAAAAGUGCUCCAGUGAAUUUGGCGUUGAUGAGAAGUGCAUCAACAAAUUGGUGUUGAUGAGAAGUGCAUUGACAAAUCGGUGGUGGUGAGAAGUGCAUCACAUAUAGAGGUGGCAAUCGUUUCGUUUCGUAUACUUCUGUUUCGUGUAUUUUCAUGUUUCGUGUACUCAAAGGUGAAACCCGUAUCCGCCCGUUAUCAAUUUCGUGUACCAAAUUUGAAACCCGUAUCCGAUCCGAAACGUUUCGUGUAUUUUUCAUGUAAUCAAAAAAUAGCUUUAAUAUAUAUUUUUCUAUAUAAUUUACUAAAUAUGAAUGAUAUAUUUAUGCUCGCAUACAAUUAUCUACAAAUUUGUUAAUGUAUCUAUAAUAUGUAUCUACAUAUACAUAUAAAUAUAUAUUUAUUUAACACAAUUAUAUAUAUAUAAUAUAUUAUACCAAAUAUAUAAUGAAAUCUAUGUAUAAAUAUUUCGUGUACUUUCGUGUAUUUCGUGUACCCAAAAUGAAACCAAUAUUUGACACGAAAUCUAUCGUGUAAUUUCGUGUUCGUAAACUUUCGUGUUUCGUGUAUCAAAAAUCAAAACUCAUAUCCAUUUUUUUCGUGUCGUUUCGUUUCGUGUUAGCGUGUUACGUGUCAAAUUGCCAGGCCUAAUCACAUAUGAAGAGAAGUGCUUCAUAAACUCUCUUAAGUAAAUUUAAGAUUAUGGGGUGAUUGUUGGAAUAAUAUUAGAGGGGUGUAUUGGAUUGAGAUUUUAAAGCCUUUUUUUGCAUUCAUAAAAUCCGAGGGUAUUGGAUUGGGAUUGUUUGAAAUCAAUUAAAAUCUUGAGGUAUUCAAUUGAGAUUUUAAAUUAUACUACAAAAUCCGGUGGUAUUCACUUGGGAAUUUAAAUUAUGAUUUAAAAUCCGAUGGUAUUCAAUUGGGAUUGUUUCAAAUCCAUUAAAAUCUGAUGGUUUUCAAAUGCUGAUGGAUUUUUUUGCAUUUCAUAAAAUGAUGGAUUUUGUGGCAUUCUUCGGUGUAUUUUUUUACAAUUGCGAUAUAGACUAAAAAAAAAAUAUAAUAGGAUGUUCAUAGUGCAACGAAUCUUGCCCGUGUUGCGCACACGGGCAAUUUUUAUUUUCUAUAUUUUAAUAAUUGAUUGCAAUGUCUUUUUAAUUGUAACGCGCUCAAUAACAAAUUCAUAGACGAAUACUGUACAAUAAGAUGUAUAGAGACAUUGAAUGUUAAUUUAUUAGAUCAAAGUAAAUAUAAGCUGUUUUAGAUGGUUGGAGCAAUAGUUUUCAAACUUGAGGCCAAGAAAGAAAGUAAAUACAAUGCAGAAAGAAAGUGUACGAUAAUCAUGAAAGAAAAUAAUUGAAAUAUAAUUAUAUUUAGAUUUUUCAGAAAAAGUAAAAUAAAAUUCCCGUGUGCGAAGCACGGGCAAAAUUUGCUAGUUCUUACAAAAAGAAGAGAGGGGGAAAUAAACCUAUAGCAGCCGUUGUCCGCCAUCAUCACCAUCACUAAAUAACUGCAAAUCUUUGUUCCAAUUCUCAUGCAAGAAAGAGCCAUCAGCGUCAUUUUCACACAAUCCAUCCUCCCAGUCCUUGUAAAGCAAAAAAGAACAAGGGAUUUACAUAUAAACCUCUGAAAAAGAGUUGAAGAAUGCGCACGCGCGCACACACAAAAGAGAUGCAGAUAUGUCUUUAUACCUGCAGCUGUUCUCUGAUUGAUGGAACAAAUCUGUACAAGUUAUUGUGUAUGGGUUUGGAUGACCCAGAAGGCUUAGAAUGGAAGACAGUGUCCACAUUCUUUAUAAGAUUUAUCAGCUCACUGGACGAUGUCAAUAUGCUUAAGACCUGCGUAAGAAAUACAAGAAACAUAUACAAAAAUAAAUAAACAGAAACUACAACCAAUUGAUGAUCUUGGGAUAAAUAUAUAUACGGAUUUUAAAAUACAAAUUCCCCACUAUUAUCAAAAUACUGCCGAGACCGAUACUCGGACACGUAACCAUGUUGAACACUUUUAGCCGAGUCCAUGUAAUAUAGAUUCCCCAUACGUAAGCUUACCAGAUGUAUCCCCAUGAGCAACCAUAAAUUAAAAGAAGCUCAAAGAAAAUAAUUAGCUUUUUGUUGUGGUUCAUUCAGAUGUAUCCAUCAAGCAUUUUCCAGGACCACUGAAGCAAUCUAUGCAAAACCAUGGUUGAACAUCACUAACUACACAAGUAGCCUUCCUCUUGUGUUCUGCUUAUCCAGGUAAAAAAGAAAAGACUACAUGUCUUUUUUUGCUAGCAUGUCUUAAAAUGUACUAUUAUAUAAUUUUCUUAGUUUUUUAAUAAUUUCACCCAUCUAUAAAAGUAUAAACAGAGGACAAGAACAUAUAUCACACCUUUUGUGCUUCUUUACACCUCAACAGAGAACCAAGCAGGGCCUUGAUUAUCGGUGGUUCCACUACGAUUCAGGCCAAGUUUCUCAUGAUAAAGUCAAGGAGCUUUGCUGCUUUGCAAGCCAUUCCAUCUCCUUAGCGGAGACCGGCCACUAUUGUCCGGGCAUGUGUGGGUGAACUUAAUUUGAAAUAUAAUCAUUUAUUUUGAGAACAAUUUCACAUUCACAUACUAUUAAAUAAUAUUAAGUGUUUAGAGGACAUUUAGCAGAAAAUACACAUUUACAUACUUUCUCUUCCAGAUAUAAGUAAUUUAUUUCAAAAUACAAAAUAAGUUAAACGCCCAAGAUGUUUGAAUCAGUGAAUUACGCAAAUAUUUAAGAAUGAGAAAUCAUGGAGUAUGUUAUAAUACUCAAGUGCUUGUUACAUUCAACAUUUUACGGGAAAAAAGUAAAUUAAAUAUUUGCAAGAGAAUUAAUAGCAAAAAACGGAGCAAAUGUGUUCCAAAUUUUAAUUUUAAUAAAGCAAGUAAUGCUAUUGUAUUAGUUCUGGAAACAAAACGUAAUUUUCUCAUGAUGCAGACGCAGCAAACCGAUGAUUCCAAGUGUCUGUUAGCAGAAGGGGAGAGUGAAGAAGAAUAGAGAGUAUGAAGUGAUUUGCUUUGCUAUGAGGAGGUUAUGCAGGAAGCGGAACCAAGAGCGGUGAUGUUUGCAGAAACACAAGAGAAAGACUUCAAAUGGCAUCUUGAAAAGGAAUGAGAGCUGGCAAUUGGAGCAAACACAGCAACGACAACAAAAGUAAUCAAGGAAGAUGAGUAGGAUAGGCUUGUGAAACUGAGCUCCUGAAUUUCUGUUCUGCUUAGGAUUUUCGACAUAAUAGAGUUAUGAAUAGUAAUUACAAAAUUGAAAAAGUUGAACCAUAAUAUCAAACACAGAAGGGAAAAAAAUGGUUUUAAUAUGAACACCAAUCGACUCAAUCAAUUUGAUUACUAAAUUGACUAAGUGCUGCUUUAAACGGGUGCCCAAGACAUUAGUGAUGAAAAAGAUUAAAGUCGAUAAUUAGUGAUGAAAAAGAUAUAAAGAGCUUGCUUGGCCAGUACUUAAAGUCCUGGACAUUAUAAUCAUGUGGUGUAAUCACAUGGUUUAAUGAAUUAUUGUUGAAUUUUGCAACCAAAGAAGCAUGAAAAUGAUGAAAGACUGUCUCAGAGUCAUAUACAGUGGCUCCAUUAUAGUUUAAUUAAUAUACUUUGGCAAAGGGCAAUACUGGACAGCAAUAGAGAAUAUAAAGUGAUCACUCCUCACUUUAUAUUCUAGGUCAAAUUUGUUAUACAAAUUUACACUUUACACUUUACACUUUGUUAUACAAAUUUGUCCACUAAUUUCACAAUGAUCGUAUCAGGAACGAGUUCAAGUAUAUCAGAAGUAUAUUCUAGGUCUAAGCAAAAAUCUUUUAACACAAGUUUGUUCAAUUAACAACAGUCAUAAGCUGUAAGAUCAAUAAUAGACUGGAUGCAAAUGCUAUUUAACAAAAACGUUACCAACAUCGCAUCGCAACAACAAAUAACACCGAUAAAAGACCGAAAACAAACACAAUCCACCAAAAUAUGACCAGCUUCGCAUCGCAAGGUCAUGGAAUUUGAACUUAAGAUUCUAUAUGUUAUGUUUUAAGUCUGAACUCAAGUUUUGCCUAUAUCAGAUCAUAUUCCAAACUCAACUAAUGUGGGAGACUUGUGUAAUGAGUGCAACUGACCUUUUGCAACAAACAAGCACAUCACUUCAAACUCUCCGACUAGCUUUUUCUUUUUAAAAUAAAAAGAAAACAGCAGCAAUUAUGAUCUCUCCAUUAAAGAUAACAAGUUCUGCAACUUUCAAAAUUAUUUGCUUUAUAUAGACUUGUUUGGUUUCCAAUGUGCUGAAGACACCAAUACAUUUGAGCCUUAUCAAAUUUAUUACUCCCUCAUCCCAUUUUUAACUGUACUUUAUAUAGACUUGUUUGGUUUCUGCUGAAAAAAAAGUUAAACGAAUUAAUAUGGCUGAAGCAAUUGUGUCGAUUGUUAUGGGAAGGCUCGCUGAUUUAUAGAUUGAAAAACCUCAAAUCCUUAACGAAGUGAGCGAUGAAAUUCAACUAGCUGUGACGGAGCUCAUGCGGAUAAAGACAUUCUUACCUGAUGCUGACUCAAGGAUUGAUGUAGAAAGAAUCCGCAUUUUGCUCGGGGAGGUACGAGAGCUUGCCUAUGAUGCUGAACAUGCUGUCGAAAGUUUUGUUAUUAAAGCCUCAUCCACUAAAAAACCAUUUCAGUGGAUGAACAGAGUCAGAUUUUCAAGAAAGAUGAAAGAUAUACAUAAAAAGAUGUCCCUCCUCUUCAAUUUAUUUUCCGAUUAUAAUAUCAGACCAACUUCAGAAUCAUCAACUUCCUCCAACAGGGAAGAUGGUGAAGAAGGACCCGACUUUCACAAAAUUUCUCAUGUCCGUAGACUCAUUAUUGAUGAUCAGGACUACAUUUGAAUGUUCUUGUAAGUUUGCAAGGUAUAAAGUUUUGUUUUGGUCGUGAAGAACAUAUUGCUUGAGAAAUUAUUUGAUCAUUUGCUUCUCAUUAACCUAAUUUUAUAUGAUUAAUUUAUUUUCCAUCAAAAUUAAUACUUUUACCGUUGAAAAUAAUUUAAUUAAGACUUUUAAUUUUCUUAUUUCAAUUAUUAUUUAAUAGCCCGGUAGCGUUGAUGAAAGUGAUACAAAUAUUGAGAUGAGUCAUUUUAUAAUUGUUUUACGGUAGAAUUCCACGAGCUAAUCGGUUGUUAAACUUGGCUUUUACAUGCUCAUCGUUUAGUAUACAAUGAAUCAAUAAUAGUCAUUUAUUUAGGAAUUAAACAAUAAAUUAAUAUUUAUAUACAUGAGUAUCUCCGACCAUAGGAAACUCUCAGUUAAAAAGUGAGAUGACAUAUAAAAAUAAAAAAAUAUAGUCAAUCUUUUGAAAAAUUCACACUCCAAACAUAGUAAUUCAUUUUCUAUAAUUUUAGUCAACCUCCUAAGUUGACUAAAUUUGUCGAACUUCUGCUCAUCAGUAAAAUAUCGGUAGGAAGAUUACACAUCAUUUGUUAUCAUAUUGAACUGAUAUAUUCUAUUUUAACAAUCUAAAAUAUUAAUAACAUAUUAUUUUUAGAUUAUAGCCAACCAAUAUAACCAAUACAAUUAGAACAUAGUGUCUCAGAGGUUCAACAAAUUUUACAUAUUGUCUUGCAAAUCUAAUUUAUCGAAUGAUCUUAGUUUGCUGAUUCCAUGCAGUUUAACUAUCAUUUUUUCUAUUGUAAACUCAACCGCGACCCAAAUUAUUUGUUGUGCUACUUAUGCAAACUCCGACUCUAUAACUAACAAUCCUGUGAUUCAUAUAAAAUAUAGUUUUAUAAAUUAAUAUAUUCUUUUUUUGGAAUAAAAAAGUUGAUAUUUAAAUAUUUUUAUAAAAAAAAAGUUAAAAUUAAAUUAUAAAGCUAUUUUAUAUGAGUCUUAAAAUAUGUGUGUAAAAAAGCCCGUAAAUAAAUCAGGGGACCGAGGGAAUACCAACUACAAUUACUCCAAGGGCCCCCUGGAUGCAGAGAGCAUCAGGGUUGCUCUUACCUAAUUAAUAUGCUUUGGCCAAGUAGAAUCGUAGUGAACAAUUAUAGAGAAUCUGAUGUGCAUGCAGAAGAAACAAGUAUAAGCUGCUUGAUUUCUUAUAAUACUGAUUAUUCAAUACGCAAGUAGAGUUAAUAGUUGUUGAUGAGGGUGAUGCAAAAAUUGAUGUACGUGGAGUACUUGUGGAUUGUGGUACAUACAGUUAGCACAGGUGAAACCAGAAAUCCUUCCGGAGUAUCCGUCUCCAAAUUUGGCACAAAUAAGAUAUGUUUUCUAAUUUCUAUUUUUUGCCUCAUCUAUUUAAGAUAAUCUUCACAUUACAUAUUUGCUUUUAUUUUUAAUAGUAAAAAUAUCUUAUACCAUUUUUAAAUAUAUUAUAUUUGUUCGCGCUAAAUUUUGUGUUCAAGUAUCUACUGUGAAGUUCAGAAAAUUUAUUCAGGUGGACUUAACUCAUGAUAAGCCCGAAUGUUCUCGAAUCCGUGAGUCCAUGAGUGAACCUAGUCCUGGGCUCAUUUCUCAAAAUCCCAACGAAGAAGUUUAUAAGCCAAGGGUGCCUUACCCACAAAGGCUCAUUCGCCCUAAACAAUCGGCCCAAAUUGAACAAAUUCUAGAGGUUUUCAAACAAGUCAAGAUAAACAUUCCUCUUUUAGAUGCCAUUCAACAAGUUCCUUCUUAUGCUAAGUGUCUAAAAAAUCUGUGUACCCAUAAGCGAACCACCCAUGUUCCUAAGAAAGCCUUCUUAACCUCGCAAGUAAGCUCGAUUCUCUCGAAUCAAAUUCCCGUGAAAUAUAAGGACCCCGGUUGUCCUACAAUUUCUUGUGUCAUAGGCAAUACUUGCGUGGAAAGGCUUUACUUGAUUUAGGAGCGAGUGUGAAUCUUCUUCCUUUCUCGGUCUACCAAGCCCUAGGUUUAGGGUAUCUCAAGACCACCAAUAUGACCCUUCAACUUGCCGAUCGUUCGAUUAAAAUGCCAAAGGGAAUUAUUGAGGACGUGUUGAUAAAAAUCGGUGAUUUUAUCUUUCCUGUUGACUUUGUUGUUCUCGAAACUCAACCCGUCUCGAAUCCUAAGAACCAAAUUCCUAUCAUUUUAGGACGACCUUUUCUUGCUACAUCCAAUGCCUUAAUCAAUUGUAGGAAUGGUUCAAUGAAGCUCACUUUCGGAAACAUGACCAUUGACUUAAACAUUUUCAAUGUAGGAAAAGAACCCAAUGAGCUUUAUGAGCAACCUAUAGGGGUCAAUGUGGUCAACAAGUUUGUCACAUGGUCUAGCUUUGAGGAUAGUGAGAUUGAGUCUCUUCUUGGUGAGGAUUUCAAAUUCAACAAUGAGAAUAAUAGGGAAUAUCACGAGUUUUUGAAAGAGUUGACCUCGGAGGAGUUGUUAGGAGAAUUGAACGAGAUUUGUUCAAAAUGGGAGACUCCACCCGAGAUUGUUAGUGUGAGCCCUAGGCGCGAUUUUGAGAGUCAUGUAGGUGAACCACCGACAUUUGACUCGUUGUUCCAUCAUUCGCUUAGUGCCUUAGGGAGAGACGAAAUCGUUUCGCACAUCAUUACUAGUGAUUUGUCCCUUAACCAAGAUUUCAUAGUCUCUAAUUUGCUUGAUGAUAAAGAAGCAUUAAGUUGGUUUCGGGAGAACAUUAGUGAUACUUGUCCUAUAGGGAUGAAUGAUUGUCACAUGCUAGAGAAAGUCUUUGUGCAUAAAAAUUUUCGAAAACAUUUUGACUCUUUCUCGAAGCUCCCUCCCAUCUUUCCUUCCGGAAUUGGCUGAUUCGCUUCCAUCUUCGAACCUUCCCCCGUGAGAUUCAGGUAUUGGGAAGGAAAUGUGUGGGUGAGUGGGUCGUGUAUGUGUUUCAAUAGUUAAUAAAAUCCCUUCAUCUCCUAUUCAGGUAUUUUCCCUCUUUACUCAUACAUUUCAAUUCUCUCUUUUGCAUACAUUGAGGACAAUGCAUGAUUUAGGUAUGGGGAGGGCUUUAGUGUAAUUCUUAAAAAAUGAAAACCCUAAAAAAUGAAAAAAAUUAGAAAAAUCCAAAAAUAGAGAUGUUUUAGCUAAGUUGUCUUUCCCUCACUUGAACUUUAGGAGUAGUUGGUGUUUAGCAUGUUUUCGAAAAGUAAAUAUAUAUGUAGUGUCUUUUAGAUAAUUUGAACGUAGUUGAGUAAGGUUGUCUUUUUGAAGAUUGUAUCGACCGAUUUGUACUUGUAAUUCCAAGAUGGCACACACAUUUGCACAAGACCUUUGAUGGAGAGAUUGUCCAGUGAUAUUAUUCGAUACCUGAGAGAGAACCCACAUGUUGAAACAAUGUCGAACCGAACCUUUGCGACUAAAAAAAUAGCAAAAAAAAAAAGAAAAAGAAAAAAAAGGAAUAAACUACUUCAAUACCCAUUGUUCUUUAUAGAUAAAAUCUUUAGAUAAAUGGGCAAAAGUAGAUUGACUAGUCUCGUUUUGUGGCCUUUGUUACUCGAGCAAUUAAGUCCGUAGGGGGAUUUCAAAACCUGGUGCCCUACGACCGUUUGGUUUGGGAGUCACUGGCCUAAAGCUCGCUACAUGGGUAACAUUGUUUUCCUAAGAAAACGGACUAAAUAAAGUCAAUGCAAAAAAAAAGAGAAAAAAAAACAAAAAAAAAGGGAAGGAAGAAUAAGAGUUUGUAAAGUUUGGCUAGAUAUUUGUUUCGAUAGAGAUUGGGUCAGUUCAAAAUUGGUUGAAAAAGAGAAAGUGUUCUUAGACAAUUAGGAUCCAUCAAAGGCCUUAAAUUACUUACACUCCUUGGAUUUCUAGAAAAUUUUUGUGUCGAUUCAAGUAGAUUUGAGGCAACUGGAUCUUGAUUAUUAGUAAAAGAGUCUUUGAGUCGUAUUUUCCUUAAAAACGCUUUUUGUUAACACCGGCGAAAUUAGAGUAGAGUCGAGUAGACACUUGCUAGAAUGUCUCGAAGAUUUUAUGGGUAUAUCUUCUGUAAACCCUUAGGAGACAAAACUCCUCUUGUAGAGAUCGUCUACGAGUUUAACGGGUUGGUGAACCUAAAAUCACCCGUCACGCCUACGAAAAGGAGCCUAGGACUUGCAUUUAGUUUUCUUAGUUUAUUUUCUUUUCUUUUGAUUUUUACUCGAGGACGAGCAAAAUUUAGGUAUGGGGAAGUUUGAUAAGUCGAUAUUUUUGCAUCAUUUAGAUACCUAUUUAUUGCUUGUUUUCGUAUUUUUAUUAGUUAAUUGUUUUGUUUUCAGGAAUUUUUAGAGAAAUCGAGAAUUCAAGAGAAAAGGAACAAAAAGGUGCAAGAAGGGAAAAAGAGGAAGAAAAAGAAGAAGAAGAAAAAGAAGAAGAAGAAAAAAAAGGAAAAGAAAAUCAAGACACAAGACUAAAUUUGUAAACACUUUUAUUAUAUCAAUACAAGUAUUCAUUUUUGUUCUUAAAUCUUGCUCUUUACUUUUACUUCUAGGCUAUGAAAUCUUUCUCUAACCACAUGAGACUCAAAAUUACUUGUGGAUUGAAGGGAGCCUAAUUAUAUGUUUUAAGCUUGCAAUUUUUUAGUAUUUAAAUUGAGCCCCUUUUAAUUCUCAAUAUUAUUAGUGGGUUCAAUGGUUUAGUAUUCUAGAUUUUGGUUUUAGCUUGUAGUUUGAUGGGGUUUUGUUAGAUACAUGGUAGAUAAGCUAGUUUUGAAGUUUUGUUUGAUUUGGAGUUAGUUUGGUAGGAUUUGGUAUUGUUCUUGUUCUUGGUUUUGGUAUUUUUUGGGGCUUUUGGGUGUAAAUUUUAGUUUGUGAUUUUGAAUUGAGGUUAGUGGGUUUAUGUUAGAAAUAUUUUGCUUAGGUUAGAUUUGAAAUUUGGUGUAGUUUAGAGUUGUUAUGAUUUGAUUUGAGUCUUAUUUUGGUAAAAAUGGGUAGUUUAGGGGCUUUUUAGUGUAGAAUUUGUUGUUGAAUUUGAUUUAAAGGUUAGUGGGCUUUGAUUUGUAAUAUUUGGAAUGGCUAGAUUUUCCGGUCAAAUAAAUUUUCCGGUGAGAUUUAAGCUAUUUCGGGCACCUCCAUGAUUCCGGCGGGUUACUCUUGACUUUUCCGUCGUCCGAUAAAUGUUUAGUUUCNAUGUUUUAGUUUCUGUUUGUUUUCUGGUCAGUACUGUUGCUUUACGUUUCGACCACGCGUCCAUUUCUUUUAUUAUUAUUAUUAUUAAUUUGUUUUCUGAUCUGUUGUGUUUGCUCGGUAGUCACGUGAUUAUAUUAUUAUUGUUUUCCUCCCGCGAACUGUACACACACAGUCACUAAUCCUUAUUGUAUUGUUUUAUCCGAUUAUUAGUUAAUUAUGUAAUUAAGUAUUUAGUUAACAGUAUUAAUUAGGUAGUAUAUUAUAAUAAUAAAAUCCUUCAAAAAUUAAUCGGUCUAAUUCGCCUAGGUUAAUAAUUAGAGGUCGCGAAAAGUUAAAUUUAAUCUCUGUAGACGAAUCUAAAAUAUUAAAACGGUGAUCGUGCGCUUGCGAUUUAAAGGUAUUAUUUAUAGCACAUCACAGAUGAGGGUGAGCUUGUUGAGGGUUUACUAGAAGGUUGUCACUUAGAUUUUUACAUUGACAUUGUUGUGGACAAGGAAAUAGAGCCGAUGAAGCAGAUGCAACCUCAUGUGAUCAUGACAUCAAAGACAAGUUUUUUUGAAGGUAAUUAUCAAAAGUUUUUGGAAUUAUUUUGGUGUGAGUCAUGGUAUCAUUAUUUGGUUUCCUUUCCCUCAAAUUACAUGUGUGUAAAUAAUACUCUUGUAGGUCUAGAUAAAGUGAGGACACAGUAUGUGACAAUACAAACACUUCAAAAGGAUCAAAAGAAUAAGAAAAAAGGAGCUCACGAGGACUUGAAUUUAGUUGGUGAUGAGAAGGUGCAAUCUGCACCAGAAAUUGAGGGAGAUGACAUCAACAAGAAGAAAACUACUAAAGCUGCUGACUUGGUUGUUAAUGAGGAGAAUGUGGAAUCUGCUGCACACAUUCAGGUUUGCGAAAGAAGCAAGAAAAAACUUACCAAAAAGGCGAGUUUAUUGAUAAAAUACAUCUCUUACAUAUAUUCUUGUAUAUUAUAUAUGAUCAUGCAACAACUAAUCAUGUGUAAUUUAUUUAGGAUAUUCUUGCUGAUUUUGAAGAAAAAAGAAGAAGAGAGUUGCUGAAAACAAUCAAAUGUUGGAACAACUGAGAAUAAAGAAAUUGAAAGCUGAUCUUGAAGGUCAAAAAACAAAGAAGAAAAAUGUAGAAGAAGUUAUUGGGAAUAUAUCAGACCUAGAAUUUGAUAGAGAGUAUGUGUCGGGACAGGACAGCCUCCCCACUAGUGAAGAGGAGCAUCCAGCGAAGGUGUGUAUAACUUAUUCAAGUAUUAAUUUAAGCUUUGCAAUUAAUAUUAUAGAAGUUUAAUAUAUGAUCUUGAAUUAAUUAGCGGGCCAAAAAAGCUCCAUCAGUGAAGGUUGCUACCAGACCACCGACAACUCGUUCUAAAACAGCACAAAAGGUUGCUGAUGACAAUAAACUUGUGCAUUUUUCCUGCAUUUUAAUUUUCUUUUUUUUGCGCAUUUUAAGUUCAUAUUUUCUGUAUUUUAUGUUCUAAAUUUCCCAAUUUAUUUCACGUUUUCUGCAUUUUAGGUUAAAUUCACAAUGUUUUGAGUUUAAAUACUUUAUAAACUUUUUUGCAAGGUUAAUGAUGAAGUGGCAGUACCACCUCCCCCCAGCUACCUAGUACUCUUCAAGAAUUCAAGCAGAUAAAGAGGGAAUACAAUAAUGAUAGAGUUAAGACCAUGGAGGCAUUUGUAAAGAUGAGACAAAGCUUCAAGGAAAUGGAACAAGAAGCAGCUAGCAAUGCAGAGGACAAUGAUGUUGGGGUAAAGAAGGAACCAACAGAUGGCAAGUUCCAACUGAAGGUAUGUUUUUGAUCCUUAACUUGGGGUAGAAAUUUCAAUUAUAUAUAUAUAUAUAUAUAUAUAUAUAUAUGACUAAUUAAUCCUAUAUAAAAAUGGUGUUUAAUUACUUUGAAAUACAUAUAUCCAGGUGAAACUAAAGUUACAACGACGCCUAGAGCUCCUGUUGCUUUAACAAGGCACGCUUCUUAAUUUGCCAUAAACUGAAACUAUUCUUCCUAGUAAAUUUGUCGACCUUCAUGUUAAUACCACCAGACAUCUUUCUGACCGUAACCUCGCACUGAUGCCAGUUUGUUUUAACGGAAGCAAGAAAGAUUAUAAUAAACGUCAAGGAAGAACACAAAUAGGCAGAAGAAAAAAGUUUUAUUGAUCUUGAGGAUACAGAUGCAGCAUACAUUUUUAGGUUAUGACCCAAAAAGUAUGACCUAAAGAGCUUAUAUUAUUACUCUUAGGCCGUUACAGAAAAGCCCAGAAAAAUAGGCCCAAACACUGAUUUAAGGCAUAUUUGACAACGAUAGUGUUGGACAGCAGAAAAUGAGAGGAAGUAAUAUUUGACCGACCAAUAUGUAAUAUGUUUUCAUGCGGCCAACACAACAGAGUACAUUGAAUCCCAAUACACCAAAACUAGGAUACUUCUAACUCUUGACUCCGCCCAUUGCUCAAACUUUUUGUUUGUGAUCUUUUUAUAAUGAACCACUUUUGGGUUUUAUUUUGUUUAUAGUUAAACUACAAUAUAUACAACAUUUAGGACAGGGAAAAUGCUUUCUUCAAGACACUGAAAACAAUGAGAAUAAGCAGUGAUAUCAUGAUCUUCUUUGAAGCAAGCAUCCGCAAGUUCACCUUCAUGCCAUGGUCUCUCAUGAGCUUCACUGUUACCCUAAUUAUUAACAUAAGCCAAGACACAACGGACAGGAACACCACUUUUAUUGUGUCUGCAGGUCCAUUCACACUUCUUGUGCCUCCCCACACCUCGACGUAGGACCAAGACUGACACUUGGACACGUAAUCAUGUUCGACACUUUUAGCCGAAUCCAGGUAAUAUGUUCCUCAUAUACAAAACACAACUUAAUUAGGACUUCAGCAGUCAUUUAUAAAGUUCUACGUACAAUAGACAGCAAUCUGAUGCUCCACCAUAACUAGUAUGCAUGUAAGAAAAACAAAAACAUUCUUGCUAAGACUAAUUACACUACCCUUUGCAUAUUCAUCAAUCAGUACAAACACAAACAAUAUUAAAUCAAGUGAAACAAUCAAAACAUCUGUAGGAUGCGUGGAACCAUGAUAGCGCAUAUAGGUAACACAACAGAUAUCCUAGUACACUAUAACAAACUGGGCUAUUUACGACGAACACUAAGCCUAAUAUCCGUCGUAAGUUCCCAAUUUAUGAUGGAAAAAUCUGUAGUUUUUGCUCAAGUAGUAAGUUCAAAAAGCCGUCACAAUUUUAACUAUUAAACCAAUCCAAGAAAAUAAUCAAUCCACAAUAACAUAGUUUUCAUUAACAAAACAUCUCAAAUACAUAUUCAUACACAAACAAAAGACUAAAACAUCCAAACACAUACUCAUACACAAACAUAUGAUUAAAACAUCCAAAAACAGCCCCACAAAUUCAAUUACAUUCACACAACUUAAUAUUAACCCUUAAUAACCGGACCUCCUCUAGAGACAACAAUCGGGAUGACUCAUGUCAUGGUCUUCGGAGUUCGAAAUCUCAUUACCACUUCUAGCAUUAUCAACGUCAUCUUCAUCCCCAGUGUCGAUAACCUUGCCCUACAAUAUACAUAAAAAAUAAUUCAGUAUAAAUUGAAUAGAAACUCAUUUCUAUAUUCUAGAUAGAAACAUUCACCGUAUGUUUAUUUUGUUUUCUUUAAUGUACGCCCCUGUCUAUAAUUCAGGGUAUGUUUAUUUUUCAUGUAUUUUCUCUAUGAUUACAAAUAGCCGACCUUACUUGUCUAUUUGUACAGGUGGAAUUAUAGUUUAUAGGCAAGUUUGUGUCCACAGCAUUUAUGAGAAAAAGAUUGCCCUGUUGCGGUUUUUAAGAAUUGCUUCUUGCAAAUGCCAAGAAAUAUUUAACCCUCUCAUUAUAUUCAUCCGUAAAUUCAUAGCCACCGGAAAUUAUUCGUCGAGUAAUCCAACUUCUAUCAUAAGACAUCUAUAUAUGCAUGAAUAAUAUCAAUUCAAUUUCAAUAUGCAUAUAGACAAAAAUACAUACAAACACAAAUAAAACACAUGUAAACAUUAAAUUAUUCAUAUUAAUGCACAUAUAAUUAAACUAUAGAAGAAUAAGCAAAGAUUUAUCGUAUACGUAUAUUGAUUCAAGUGUUAAUCUCCGUUGUUAUGUCAUAUCUUCUGUGAAAUCAGAAGGAGAAGUAUGGUGUUUUGAAAGAGAAGUGGAAAAUUAGAAGCAGGCAAUAGUGAUUAAUCAGACCAAAUUACAACGGAAAGAACUCAUUCCGUCGUAAGUUCAUUUAAAUAUAUUAUUCUACAAUGCACAAGUCAAAAGUUUCGGGUGACAUUAAAUACGGUAGCUGAAUUUACGACGGAAUGAACUCAUUCCGUCGUAAAUUCCAGCACUAAAAGACACCGUUUGAAACAAUGGAACAUUCUCGAUUACCUUUUAAUAAAAAAAAUAUUUAUAUACGUGAAUUUACGACAGAAGGAGUUGCCGUCGUAAAUUAAUACGACGAAAAAACACCUAUCCGUCGUAAGUUUAAGCACUCAGCGAAUCUGUCAUAAAUACCCCUGUUUGUUGUAGUGGUACAUGGAAACUAAUAAAUACUAAGUAGCUUGUCUUCUUAAUGUGAUAAUAUUGUUUACUAACCAAUACUGACACACAUUAUCUUUAGAGUAGAUGGUCCUUUUCUAUGAGUUAAAGCACUUUGCAUCUCUUUUGUUUGAACAUUACAAAUAUAUGUUCAUAGUAUUAAUCUUGUUUCCCCCUGACCUAAAUCGUUUCAGUGUAAAAUUAGCAGCUCUGUACUUUCUCAAUGGUAUCUAAAUUUAUUAAAGUAAUAUUUGAUUCGUCAAUUACUAAACAAUACAGAAAUAACAGUAUGAGAAGGGAACUAAUGUGAAAUGUGCAAAUUGCAACCUUACACUUCCACAACUGGAUGUCUGUACUAAUGCAAUAUCUUUAUCAAAUCUUAAAGUUUUCUGAUUAAGAUCCAAUGUGCACGUUGCAACCUUUCUCAUCCACAAAGACGUCUUUACUGAUGCAAUAUUUCUAUUAAAAACUCUAAAAGGGUGUUAUAUCCUUAAAUUUUAUACUCUUGACGAAAAAAAUAAAUAAAUAGUUUUCGGAAGAAACUAUUAAUUCCAUACAAUUACGAUCAUUAUACUUAUUAGUUUUAUUUAAGAUUUUGUUUAUCUUAAAGUCACAUCCAUAUUAAAAACACUCAAUUUCCUAAAAAUAAUAUUAGAUUAUGGAUAACAUAGCAACUACUUUUUAUGAUUAAAACACAUUGUCAUUUUCAUAUUCGUAAUCAAAAAAUCGAUUUUUUAAAAAUAACACAUGCAAUAUACAUAUAAAAAGAUAAUAUUAUUAUAUAUAAUUAUUAAUAUACAACCGAUGAUAUUUUUCAAUAAAAUGCAUUAAUGCUGUUUUUAAUUACUCCAUGUUAUCACUUCAAAAUAAUAUCAUAGAUCUAUACUAUCUAUUUAUACCAUACUAUGCUAUAUUAUUAUUAUUAUUAUUAUUAUUAUUAUUAUUAUUAUUAUUAUUAUUAUUAUUAUUAUUAUUAUUAUUAUUAUUAUUCUUUUAAAAUUGAAAAAGUAAUAAUUUUAUCGGUCGGUAGAGUUUUAUCAGCCGCUCGGUAUUAUUCUACAGGCCUCCUUGAUAUAUAACGUGUUCUAAUAAACUUUUUAUUAUCAAUUAAGUCAAAAAAUAUAAAAAUUCGGUUAGUAUGAUCGAUUUCUGUUUCAAUUAAAUUUAUGAUUUAAAUGAUAAAAUUAUAAAUAUCAUAAAUCAACCGUACAUGGAACGGGUUAUAAACUAGUAUUAAUUAUUAUGAUAGAAUAGUUAUUAUAUUUUAAUAUUGGUCCUGAGAGAUGAAAUUUUUUAUGAAUUUAGAAAAUUAAUCACUUUACAGAAUAUUAAUUUAUAGAAAUUUUACUAUAUUAGGUGUUGAUUUUCUUAAGUUAGAAUAUUAUUUAAUAAACAAGUAGGAUAAUUUAUAAGGAUUGUAUUGGAUUAGGUGCUGAAUUUCUUAUUUUGAUUAUUAUUUAAUAGGUAGGUAGCGUAAGUUGUCGUCGAUGAAAGUGACACAAAUAUUGAUAUGAGUCAUUUUAUAAUUGUUUAGUAAUAUACCGUAGAAUUCUGCCAGCUAAUCGGUUGUUAAACUUUGCUUUUACAUGCCCAUCGUUUAGUAUACAAUGAAUCAAUGAUUGUCAUUUAUUUAGGAAUUAUGUCAUUUAUUUAGGAAUUAAAUAAUGAAUAACUCACACUUGUUCGGUUUAAUCUCAAAUUAGGGUUUUGUGAGUCGACUCCCAAAACUGGCAGUCACUUCUCCAUUCUUCACCUUCAUCCUCUUCAUCCACCAAAUCCUUUUCGCUCUCCCAUGUUAUUCACUAUUUACCACUUUUUUUGUUUUUCAAUAAAAGCGAGUGUUGCUUAAACCUCGAAGAUUCCAAUCGGGUUUUAUUCUCGGAUCUGUUUCGGAUUUGAGCUUGGGCUUGAUUGUUUUCUGAAUAAAUCAGAUAUUUUGAAAUCAAAGGUCCGAUCGUGUUUUCCCAUCUCGCCUUUUGGCGUGUGUUGAUUUAGUACCCAAUUUUUGGGUGAUUCUGCGUUGUUAUACUUGUGGUUGUUAUGUUUUUCUGUGUUAUCAAUGAGAAUGAUUUGGAUGCAGUUUUGGGAGAUCUAACUUAUCGCAUCAUUAAUACUUUCGGCAUGUCUAUAGCUGGCUCCCGGCGGCAUGUAGAUAGCUGGGGUAUGCUUGGAACGGUGGCGAUAGCAUGUGCUCACCUUUCACAAAUUAUAGUUGUUCAUUAUUCGAGGACUCUUGUUACUCAUUGCUUAGUUUUUACAACUGAGUCGCUUGAACACCGUAACAGCGAUGGAACUAUUGUGAAGGCCAAUUGUAUUCAUUCUUAGUUUCAAUGUAUUCAGUGUGUUAAGCAGUCUGGAAACAAUGCGGCUAUUUGUGUAGCUCGUUUUAUUGUUUAUCAACCUGAUUGCAUUGUCUGUUGGAGAUUUGUCCCGACUAGACUUGUUUUAAUUUAUUGAAAUGAAUUUGCAUUUUGUCAAAAAUAAAUAAAUAAUGAAUAACUCCAUAUACAGGAGUAGGUUAAUAGUAGUAUUAGUCUGUUGAUUCCAUGCAGUUCAACUAUCGGGAGUGUUUGUUUACGAGAAGCUGGAGUUGCUUCUAACUGCUUCUUUUGACCCGUUUGUGUAAAAAAGUAGAAGCACUUUUGAGAAUGCUAUCUUCUCUCUCACAGCUUCUGUUUCUUUUCCAAACACUUUAUUAACUUAUUUAAUUCUCACUUCUACUCCAUUUCUUUACUAUAAGCAAGAAAUCACAAUUUUUAAGCUAACUCAAACAGGCCCAUCAUUUUCUCUGGUGUAAACUUGACCGGUCUAGCUCGAGUAUAGUCGACCCAAAUUAUUUAUUGUGCUAGCUAUGCUAACACCGACUCUAUAACUAACAAUCCCUGUGGCGGGACGUGACAUCGAUAAAAGUUAGUAAUUAAAUAUUUAUAUAAAAGAAAUUAAAAUUAAAUUAUAAAAAUAUUUUAUAUGAUCUUUAAAAUAUGUGUGUAAAAAAGACAGUAAAUAAAUCAAAGGAACCGAAGGAGUACUAACUACAACUACGGCUAGGGCCCCGGAUGAGACCAUCAGGGUUGCUCUUACCAUCAGGAAAGAAACAAAUUUAUAUGUUAAACAAAUUUAUAUGGCUGAAGCAAUUGUGUCGAUUGUUGUGGGAAGGCUCACUGAUUUGUUAAUUGAAAAACCUCUAAUCCUUCACGAAGUGAGAGAUGAAAUUGAAGUCGCGGUAGCUGGGCUCGUGCGGAUGAAAACAUUCUUACGAGAUGCUGAUUCAAGGAUGGAUGUAGAAAGAAUCCGGAUUCUGCUCCGGGACGUACGAGAGCUUGCCUAUGAUGCUGAACAUGCUGUCGAAAGUUUUGUUAUUAAAGCCUCAUCCACUAAAAAAUCAUUUCAGUGGAUGAACAGAGGCAAGUUUUGUUAUGAUGCUGAUGAUUCUUACCCACUUAUAUCUAUUUGUGGAAUGGGGGGUCUGGGAAAGACAACUCUAGCUCAAAAGAUAUACAAUCACUCCGCCAUCAAGACUCACUUUGCUGGUUUAGCAUGGGUAUCAAUCUCCCGAAAGUGGCAAACAGAUCGUGUGUUGCAGAGAAUUCUUAUAUGUCUCGUCCCUGAGAACAAAAACUCUAUCCUUAAUAUGGACAGUGACAAGCUAGUGGAGUAUAUGCUACAAAUCCAGGGAAGGAAAAAAUGUUUGAUAGUUCUCGAUGAUAUAUGGUCAACUGAUACUUGGGAUGCAUUAAAAGCUGCAUUUCCAGCCGGGAAGUCCAUGAGCAAAUUAAUGCUUACAAGUCGUAAUGCUGAGGUUGCUGAGCAUGUAAAUUUAGACGGAUUCAUUCACAAGCCAGAAUGUCUAAGUCCCGAACAAAGUUGGGAGCUACUCAAGUUGAAAGCACUUCACACAGGAAAUUGUCUAGGUACGUAAUUUUAGUUGGGUUAAUUAUGUUUCACAUAAUUUUUUCUUUACCAUAUGUUUUGUUUGACAACCUUAACGAACCAUAUAUUUUGUUACUUAAGUUUGAUAAGUUUGGUUAGAAAUCUUUCCAACAACCUUAAAGAACAUUGUUCUAUUCAAUAACGUUUUGUUCGUGUUCGUUUAAAAACCUGUGUAUUAUUAGACUUGUAAACGAAUCCUGUUUGUUGUGUGUUGCAGACAUUACCAGAGAUGUAAAGAGGAUGGAAGAACUGGGAAGGGAAAUGGUUGAACAUUGUGCCGGUCUUCCGCUAGCUAUAGUCGUCUUGGGUGGAAUUCUUGUAACAAAACCAUCGUUGAUAGAGUGGGAGAAGGUAUAUCGUGAUAGUAAAUCAUCCCUGAAGGCGGGGAAAGGACUGGGAGAAGCCUAUCAAAGGGAAAUAUUAAGUUUUUUAGUUUGGAGCUACAAUGAUUUACCCCCUCAGCUCAAGCCAUGCUUUUUAUAUUUAUCAAAGUUUGGUGAAGAUAAAUGGAUAAAAUUGGAGACUUUGUAUCAGCUAUGGAUCGCUGAAGGAAUGAUACUCUCGAGUGACAAGAGGGAAGGAGAAACAAUGAUACAAGUGGCUGAAUCAUACAUGGGAGAACUAGUCCACAGGAAUAUGGUUCAAGUGAGAUUUAACGAUGUAGAAUCAUCGCUUACAAAGUUUGAAUCUUGUUCUCUGCACGAUCUUAUGAGAGACAUGUCUUUAAUACAAGCAAAAGCAGAAGAUUUUUUUGAAGUAAUACAUUUCCAAAGUGGAAAUGAGUUUCAUCUCAAAUCUACUACAGAGUCAAGGUCAGCUUCCACUCGAGUUGUGAUUCGUUUGGAUGAGGAAUAUUCUAGCAAAGAAGCUAAUUACUACUUUACCAAGAAACGCAAUGAAGAAUGCUAUCGAUCAAUUUUACUCCUGGGUAAGUUUGGAGCAAGAAGUUUGCCACAGGCGCUGGGCUCACAUGUUGCCAAUUUUAGGUUCCUAAAAGUCUUUUCUGUGGAGCACUAUACCAAUUUUUCUGGAGCAUUUUCUCAUAUUAAUUUUGGAAGAGCAGUAGGGUCCCUUGUUUACUUGCGAUAUCUCAGUUUAAGGGACACUAAUUUGUUGAUUUUUCCAUCUCUACAAAAGUUGGUGCUAUUACAAACUCUAAAAUUGGAUACCGACAAGAUAUAUGUUUUACCAUGGCUGUCAAGAGAUGUUCUGGUGAAGAUGGAUUGUUUGCGGCAUCUGUAUUUGCCGAAAUUUAAAGUUGACGUUUUGGGAAGGAAAUCGAAAUUACGGUUUAAUGGGUUGAGCAAGUUAGAGACCCUGGAGAACUUUGACACUACUUGGUGUGAGGUUAAGGAUCUACGUGACCUAAUCAAUCUUCGGAAACUAACCCUAACAGUGAGAGGUAGCUUUGAUAUUCUGGAAGAAAUGAUGAAAAACUUGGAUGAUGUAGCCUCCUCACCAUCUUCAUGUCUGAGGUUCUUGGGUGUCACUAUUGUUUAUUGUCAUUUCGAGCUGAACAAUGGUCUUCCUAUCUUAAAACAAUUGGUAUAUGCCGAAAAUUUGAACCUUCGGGAAUUGAAAAUAUAUGGGCGUAUCCCAGAGGUGGGUCUAAUAUUCCGCUGCAUGUAUCCACAAUUUGUAUUACAACUUUAUAUUUAAGGAAAUCAUACCUGGAAGAAGACCCAAUGCCAAUAUUAGAAAUGCUUCCAGUGUUGAGUGUUCUCCAAAUGCGUGAGGAUACAUAUGUGGGGAAGGAGAUGGUGUGCUCCGCAACCGGUUUUCCUAAACUCACCCAUCUUAUUUUGUACAAGUUCACAAACCUUGAAAAAUGGAGGGUGGAGAAAGGAAGCAUGCCCAUCCUUUCACACUUGCGUAUUCAAAGAUGUAACAAGUUGGAGGAGCUUCCCGAAGGCCUUGUGUUCCUCAAGUCCCUUCAAAUAUAUCAAAUGCCUCAAGAUUUCAAUGAUAGGCUUAAAAGGCAAGAUGGUGAAGAAGGACCCGACUUUCACAAAAUUUCUCAUGUCCUUAGACUCAUUAUUGAUGGUCAGGACUACAUUUGAAUGUUCUUGUAAGUUUGCAAGGUAUAAAGUUUUGUUUUGGUCGUGAAGAACAUAUUGCUUGAGAACUUAUUUGAUCAUUUGCUUCUCAUUAACCUAAUUUUAUAUGAUUAAUAUAUUUUCCAUCAAAAUUAAUACUUUUACUGUUGAAAAUAAUUUAAUUAAUACGCAAAAAUUUUAAAAAAUAAAUUACAAAGUAUACUUUAUAGAAUAUUAAAGGGUUUGCCGAUUCACGUCCCCAACAUAUAUUAAUCAGGACGAUGGAGAGCGUAAUAAUUAAAUAAUUUCAAUAACCGGAUUUUGGACUAUAUAUUUUAGUUUUUGAAUGUUCGGUUAUUUUAUGAUGGUUAUUAAUAUGAGUAAAGAUUUGUAUAAAUUUAUAUUUAAAAAUUUAUGCAACAUGAAGUUAAAUAAAUUAUUUCAAUAAAUAAAUAUAGAUCAUCAUCAUAAUCAUCAUCAUUAUUACUUUUUAUAUUUUGGAACAAUUAUAAUAGUAGGAUUCUUAAACAAUUAUUUAAAAGUUAAACAUUUUAUGCUGAACUCUAAUCCUUUGAAAAAAAAAUAAAAAAUCACUACUUUUUUCAACGAAAAAAAUGUAUGCGUUGAAUUACAUUUGGUUGCAAACUUAAUCUUUUUUCUUAAAAAUUUUACAAAAAAAGUACAUCACUUUUUAGACUCUAAACAUAUGUCCAAAAAAAAACUCUAAACAUGUGUUUAGAGCUUUAUUCUAAACAGAUUAUUAGUUCCAUACAAUUACGAUCAUCGGACUAUUUUUCAGACUAUUAAUUCCAUACAGUUACGAUCAUGAGACUACUUAAAAGAACUACUUCUUUAGAAAAAGGCUCAAAGAACUACUCCUUUAGGAAAAGGCUCAGCAUCCUCAGGUUCAUGUUCACACCAUAUUCUCUUGUGAAUUACUAGGGGCACAAUUUUCAUCAUUUUCUUUGUCUUACAAGCCAUGCAAUCUAGUCAUUUAAAAUUGAUCACUUUAAAGACCAUCCUUGUGUCUCGUUCAUUUUCCUUGUGGUGAACAAGAGUUAAACAUAUUCGGAAGCGAUAAAUAUAAGUGUCUUAUUACAGAAUAUCGAUUUAUGAUAAUGUUAGGCUGCAGUAAAUGAGAGGAAAUAAUAUUUCACUGACCAAUAUGUAAUAUGUUUUCAUGCGAUUGCGGCCAACACAACAGAGCACAUUGUUUCCCACAUGUUGCCACAAAACACCAAAACUAGGAGACUUCUAACUCUUGACUCCACCCAUUGUUCAAACUUUUUCUUUGUGAUCUUCUCUUUUUUAUAAUAAAACACUUUUGGUUUUUCUUUUCUUUAUGGUUAAACUACAAUAUAUACAGCGUUUAGGAUGGGGAAACUGCUUUCUUCAAGAUGCUGAAGGCAACGAGCAUAAGCAGUGAUAUCAUGAUCUUCUUUGAAGCAAGUAUCCGCAAGUUCACCUUCAUGCCAUGGUCUCUCAUGAGCUUUAGUGUUGCCCUAAUCACUGACAUAAGCCAAGAUACAAUGGACAAGAACACCACUUUCAUUGUGUCUGCAGGUCCACUCACACUUCUUGUGCCUCCCGACACCUCAACGUAGGACCAAGCAGCGCCUUGAUUAUCGGUGGUUCCACUAUGAUUGAGGCCAAGUUUCUUGUUCAACCAACAUGAUAAAGUCACAAGCAGCUUUGCAAGCCAUGCAAUCUCAUCACUGGAGACUGGUCGCUUCAACCAGUCACCCCUGUAUUUCGUACCGGUUUGCUUCUUGUUGCGUAUCAUUCUAGGACUAAAUAUCUCAUCACGUGGAUGCUGAUUUUCUCUUGUCUCGGGGACUGCUUGUGUGUUCCUUGGAGUAGAGUUACCAAAUAAGCACCCCAUCUGGGCUUUGAUAGAAUCUAAACAAGCCAUAUUCUGAGCAUGAUUAUCUCCCAAGACAGUCUGCAGCUCCGACUCAGCACGCAACACAAAGAGCUGCAAUAACAAUGUGACUAGUGAGUGAGACUUGACAUUUAAAAUGACACCAUCCAUUUCAGUUCCUAGAAUUUAUAUGGUUCAUACAGAUAUAUUUAAGUACACUAUAUGCUAAAAGAAGAGAGGGGGAAAUAAACCUGUAGCAGCUGUUGUCUGCCAUCAUCACCAUCACUAAAUAACUGCAAAUCCUUGUUCCAAUUCUCGUGCAAGAAAGAGCCAUCAGCAUCAUUUUCACACAAUCCAUCCUCCCAGUCCUUGUAACGCAAAAAAGAACAAGGGAUUUACAUAUAAACAUCUGAAAAAGAGUUGAAGAAUGCGCUCGCGCACACAAAAGAGAUGCAGUUAGGUCUUCAUACCUGCAGUUGUUCUCUGAUUGAUGGAACAAAUCUGUACAAGUUGUUGUGUAUGGGUUUGGAUGACCCAGAAGGCUUAGAAUGGAAGACAGUGUCCACAUUGUUUAUAAGAUUCAUCAGCUCACUGGACGAUGUCAAUAUGCUUAAGACCUGCACAAGAAAUACAAGAAACAUAUACAAAAUAAGUAAACGGAAACUAUAACGAAUUGAUCCUGGGAUAAAAAUAUUUACUAAUUAUAAAAGAAAAUUUCCCCACUGUUACCCUGACUCUUCAUUUUGCCUCAAGUACCGGUGUCGGACACUCAACACUUGAACAUAGGUACAGACACUACAGAACUUAUUUUAGGCCAAAAACAUGUAAAUUUUUCAGAAUACUACCGAGACACACUCGGACAGGUAACCAUGUUGGACACUUUUAGCUGACUCCUGGUAAUAUAGAUUCUUCAUAUAUAAGCUUACCAGAAGUAUCCCAUCAGCGCCCAUAAAUGAAAAGAAGCCGAAAGAAACUAUAAAAGAGGAAUAUAGCAGAUUAUUAUUAAUUAGUAGCCUUGCAUCAGUUUCCUCUAUAAUUCAACACAAGUAGCUUUCUGUUGUCGUUCAUUCAGAUGUAUCCAUCGAGCAUUUGCCAGGACCGCUGAAGCAAUUUAGGCUUUUAUCUAUAGUCUAUGCAUGCAAAACUAUGGUUGAGCGUCACUAACUACAGACCAAUUUAAUUUAUUUUUUAUUUAUCCUCUUAUGUUCUGCUUAUCCACGUUAAAAAAAUAAAAAAUUGACUUGGUCAAAAAUAUACACAACACAACUAUAUAUGGAGAAACUUGUGAGCAAAUCCUAAAAAAUGCAUAACCAAGGAACUAUAGAACAAAUAGUUGAUCAACACAAAGCAUUGCCAGGAACUAGAAUAUCCACUUGAAGAAGACUGUACUUCCUUUUUAGUACCAUUGCUCGACACCUCAGCAUUUACAUCUAGACCAGAAAAAUCUUCAAAGCUAAUGUUCCAAGGUUCUAUAUAAUUAAUCCCAAGCCAAAACACCUGAGAUCUGGGAAGUACUGGACGCAAAUACGGGGAGUCCGGAAAAUGAGUAUUUGGCAUGGGAAUACCAAAAAUAUAAAAAAUAUUUAAAUUAUACUCCAUUUCACACUCUCAUUUCUUAGCACUCACACACAUUUUAAAAGUGCGUAUCCUUUAUUCUAUACAUGAAUCCACCACAGUAUGCAGUUAACCAAUAAAAAAAUAAAUGGAUCUGAAUAUGGAUUUGACUAAAUCCGAUACAAAAAAAAAAUGAUUUAAAAAGGUCAGAGUCAAAGCAGUGGACUGUAUUAGACAUAUGUGCAUCACAUAUAUACAGAUCUGGACCAGAGAAGAGAUAGCAAAACAAGCAGCAGAGUGAACUCAGACAAGAGAUAACAGUCUGAAAGCGAAGUCACCGUCUCCGCUAGUAGAGUUGGGUAUGUAUCUUUGUAAUAUAAGUUUUGUUUUUUGUUUUAAUGAAUUAUUGCAGAAGCAUGAUGACUUAUUGUUGAACUUUGCAACCAAAGAACCAUGAAAAUGAUUCAAGACUGUCUCAGAGUCAUAUAGAAUAGUUUAAUUAAUAUACAGCAAAGGGGAAUAGUGAUCAGCAAUAGAGAAUCUAAUGUGCUCAUGACACCAAUACAUUUUUACUACUUUAUUACUCUCUCGAUCCUAUUUUUAACUACUUGUUUGGUUCCUGGGAGAAGAAUAGGUUAAAUAAAUUUAUAUGGCUGAAGCAAUUGUGUCGAUUGUUGUGGGAAGGCUCGCUGAUUUGUUGGUUGAAAAACCCCAAACCCUCUAUGAAGUGAGAGAUGAAAUUCAACUAGCGGUCACCGAGCUCACGCGGAUAAAGACAUUCUUACCGGACGCUGAUUCAAGGAUGGAUGUAGAAAGAAUCCGGAUUUUGCUCCGGGAUGUAAGAGAGCUUGCCUAUGAUGCUGAACAUGUUGUCGAAACUUUUGUUAUUAAAGCCUCAUCCACUAAAAAACCAUUUCAGCGGAUGAACAGAGUCAAGUUUUCUAGAAAGAUGAAAAAUAUACAGAAAAAGAUGUCCCUCCUCUUCAAUUUAUUUUCUGAUUAUAAUAUCAUACCAACUUCUGAAUCAACUUCCUCAAAAAGAGAAUCGGGAAAACUUAAGCGAUUUCACUCUUUCACUACUCCUGAACCACAGAUAUUUGUUGGAUUUCAUGAAGAUGUUGAGUGUUUGGUGCGACAUUUGGUGAAUGAAGCUGAUGAUUCAUACCCACUUAUAUCUAUUUGUGGAAUGGGGGGUCUGGGAAAGACCACUCUAGCUCAAAAGAUAUACAAUCACUCUGCCAUCAAGACUCACUUUGCUGGUUUAGCAUGGGUAUCAAUUUCGCAAAAGUGGCAAACAGAUCGCGUGUUGCAGAGAAUUCUCAUAUGUCUCGUCCCUGAGAACAAAGAGUCUAUCCUUAAUAUGGACAGUGACAAGCUAGUCGAGUAUAUGUUAAAAAGCCAGGGAAAGAAAAAAUGUUUGAUAGUUCUCGAUGAUAUAUGGUCAACUGAUAUUUGGAGUGCAUUAAAAGUNNNNNNNNNNNNNNNNNNNNNNNNNNNNNNNNNNNNNNNNNNNNNNNNNNNNNNNNNNNNNNNNNNNNNNNNNNNNNNNNNNNNNNNNNNNNNNNNNNNNNNNNNNNNNNNNNNNNNNNNNNNNNNNNNNNNNNNNNGAUGGAAAAACUGGGAAGGGAAAUGGUUGAACAUUGUGCCGGUCUUCCGCUAGCUAUAGUCGUCUUGGGUGGAAUUCUUGUAACAAAACCAUCGUUGAUAGAGUGGGUGAAGGUAUAUCGUGAUAGUAAAUCAUCCCUGAAGGCGGGGAAAGGACUGGGAGAAGCCUAUCAAAGGGAAAUAUAAGUUUUUUAAUAUGGAGCUACAAUGAUUUACCGCCUCAGCUGAAGCCAUGCUUUCUAUAUUUAUCUAAGUUUAGUGAAGAUGAAUCGAUAGACAUAGAGACUUUGUAUCAGCUAUGGAUCGCAGAAGGAAUGAUACUCUCGAGUGACAAAAGGGAAGGAGAAACAAUGAUACAAGUGGCUGAAUCAUACAUGGGAGAACUAGUCCACAGGAAUAUGGUUCAAGUGAGAUUUAACGAUGUAGAAUCAUCGCUUACAAAGUUUGAAUAUUGUUCUCUGCACGAUCUUAUGAGAGACAUGUCUUUAAUACAAGCAAAAGCAGAAGAUUUUUUUGAAGAAAUACAUUUCCAAAGUGGAAAUGAGUUUCAUCUCAAAUCUACUACAGAGUCAAGGUCAGCUUCCACUCGAGUUGUGAUUCGUUUGGAUGAGGAAUAUUCUAGCAAAGAAGCUAAUUACUACUUUUCCAAGAAACGCAAUCAAAAAUGCUAUCGAUCAAUUUUACUCCUCUGUGAGUUUGGGGCGAGAAGUCUGCCACGGGCACUGGGGUUACAUUUUGCCAAUUUUAGGUUCCUAAAAGUCUUUUCUGUGGAGAAUUAUACCAAUUUUUCUGGUGCAUUUUCUCAUUUUAAUGUUGGAAGAGCAUUAGGGUCCCUUGUUUACUUGAGAUAUCUUAGUGUAAGGGGCAGUAAUUUGUUGGUUUUUCCAUCUCUACAAAAGUUGAUGCUAUUACAAACUCUCAAAUUUGAUACGAAGAAGAAGAUAUAUGUUUUACCAUGGAUGCCAAGAGAUGUUCUGGUCAAGCUGGAUUGUUUGCGGCAUCUGUAUUUGCCUAAAGUUCAAGUUAACCUUAUGGGAAGGGAAUCGAAAUUUCGAUUUAAUGGGUUGAGCAAGUUAGAGACACUGGAGAACUUUAACGCUAGUUGGUGUGAGGUUAAGGAUCUACGUGAACUAAUCAAUCUUCGGAAACUAACGCUAGCAGUGAUAGCUAGCUAUGAUAUUCUGGAGGAAAUGAUGAAAAACUUGGCUGAUAUAGCCUCAUCACCAUCUUCAUGUCUGAGGUACUUGGGUGUUACUAUUAGUCAUUGUCAUCUCGAGCUGAACAAUGGUCUUACGAUCUUAAAACAAUUGGUAUAUGCUGAAAAUUUGAACCUUCGGGAUUUGAAAAUAUAUGGCCCUAUCCCAGAGGUGGGUCUAAUAUUUCCGCUGCAUGUAUCUACAAUUCGUAUUACAAAAUUAACUUUAGCGAGAUCACACCUAGAAGAAGACCCAAUGCCAAUACUGGAAAUGCUUCCAAUGUUGGAUGUUCUCCAUAUGUGUACGGAUACCUAUGUGGGGAAGGAGAUGGUGUGCUCGGCAACCGGUUUUCCUAAACUCACCUAUCUUUUUUUGGACAGCUUCCCGAACCUUGAAAAAUGGAGGGUGGAGGAAGGAAGCAUGCCCAUCCUUUUAUACUUGUCUAUUGAAAGAUGUAACAAGUUGGAGGAGCUUCCACGAGGCCUGGUGUUCCUCAACUCCCUUCGAGUACUAAAAAUAUUUCAAAUGCCUCAAGAUUUCAAUGAUAGACUUAUAAGAGAAGAUGAAGAAGGACCCGACUUUCACAAAAUUUCUCACGUUCGUAGAGUCCGCAUCGACGAUCUGGUAUACGAUUUCUUAUAAGGGAUGUUCUUGUAGGUCGUAACGUUUUCUGUUAUAAUCCCAAAGAACAAAUUGCUUGAGUAGCAACUUAUCAAACAAUCUUAUAUAUACCUUUAUCUUCAAAAAAAAAAUCUUAAAUAUACCUUCAAAAUUUUAUAAUAUUUUAUUAAAAUUUUCAUUUUCAAUCAUAGUUUUGUAUGAUUAAUGUAGUUUUUAAUAUAAAAGAGUUAAAAAAUACUUUUACAUAUAACUGAAUCCAAUUUUCAAUAAUAGCGACUGUAAAAAAUAUACUAGCUUAUAACCCGUGCAAUGCACGGGCGGUUAUAAUAUGUGUUAUUAUAUUAUAUAUAUUUUAAAUUUAACUAAUUUUAUUUUGAAAAUUAAAUCAUGAUAUAAUAAUAUGAUUAAAUAAAUUUUUUAUUUAACAACUGAAUAAAUUGUUAGCAGUUAAGUCUUUCAAAUAGCUAAUUAAAAAUUAAGUCGAACAUAUAUAUUUUAAUGAAGAUGUUAAAAUAUAUAUUUUUAUAUGUUAUAAUUUAAUAAGACCUAUAAACCCAGAUAUAUAUCGACCAAUCAAUAUUUCGUUAUUAAUGAUUAAUAAUAUCGUAUAGAAUAUAUUAAUAAGUUAAAGAGACGCGUAAAUCCAAAUAUCGACCUAUCAUACUGACUAAUUUAUAAUAUGUUAUAAAUUAAAGAGGUUCGGGGUUGAAUACCAACCGGAUCGCCAAACUCGACCGACAAAUUGAACUUUUCUUAUUUCGACUAAUGUUUUACUUUUAAUAAUAUAGUAUAGAUAUAUAAUAAUAUUGUCUUUUUUAUAUGUAUGUUCCAUGUGUUAUAUAUGUUUAGAAAAAUCCGAUUUUAGUUAGGAAUGUGAAAAAGAUAAUGUCUUUUAGUUAAAAAGGGUAAUUGCUAUCUUGUCCAAUAUUAUUUUUAGAAAAUUGAGUUUUUUAAGUUAGAAAAUAUAAAAAAGAUAAUAGUAUUAGUUAAAAAAGAUGUUUGAUUAGAUAAAUAGGCUCAUAACUCAGCCCAAGUACCGACCGACCAAACUUUGAAUGUUUCGACUUCAAUAGUAUAGUAAUUUUGAAGUAUUAAUAUAAUUUUUAUAAGCCGCUGCAACGCGCGGCUUCUCAGCUAGUUAUUAUAAAUACAGGAUUCCUUAAACAACUUACAAUGGAAGAUGUAAUAGUUUUAUGAAAAUUAUUAUUAAUAUUAAAAUUAAAACACUAACUUUUAUUAUUUAAAAGUUAAACAACUGCAGGACUCUAAACCUUUAAAAUGUGAAUUAAAAAAAAGUUCACUUUUUUCAACAAAGAAGUUCUGUUGGUGUUGAAUCGAAUUUGAUUGCAAGUUGCCGGAAUUAAUUAAUAAUUACAAUCAUAUUUUCAUAAGACUUUUAAAAAGAUAGUAACUCCAAAAAAUUCUACAAAGAUGGUGUAUCCUUAAUUUUAUACUCUUGGGGCAAAACAAAGUUUUAUAUUCACAACAAGCUAUCAGUUCUAUACAAUUACAAUCAUCAUAUCUAUACUAUAUUAUUGAAACCGAAACAUUAAAAGUUUGGUCGGUCGGUAUUUGAGCCAAAAUACGAGUUUAUCAGUUAUUUUUUAACUAAAAUAUAUCUUCUUUUUAAUAUUUUCUAAAUAAAAAAACUCAAACUUUCAAAAUAACAUCGAGCAACAUAGUAAUUACCUUUUUAACUAAAACAAUUAUCAUUUUUAGAUUUUCUAACUAAAAAGCCGAGCUUCUAUUAUUAACACGGGCUACAUUAACAUUAUUUUAAAAUACUUUAACGGUCUCACUUUAAAAGUAAUAUUAUAAAUCUAUAUUAUACCAUUAAAGCCGAAACAUGAAAAGUUCGGUCGGUCAAUUGUUCGGCCGGUCACUCGAGUUUAGUGAGCCUGUUAGUAUUCGACCCAUAAACAUCUUUAAUUAAUAAAAUAUUAUAAUAUUAAAAACACUCAAUUUCCUAAAAAUAAUAUUAGAUUAUGAAUAACAUAGCAACUACUUUUUAUGAUUAAAACACAUUAUCAUUUUCAUAUUCGUAAUCAAAAAAUCGUUUUUUUAAAAAUAACACAUGCAAUAUACAUAUAAAAAGAUAAUAUUAUUAUAUAUAAUUAUUAAUAUACAACCGAUGAUAUUUUUCAAUAAAAUGCAUUAAUGCUGUUUUUAAUUACUCCAUGUUAUCAUUUCAAAAUAAUAUCAUAGAUCUAUACUAUCUAUUUAUACCCUACUAUGCUAUAUUAUUAUUAUUAUUAUUAUUAUUAUUAUUAUUAUUAUUAUUAUUAUUAUUAUUAUUAUUAUUAUUAUUAUUAUUAUUCUUUUAAAAUUGAAAAAUUAAUAAUUUUAUCGGUCGGUAGAGUUUUAUCAGCCGCUCGUAUUAUUCUACGGGCCUCCUUGAUAUAUAACGUGUUCUAAUAAACUUUUUAUUAUCAAUUAAGUCAAAAAAUAUAAAAAUUCGGUUAGUAUGAUCGAUUUCUGUUUCAAUUAAAUUUAUGAUUUAAACGAUAAAAUUAUAAAUAUUAUAAAUCAACCGUGCAUGGAACGGGUUAUAAACUAGUAUUAAUUAUUAUGAUAGAAUAGUUAUUAUAUUUUAAUAUUGGUCCUGAGAGAUGAAAUUUUUUAUGAAUUUAGAAAAUUAAUCACUUUACAGAAUAUUAAUUUAUAGAAAUUUUACUAUAUUAGGUGUUGAUUUUCUUAUGUUAGAAUAUUAUUUAAUAAACAAGUAGGAUAAUUUAUAAGGAUUGUAUUGGAUUAGGUGCUGAAUUUCUUAUUUUAAUUAUUAUUUAAUAGGUAGGUAGCGUUAUUUGUCGUGGAUGAAAGUGACACAAAUAUUGAUAUGAGUCAUUUUAUAAUUGUUUAGUAAUAUACCGUAGAAUUCCGCCAGCUAAUCGGUUGUUAAACUUUGCUUUUACAUGCCCAUCGUUUAGUAUACAAUGAAUCAAUGAUUGUCAUUUAUUUAGGAAUUAAAUAAUGAAUAACUCACACUUGUUCGGUUUAAUCUCAAAUUAGGGUUUUUCUCAAAAAAAAAAAAAAAAAUCUCAAAUUAGGGUUUUGAGAGUCGACUCCCAAAACUGGUAGUCACUUCUCCAUUCUUCACCUUCAUCCUCUUCAUCCACCAAAUCCUUUUCGCUCUCCCAUCUUAUUCACUAUUUAUCAGGUUUUUUGUUUUUCAAUAAAAGCGAGUGUUGCUUAUACCUCGAAGAUUCCAAUCGAGUUUUAUUCUCGGAUCUGUUUCGGAUUUGAGCUUGGGCUUGAUUGUUUUCUGAAUAAAUCAGAUCUUUUGAAAUCAAAGGUCCGAUCAUGUUUUCCCAUCUCGCCUUUUGGCGUGUGUUGAUUUAGUACCCAAUUUUUGGGUGAUUCUGCGUUGUUACACUUGUGGUUGUUAUGUUUUUCUGUGUUAUCAGUGAGAAUGAUUUGGAUGGAGUUUUGGGAGAUCUAACUUAUCGCAUCAUUAAUACUUUCGGCAUGUCUAUAGCUGGCUCCCGGCAUGUAGAUAGCUGGGGUAUGCUUGGAACGGUGGCGAUCGCAUGUGCUCACCUUUCACAAAUUAUAGUUGUUCAUUAUUCGAGGACUCUUGUUACUCAUUGCUUAGUUUUUACAACUGAGUCGCCUGAACACCGUAACAGCCAUGGAACUAUUGUGAAGGUCAAUUGUGAAGCUACCAUUUUCGCGAUUGAUGUAGGCUGGAUUACUCGAGCCUUUGUAUUCAUUUUUAGUUUCAAUGUAUCCAGUGUGUUAAGCAGUCUGGAAACAAUGCGGCUAUUUGUUUAGCUCGUUUUAUUGUUUAUCAACCUGAUUGCAUUGUCUGUUGGAGAUUUGUCCCGACUAGACUUGUUUUAAUUUAUUGAAAUGAAUUUGCAUUUUGUCAAAAAUAAAUAAAUAAUGAAUAACUCCAUAUACAGGAGUAGGUUAAUAGUAGUAUUAUUCUGUUGAUUCCAUGCAGUUCAACUAUCAGGAAUGUUUGUUUACGAGAAGCUGGGGUUUGCUUCUAACUGCUUCUUUUGACCCGUUUGUGUAAAAAAGUAGAAGCACUUUUGAGAAUGCUAUCUUCUCUCUCACAGCUUCUGUUUAUUUUCCAAACACUUUAUUAACUUAUUUAAUUCUCACUUCUACUCCAUUUCUUUACUAUAAGCAAGAAAUUACAAUUUUUAAGCUAACUCAAACAGGCCCAUCAUUUUCUCUGGUGUAAACUUGACCGGUCUAGCUCGAGUAUAGUCGACCCAAAUUAUUUAUUGUGCUAGCUAUGCUAACACCGACUCUAUAACUAACAAUCCCUGUGGCGGGACGUGACAUCGAUAAAAGUUAGUAAUUAAAUAUUUAUAUAAAAGAAAUUAAAAUUAUAUUAUAAAAAUAUUUUAUAUGAUCUUUAAAAUAUGUGUGUAAAAAAGACAGUAAAUAAAUCAAAGGAACGGAAGGAGUACUAACUACAACUACGGCUAGGGCCCCGGAUGAGACCAUCAGGGUUGCUCUUACCUAAUUAAUAUGCUUCGGCCAAGUGGAAUAGCAGUGAACAAUUAUAGAGAAUAUUCUGAGUGUGCAGAAGAAAGAAACAAGUAUAUGCUGCUUGACUUCUUAUAUUACUGAUUAUUUAAUACGCAAGUAGAGUUAAUAGUUGUUGAUAGAGAUGAUGCAAAAAUUGAUGUUUUGCUUAUGCUGAGUCAUUUCAUCAUUGUUUAUUAGUUAGUUGUAGAAUUAUGAGCUGAUCGGUUGUUAAGCUUUGUUUCUACAUGCUCUUAAUUUGCGAGCUUCAUGCAGUUCAAUUCCUUUAUAUAGGGUUGUUUGGUUUCUGGCAAAGAAUAACAAAUUAAUAUGGCUGAAGCAAUUGUGUCGAUUGUUGUGGGAAGGCUCACUGACUUGUUAAUUGAAAAAGCUCUAAUCCUUCAGGAAGUGAGAGAUGAAAUUGAAGUCGCGGUAGCUGGGCUCGUGCGGAUAAAAACAUUCUUACCAGAUGCUGAUUCAAGGAUGGAUGUAGAAAGAAUCCACAUUUUGCUCCGGGAUGUACGAGAUCUUGCCUAUGAAGCCGAACAUGCUGUUGAAAGUUUUGUUAUUAAAGCCUCAUCCACUAAAAAACCAUUUCAAUGGAUGAACAGAGGCAAGUUUUCAAGGAAGAUGAAAGAUAUACAAAAAAAGAUGUCUAUCUUCUUCGAUUUAUUUUCUGAUUAUAAUAUCAGACCAACUUCUGAAUCAUCAACUUCCUCCAACAGAGAAUCGGGAAAACUAAAGCGAUUUCACUCUUUCACUACUCCUGAACCACAGAUAUUUGUUGGAUUUCAUGAAGAUGUUGAGUGUUUGGUGCGACAUUUGGUGAAUGAAGCUGAUGAUUCAUACCCACUUAUAUCUAUUUGUGGAAUGGGGGGUCUGGGAAAGACCACUCUAGCUCAAAAGAUAUACAAUCACUCUGCCAUCAAGACUCACUUUGCAGCUGGUUUAGCAUGGGUAACAAUCUCGCGGAAGUGGCAAACAGAUCGUGUGUUGCAGAGAAUUCUCAUAUGUCUCGUCCCUGGGAACAAAGAUUCUAUCCUUAAUAUGGACACUGACAAGCUAGUGGAGUAUAUGCUACAAAUCCAGGGAAGGAAAAAAUGUUUGAUAGUUCUCGAUGAUAUAUGGUCAACUGAUGCUUGGGAUGCAUUAAAAGCUGCAUUUCCAGCCGGGAAGUCCAUGAGCAAAUUAAUGCUUACAAGUCGUAAUGCUGAGGUUGCUGAGCAUGUAAAUUUAGACGGAUUCAUUCACAAGCCAGAAUGUCUAAGUCCCGAACAAAGUUGGGAGCUACUCAGGUUGAAAGCACUUCACACAGGAAAUUGUCUAGGUACAUAAUUUUACUUGCGGUAAUCAUGGUUCAUAUACUUUUUUUAUACCAUAUAUUUUGUCCGACAACCUUAACGAACCAUAUUUUUGGUUAUCGGAGUUUGAUAAGUUUGGUUAGAGAUCUUUCCGACAUCCUUAAAGAACAUUGUUCUGUUCAAUAACGUUUUGUUCGUGUUCGUUUGAAUUCGUUAGUUCGUUUACAAACCUGUGUAUUAGAAUUGUAAACGGAUCUAACAGUUCAUUAAGUGCUCUCUUGAGGUUGAGUUAAAAAACUCGAGCUCGAAACACAUAUUUUGUUUAACAACCUUAACAAACUCUAGAAGGUUUAGUAAUUUUUCUCGUGUUGACUCGAAGUUUAUUGGAGUUAAGGUCAUAGAGGGCUCUAACUUGAACCUGUCUUUUAAACAUUUGCAUUACUUAAACGACUAAAUUAGAAAUUAUCUUGGCUUAUGAGUGUAUUCCUAUAUAUACACACACAUUUGAUUCCUGUUUCUUGUUUGUUGCAGACAUUACCAGAGAUGUAAAAAGGAUGGAAGAACUGGGAAGGGAAAUGGUUGAACAUUGUGCUGGUCUUCCGCUAGCUAUAGUCGUUUUGGGUGGAAUUCUUGUAACAAAACCGUCGUUGAGAGAGUGGGAGAAGGUAUAUCGUGAUAGUAAAUCAUCCCUGAAGGCAGGUAAAGGACUGGAUAAAGACUAUCAAAGGGAAAUAUUAAGUUUUUUAAUAUGGAGCUACAAUGAUUUACCGCCUCAGCUGAAGCCAUGCUUUCUAUAUUUAUCUAAGUUUAGUGAAGAUGAAUCGAUAGACAUAGAGACUUUGUAUCAGCUAUGGAUCGCAGAAGGAAUGAUACUCUCGAGUGACAAAAGAGAAGGAGAAACAAUGAUACAAGUGGCCGAAUCAUACAUGGGAGAACUGGUCCAAAGGAGUAUGGUUCAAGUGAGAUUUAACAAUGUGGAAUCAUCACUUACAAAGUUUGAAGAUUGUUCUCUGCACGACCUUAUGAGAGACAUGUCUUUAUUACAAGCCAAAGCAGAAGAUUUUUUUGAAGAAAUACAUUUCCAAAGUGGAAAUGAGUUUCAUCUCAAAUCUACUACAGAGUCAAGGUCAGCUUCCACUCGAGUUGUAAUUCAUUUGGGUGAGGAAUAUUCUAGCAAAAAAGCUAAUUACUACUUUUCCAAGAAACGCAAUGAAAAAUGCUAUCGAUCAAUUUUACUCCUCGGUGAGUUUGGAACAAGAAGUUUGCCAUGGGCGUUGGGUUCACAUGUUGCCAAUUUUAGGUUCCUAAAAGUCUUUUCUGUGGAGAACUAUACCAAUUUUUCUGGUGCAUUUUCUCAUAUUAAUUUUGGAAGAGCAGUAGGGUCCCUUGUUUACUUGCGAUAUCUCAGUUUAAGGGACACUAAUUUGUUGAUUUUUCCAUCUCUACAAAAGUUGGUGCUAUUACAAACUCUAAAAUUGGAUAUAUCCGACAAGAUAUAUGUUUUACCAUGGCUGUCAAGAGAUGUUCUGGUGAAGAUGGAUUGUUUGCGGCAUCUGUAUUUGCCGAAAUUUAAAGUUGACGUUUUGGGAAGGAAAUCGAAAUUACGGUUUAAUAGGUUGAGCAAGUUAGAGACCCUGGAGAACUUUGACACUAGUUGGUGUGAGGUUAAGGAUCUACGUGAACUAAUCAAUCUUCGGAAACUAACGGUAACAGUGAGGGGUAGCUAUGAUAUUCUGGAAGAAAUGAUGAAAAACUUGGAUGAUUUAGCCUCCUCAGCAUCUUCAUGUCUGAGGUGUCGCUAUUGUUUAUUGUGAUAUUGAGCUGAACAAUGAUCUUACGAUCUUAGAACAAUUGGUAUAUGCCGAAAAUUUGAACCUUCGGGAAUUGAAAAUAUAUGGGCGUAUCCCAGAGGUGGGUCUAAUAUUUCCGCUGCAUGUAUCCACAAUUUGUAUUACAACUUUAAAUUUAGGGGAAUCAUACCUGGAAGAAGACCCAAUGCCAAUAUUAGAAAUGCUUCCAGUGUUGCGUGUUCUCUAUAUGUUUGCUGAUACCUAUGUGGGGAAGGAGAUGGUGUGCUCCGCAACCGGUUUUCCUAAACUCACCCAUCUUAUUUUGCACGAGUUCACAAACCUUGAAAAAUGGAGGGUGGAGGAAGGAAGCAUGCCCAUCCUUUCCUACUUGAUUAUUGAAAGAUGUAACAAGUUGGAGGAGCUUCCCGAAGGCCUUGUGUUCCUCAAGUCCCUUAAAAUAACUCAAAUGCCUCAAGAUUUCAAUGAUAG
rnacentral:lncRNA from 1 species